rnacentral:lncRNA from 1 species
GUCAUGCUGGUUUCCAGGAAAUUUGAGGGCAUAUAGUUGUUCUAUAGAAGACAAUAAUCAAAUAAAACAGGCCAAAAUACAAGUUUUUGAUGAAUAAUCAUUGACUCAGUAAAAUAGGCCAAAAUACUAAUUGCUAUUAUCAAAGAAUAAAUUUACACUCUUAACAGUAAACUCCAAAAACUCUCCCUACUUCACUCAUUCAUACUCGCCAGGAAGUUCACAGACAAUUUGGCAGAAUAACUUCAUGCAUCAGAGCGACCACAGACAGAAAACAUGUGCUGAAUCCAAAUUAAACAAUUAAAAUAACUCAGUUUAAUUUCAUGAACUGUAAUUUCAGGAAAAAAUAUCAAAACCCAUGACAGUUAAUACGCAGAGGGACUAAUUUCUUAAUAAGUUUCCUCCAAGGAAAAGUUUCCUAUGGCAACUCAGCAGUGCAUAGGCAAGUCCGAGUGAGUGCCUUAACCUUAUUCAAUCAUCAGGGAACAUAUGGUUAGAAUCAUUCAUCAGGACUUCAGAAGGUGGCUUCUUCUGUUCAUAAGAAGCGGACCUCUCACAACUACUAAGUUGAUGCUCCAUUUAAAUGAGGAACUCAUGCAAGAAAAAUUUAGGGCCAAACAAGUUUUUGAGUGAAAUUAGGUUGUUUAGAAAUAGAAGCAUGGUUUUUAAAUAUACCUAAACGAAUCUAGUUCAUGUUUGUGCAUGUCACUUUGAAAGGUACAACAGCCACUUCCUAGUUUAAGUUUACAUUUUACCAGUAAUCAAACAACGCCGCUGAUGAUCAACUCCUAUGUCCAAAAUAUGUUAAUUAUUGGCUGUCACCCUCUAUUAACGUUCUGAUAAUCUAACCAAUUAAAAGAGAAGUUUCUGAUGAAUUUAAAAUGUGGAGAAGAGGUUCAUUUCAAUUCUGGAAUCACCAAGGUGUUGCCUGUAUUUGAUAAACAAGAAGGUGAAGUAGAUUUUAAUUAAAGCAUUACCUUGCAAUUUACUCAUUUCAAUUUAACUAAUCCUGAUGACGAUGAUUGAGCUAAUUUUAGGAACAGAUACAGCCUGUUAUGGCAUGCAAUAGAAGGCUUCAGUUUAAUGGGUAAAGUCAAAGACAAGCAUUCAAGUCAUUCUUCCUUUACAUUGCUUCAAGUUCAUUCCGCAACAUAAAUAAAUCGAAUAAACCCACAAGAUAAUCUGAUUUCUCAAUGUGUAAUAGCUGGAACAUAUGCACAAGGCAGGAAAUAAGUAAACAAGGCAGUUUAUUAAAAAAAAGAAAGUAGAAUUAAUUCUAGAUAGGGGAUACACACCGAUAGUAACAAUGCAAUUUCAAGAGCUUUAGCAUCCUUGAAUGUAACAAAUGCGGUUUUUGACUGCCCAUAUUCACUGCAUCCACAAAAGGCAAAAAAAUAAAUAAAACAAAAAAUUCGUAUUCAAUCUCCACUUCCCCAAUCCUACUUAAUUUCGUACACAUGCCAUUCAAAUGCAAAUGUUGCCUUACCCUUUCCUCACAUGAACCAAGCUGAAAUAAACAUAUUAAAAGAAAAAAAUUAGUAUUUAUUUGCUGUUUCCCAUUUUACCCCUUUUCGUGCAUAUUCUUAGCAACUAAUAGAGAAUUUAAAGAAAACUUCAAUACAGAGUUUAAGAAUUAGAAUCAAUAACUUCACUAUUUACCCAAAAAGAAAUUCACUGUAGUGUUUAUACCAUUUUGGGAAUGAAAAGAACAGAAAACCCAAGAUCUAAAAAGCAUCAUUUUCUAUAUUUGUUUUUCGUUUUCCCAGCAAGCAAACACAAAACUAAAAGAGAAUUCAGAAGAAAAUAAAGAUAUAACGGGUACCGCAGGAUCUCAAUGCGUUCGAUAUCACCGGAGAAAGAGAAGAAUUCAUGAAUCUCUCUCUCGUGGGCUAGAUCUGAAACAUUCUUUACUUGAACAGUUCUCGUCUGUUAUAUAUUUAAAAAAAGAAAAGAAACAAAAUAACUCAAGAAUCAGUUGUUUAAACAUGGAAUGGGUAGUGUUGAAAUAGCAAGAUUAAGGGUUUUGAUAGAGAAGAAACUGAGUAAACUACUGACCUGCUGCAUUGUUAAUAAUGGGGUCGAGUUUUUGCUUUUGAAAAUUUGUAGCGUUGUGUAUGUCUGCGCAGCAAUGCGGAGAGAGAGAGAGAGAGAGAGAAUUAAAAGAGCCGACCAGACAGCUUGGAGCUAAGAGAAGGAAUGUGAGCACUGAGCAGCAAGGAGAGAGACGCAAUGCAGGCGCAGUUUCAUAAAUGCCCCUAGGUUUCCUUUAAAAUUAUGGUUUACUAAAUUGACUGUUUUACCCUUUCUAUUAUGGGUAAUAAAUAAAUCUAUUUUUAUAAAAAAAAAUUAGAUUCCAGAAAUUAACAUAAUUUUAAUAUGCUGAAAGAUUUUUUUGGGUCGGUUUCAUCAUUUUAAUAUGCUGAAGGAAUACAAUCCACUAAUAAAAGAUAGCUAGAUGAGCCUCACAAUAAAAAAAAAAGAAAUAGAUAAAUAAAUAAAGAAGCUUUCAAUAAUUUUUUUUGAUGCUUAUACUUAUAAUGUGAAGAGGUUAAAAGAAAAAAAUAGAUUAUCGAUAUAGAAAUUUAAUUUUAAAUAAAUUUCUAUUAAGGUUAGAGUUGCUUAAUAGUCAUUUUAUAUUGGCACGGUAUUUUACUUUUAAAAUUUAAGUCUAAAUAAUGAUUGACAUCAUAAAUUUUAUCACAAAUGAUAGAAUAUUGAAAUCAAAAUUUGAAAUAAAAUUUUAAAAUAUGUAAUGUAUUUUUAUUUUUUUGAUUUAAUUAUUAACUCAAUUGAUAGUUUUCAAAUGAAAGUUAUGUAUGAGCACCACGCUGAAAGACUUUCAUAGUUUUAACUAUAUUUUCAAUGCGUUGUUCCUUUUGACUAUGUUGUUCGUGCAUGAUCACAGCAAAAUUAAUUUUGGUUAUCAUCAUAAUAAGAAUUUAAUAUCAAAAAGAAUUUGGAGAAAAAAAAAAGUCAAUAUUUCUCACUUGGGGGUGAGGAUGCAAUUUAAAAUUUCAUAAAUGCGAAUGGGGGUAAAAUGGUAAAUAUAAAGUACCAAGUGAUUUGAUUCCUUUCUUGGUCAAUAUGUGGAUAUAUUUUGAACUUUGAGCGCCGACCUUGACCUUUGGUGGACUUGCAUGAGUCACGCUUUCUUUUUUCACGUUCUUUUUCAUCCGGUUUUGAUUUCAAGAAAUUAUUAACUUAAUCAAACUUUUGGCGUAAUCCCCUCUUCUUUUGACCCGUAAUCCCCUCCUUUUGUUUGUAUUUGCCUGUGUAAUUUUCAUGUGCUAGCAUUUGUUUAUUCUUUUGUUUGUAUUUUAAUGUGCGAACAUUUAUUUAUUCUUGAAUAACAUAUAGAAUGACAGACAACCCUUUGUAUAUUUUUGAAGUGUUUUUUUUUUAAAUUUACUCUCCAACUAACCUUAUUCAUGGGGAAAAAAAAAAGAAAAGAAAAACUUGUUUCCGACUUAAAUUAGCUACAGUUCAGAUUUUUAUUGCUAUUACCUUUGGCGUAGUGAUAAAUUUAUUCUUUUUAUAAAAUUGUGGUCAUAAAUUCAAGUUUUAUGAGUUUAAAGUACUUUCUCUUCUACAAAUAGAAUAGAAGUAAAAUAUCACUCACUAUAUUAGUGGGAGUGAUUACCAAGCUAAUCUUGGUAAAAAGAAGCCUAGACAGAUAUCACCGGAGUACUAGAUUCAAGCUAGUCUCUUCUAUAAAUGUGAUAAAUGUGGAUAGAACCUCUGAGCUGUACUGCAAAUUUAUAUAUUUAAAUUUUCAAUAGACUUAAUAGUUAAUACCCAUUUGUGUGUGGAAAAAGAACUGAAUAAAUUGAAUGGGUUAUGGAUUAGAACUUAAUUAGGGUUCUUCUGAUUUUGAAUCAUUGAUCGGAUUCAAGUUCUAACUGGAAAUUGCUACAAAGUUUGUCUCUCAACCAAGUGAUUAACUAGCUAACGAGGAUAUUAACCAUUCAAUAAUCAAUAAAUCUAAUUAGUACAGUUCCAAGUACAAUGAAGAUGGUCUAACUUUUUCCCUUCAUUUGAGUCUUCUUAAUACACUCUCAGCCGUCUGCCCAAGCUGCCCACUCCAUCUCCAAAUUAAUGAGAUGAUUUUCUCCUCAUUGGGGAGGGAGUUUAUUGUAAAUUUAGGUAUGAGAUGAUUUUCUUCCACUUGAAUCUAAAUUUAUGGGGGUUAAUUAUGGUUCUUUUUACUAUUUUUGUAUGCUAUCGUGUGUGGUUUUUUUUUUUUUUAAUUAGAUUGGAAUUCUCAAGAGUUGAUCAUAUAUGGAAAGUUACAAGCUACGGAUCUUUUUCAAAUAGAGUAAGAAUUAUCUAUGAGUUGGUAAAGUUUAUGCUAGUGGUGAAGGGUACUGAAGUAGCUACGGGUUGCCUGCGAAAUGUCUAAAAUGGAGCUCUAAUUUGUGGUAAUGUGAAAUGUCAGCUGUUCUUUCUUGAUAGUUAGUAAAAUUGAAAUAAUUUGUUUUGUUGUAUUUUGUAAUGAAUCUUUUUGUACAUGGAUCUUGAUUUCUAUUAUAAAUUUGGCAGAAUCAAAUUCCUUUUCACUUAUUUAAAACAAUAACACACAGAAGCAAUCAAACAAAAUAAAAUUGUUAUGGAUAACAAGGCAAUCAAUGAUUUGCACACAUUUGGAUGUUAAAGUUCUUUUAAAAUGAGAAAAAGAGCCCCACAAGAAAUGAAGACAAAAGUUGGGAACCGUCCAUCCAGCAAAAUUUUUAAGUUAAUAAUCUUGAUAGAUCAUAAAUUUUUUGUGUUUUAGAAGGUAAAGAGACUCAGCAAUAGAUUUUUUUUUUCUUUUCUUUUCUUUUUGAAUGGUUACAACUUACAACUCAGUGAUAGUUUAACAAAUGACAAUUUAUUACACACCCUAUUGACUUGACCACAUAACAACUAUACGACAUGGCUGUUUUAGGUCAUUCUAAAAAUAUGAAAACUAACUUGAUAAUUAAUUCAAAUCUUAGAGACUAAAGGUGCGAUUGGGAGUGAGUUACUGUAGGUUUUAAGUUGCAGCUGUUGUGGAAUAAGAGUCUCAGUUGCUACUAAACACCUCAGCAGCUCAAUUUUAGUAGUCAAACUGUCACACAUCACUCCUAAAUGCAUCCUAAAACGAUCAUUUGUGCAUUUAAUAUAUCCAAUAAUACUUAUACACAGCGUUUCAGUUUUCAUGCCAAGGUUUCCAGACUGAAUGAAGGCCAAGAAAUGGCACUGAGAAUGUCACAAGAAGAGCUGCCCAACCGAAUAAUGAGUCCGAGCUGCAGAGCAAGCCAGACUGAAUUUGGGCCCAGAAGUAGCUAAGCCAUCUGUUUUUCUGACCAAAAAGGAAUUUCGCAAACAGCUCACUUGCUUGCUUUCCAACUCAUCCCUUUGCUUAUUUUAGUGUGAUUAAUUAGUCCAUAAGAGGCGAGCAAUCCCUUUGCAAAAUAUGGUUCAAGGCUUCAAGCCAUGUGCAUCGAAAAGCUGGGAUUAACUUAAAAAGCUGUGGUGGCCCAAGAUUUUGUUUCAUCCAACCAUUCCAGCCACAAAGUAAUUAAAAACAAAUAUUAUCCCAAACAUGACAAAAACAGAAAAUUUCCAUGGAAUUGCUUUUAUAUGAUCUUUCCUUUGUCAUGAAAUUUUGAGUGGCGAAUAGACUUAAUGGGAUAUGAAGUGCUGAGAACAAUGCUUGGAAAGUUGGUAAAAGGAAGAUGAGUCUUGAGUUUGUUUCGCAUCACAGGCCUAGUCUACAAGGAAAUGCACAAUAUCUAUGCUACCAAACAAAGUUCACAUGGCAAAAGCAAGUACUUUUUUGGCUUUUUGUGCUUCACACCUUUGAAUCCCACCAGCAACAAGAGCAUUUCUGUGUAACAAAACCGAUAUUCGGCUCUGAAAAAGUAACCCAAAAAAAAAAAGGGAUCUGUUCCUUGGCCUGCAAGGCUUGCCUGCAUUAUUUAUUAAGUCAAUGAAACUCUCCAUACUCCUGAAAUGGCUUAUAGUCUUUAGCUUCUUCCACUUGGUGGCUUGGAAAUUGGGGAGAUUUUGAGGCAUAUGUGCGGUGAAGACUUGCUAAAGAAGAGCAAUAUGGCUGGAUUUUUGCCGAAAAACUGUGCAGCAUUGGAUGUGUGGAUGCUUGGUUCUCAUGAGAGGGAUGCUGCUGUGGCUAGACAAGCACUUGAAGAAAGUGCUGUUAACUUCAAAGCUUUGAUUGAGAUUCUUGUGGGAAGGAAAUCAAGUCAUAUUGCCCUAAUCAAACAAGCCUAUCAGACAAGAUAUAAAAGGCAUCUGGACCAAGAUAUUGCCAAUAUUGAGCCUCCCCAUCCCUACCAAAAGGUAAGCUUGUUUCAAAAAGCACUUUCAGAUAAUCAAAAUCACUUUUUUGGGGCAUUGAGCACUAAAAGUUUGGUUUUUUGGGGAAAUGUUUCUCAGAAUAAAAGCACCCAUAGAACAAUGCACCUUUUUUUGCUUAACAUAGAGCCGCUUAGUUUGAUUUUACGAGCGAUGAUUUUAUAGAAAAGAUUGGCAAUUUGACAGAUUCUUGUGGCACUGGCUACAUCACACAAGGCACACAAUGCAGAUGUUAGCCAACAUGUUGCCAAAUGUGAUGCAAAAAGGCUUUAUGAAACAGGGGAGGGCAGUCCAGGAGCCGCCGAAAAAGCUGUUGUGCUGGAGAUUUUCAGCAAAAGGAGCAUCCCACAGAUGAAGCUGACAUUUUCUUGCUAUAAACACAUCUAUGGACAUGACUACACGAAGGUAAUUAACAUUGUCUUGCCAGCCCUAUAUGAUCCUAAUUUACAGACUUUUAACUGUAAAAUUGAGAUGAAAUUUAACAGCUUCUUCCAUUAUCGGUGCAUUUUUCAGUCGCUUAAGAGGGGAAACUCCACGGAUUUUGAAGAUGCACUAAAAAUGGUUGUCAAAUGCAUUCUAAAUCCACCCAACUAUUACGCAAAGGUAAUAAUUAUUUAGCCUUGCGGCCUUCUAUAAUACCAUUAACAAAGCGGAUAAACAUAUUUGUAUUCUUUUUUUGGGGCCAAAAUUCAUGCAUAUCUCUGCUACAUUACACUGAAAUCCCCUGUAUUCGAAAUGCCUCAAUGAUCGUUGCCGGAAUUGACCGUAAGUGUUAGGUCUUUUGCACAUAAAAAGUUGAAAAAUUGGCAUCAGUGGUAAACUUAUUUCCUGGGUGUAGACACUGUAUGCAAGCAUCAAGGGGACAAGGGUUGAUAAGGCCGCGGUGGCACGUGUGUUGGUGAGCAGAGCUGAGGUCGACAUGGAUGAGAUUCAAAGGAUUUUCAAGAAAAAAUAUGGGAUGGAACUGAGAGAUGCAAUAUGUGAGAGCAUUCCAUCUGGGGAUUACAGAGAUUUUCUUGUUGCUUUCUCCACAAAAGCAAGUACUGCUUAGUCGAUGAUUUGAGUACAUUAUGAAGUCUUGUUUACAAUAAUCUACAUUUGCAUAUAUAGUAGAUUAACUAGCAGCACUAUGGUGUGAUGGAAAGGCAGUGGUGAGACUUGAACCCUUUUUAUAAGCAUUUCAAAAGUGAUAAUGUUAUCAUCAACUGUUUUACUAAAGGUCAGUGGCUUCUCCAAUAUCAUGUUGGAAGAAGAUGCUACUGUAAUUAAUGCAAACAAUAAUCUUCCUGAUUAAGAUACAAUGUCAAUAGGGUACUCGCCAUAUCCCAAAAAUUCCUGAAAUGGCGAAUAAAUUCUUGGUCAGCCAACAAAUUAAAAAAAAAAUCAACAAACAAAUACAAAAAAAGAACAAAAAACCAUACUAGCUCGGAUUUAAAUAAUUGCUUAACCAUAUUGAAUGUAUUGGAGGGAAGGAGUUUGAGUCCUAAUAUAUAUAUAUAUUUUUCCAAUUUGGGUGGUAGAUUCGUUUAUAUUGGGCAUGACAUAAAUCUUCAAUUAAUCCAUCCUAGGUAUUAUUAGAUGAAUUUAAGGUUUUGAGAAUAAAAGCUAAUGUAAUGUUAAUAAAAAAAGAAGAAGAGGUAAUUACAUGCCUGAGAAUUAAGAAAAGAAAGUUGUGAAGAAAAAAGAAGGAAUAUUAAUUGUGUCCCACAUGCAUGAGAAGAUUGUCUAGAGAAGGAUUAUCCAAAGACAAAAACCAACUCCAAUAAUAAUUCUCUUUCAAAGUCUAAAGAAACCUCAAGCUGCUACCCCCUCGAUUUAUUACACCACAAGAUCGAAUUCUACACGUAUAAAAAGCAACUCACCAGCGCAGGGAAUUAGGGAUGCAUAUAUCAUUCACUCCACAAGACAUAUUUCCUUAAAAUAAGGGAUAAAUCAAUGGAACAAAGCUUAAGCUCCAAGCUAAUCUCCAAUCCUAUUGCAGCUGGCGAAGAGAAGAACAUCAACAAGAUCUUUAAGUCCAUCCCAAAGGCAUAAUACAUAAUUAUUUCUCAAAUAAAUAUACAAGAACGCUUUCAUAUUAUCACAUUGUUGUACGUAGGUUACAGGAAAGAUCAACUUCAUGCGCGUAUCAACGAUUAAGGUGAGGUAACGAUUAGUGGGGAAAAAGAGAAUAGCGUUUGCCAAAAACACAAAGUUUGUACGGGUUGCAAGAAAGUGGACGGUUGUUGCGAAAUAAUCAAAGUUUCUACGGGCUGCAAAAGGGAGGGAAUUGACGUAACGUUUUCGAAUGGGAUUCUUUACUUUAAAAUGCCAAAGAGAAGUCAAUGGUGUGCAGUACAAAAUCGACUAGCUAGAGACUGCUGCAACAACUCUGAAGCUUGGGGCAGUUGCUGUGCUGUUGGUGGUUGUUGCUGUUCAAGCAUUUUUAGGUUGCAUAUAAUAUCGCUAAUUCUUUUCGUGUUAAGGACUUAUAUUUACAGGCUUCAUAUCUCAUGUUAAUUUCUUGAUAUUAAUUUAAAGUUCUUUGAAGCACGUAUUUAAUUACUAAUUUGUGUCGAUGACAAAAUAACAAUUAAUGCGUUAAUUGAAAUCAAAUGAGCUGAUGCAUUAAUUUUCUUCGUUCUUGUGAUUUUGCUAUUUUGGCUCGUUUAAAUUGAUUUCUGUCACAAGUAGUGGUGGUGAUAAACUUUGAUUCACUCCUUGACAUGUAUGUCAGCUAUGAAACCAGAGCAACGUUACAUGUAUGGCUCACACAAUCACCAUCAUCAUCAUCACCACCACAAUGAAACGAACGCGGGACAAUAGCCGGAGACCCAGAUGGCAUAGGGCAUGCAUGCUUGGUGGUAAAUGUAACGUGGCUGAAACAAAGUUUAUAUAUAUAUAUAGAUAUAAAGGCCGCUGCAACAACUCUGAAACUUGGGGUGGACGCUGUGGUGUUGCUGCUGGCCGCUGUUGAAGCAUUUGUAGCUUGCAAAUAUCGCCGAUGCGAUGCUUUUCACGUUAACGAUGUUAAUUUCUUAAAAAGUAAAGUUCUUUGAAGCACGUGUUUAUUAAUUUGUGUCUAAUGCAUUAAUCGAAAUAAAAUGAGCUCCUUCAUUCCUGUGAUUUUGCCAUUUUGGUUUAUUAAAUUGGUUUCUGUCACAAGUAGUGCUGGUGAUUGAUGAACUCGAUUCACUCGUUGACAAGUGAACGCCUUUCAACUGAUCAUGUAUGUCAGAUAAAUGUUGCUCACACAUCAUUAUCGCGAUGACCAUAAAAUGAAUGCGGAACAAUAAUAACCGGAGACCCAGAUGGCAUAGGGCAUGUUCGGCAAUAAGUGGCUUUUUUUUUUUUUUUUUUCUUUUCUAAAAUCUAAAUAGGACUAAGUUAGUUUGAAUUUUGAAUAGAACUGAAUGUCGAAAUAUAAAUUAUUUAUAGUUAUUCUUUUGUUUGAAUUGCUGAAAACAAAUAUUAAGUUAUUUCUUUUUUAACUUAAAAUUUUAAAAACAAGUAUUUUUAUAUUUAUACCCUUAUAAAUGUUAAACAAAUAUAAUAAGCACCUCAAAGAACUUAAAUAAGAUAAUAUAUUAUCAUAAUAUAAAUCUUGUUCAAUUGAAUACAACACCUUAUAUUCUAAAUUAGUUAAUCAAUUUUAUUACAGUUCAUGAUGUUUUUAUAUGAAAAAUAUUCAUAAAAAUUUAUGAAGGUAAAUAAUGCUAUUUUGAAGGAAAUAAAAAAAUAAAAUUAAUAAUAAUCUACCAUUAUAUUAUCACAAGUUAUAAAGAUGGGUAAUAAUGCGAAUUAUUAAAUUUUAUUUAGGUAAGGAUGAAAAUUAAUUAAUUAGAAAUGAAUAUUUUGGAGAAUAUCUUUUAAUGAUAUCAUUAUAACUUUUUAGAUUAAGCAAAAAGCUAAAAAAAAAAUUGGCUUAAAAACUUAAUGAUUUAAUAACUGAAAAUUUUCAUUAAGUUCAUAACAUAAAUUGAGUUAAUGACUUAACUGAUUGAAACUAAGGUGAUGUUUUUUUUUAUUAUUUGAAAUCUGAAUAGGCUUGAAUGGAUCUCAAAUCUAAAUAGACCUGAAUGUCUGAAUUUGAAUAAUAUGUUUGUUUUUUUAAAUCUUUGAAGAUAAAUAUUAAGUUGUUUUUUCAACUUUAAAAACUAAAAACAUGUACUUUUACAUUCAUAUCCUUAUUGAAUUUGAAUGUUAAGUGUGUGUGUGUGUGUGUUUGUGUGUGUAAGCAAAACGACGUUCAAGUGAAUACGUAAUGAUUUUGGAAUUAUAAUAUAUAAUUUUUUUUUAAUAAAAACAGAUUGUAUAAUUACAUAAAAAAGUUUAAGAAUAAUAUCUUUGAUUGAUUACUAGUAAUGGGAGAUUAAAGAACUUGACGAGAGAAGCAAAGUGAUGAGGGAUCCCAUGAUGGUAAAAAAAAAUAAAGAUGAGAUUAUUAUUAGUAGGUAAAUAUGUAUAGGUGGGUUUUAUGAUAGGCAUGAAAAAUAAAUAAUAAAAAUGGGGAUAUUUUUUACAUUAAAAAUUAGUUGAUUGAUUCGGAUUUCUUCAUUCAGUAAAAAGUCAAAAAAGAUUGACUUAUUUUAUUAAGUCAAAAUUAUUUGAAAAGUCGCACUAAGUUAUAAAAAUAAACACCUCUACUUAACUUAAUUAAUUAAGUCACUUCAAAUCAUUAAGUUAAAAAAACAAACACCCUCUAAGUUAAUUAAGUCAUUAAGUCAAAAAAACGAACAAUCCCUAAAAGUACAAUAGCUGAAAAAAUGGUUUAAAAAACAAUAAUGUACCAACCAAUUCACAGCUUAUAUUGGGAAUCCUAUUAUUCUGGACACUGGAGUUACUAUUGAGAUCACUCUCUACAAAGAAAUCGCUUUCAACCUAUAAUCAGACUCCCCUUUGGUAAUUAGUGUGAUGUUGUGACUUAAAAGACACAUACAUGAUUUCUAGCUGUUAAAUUAGAGUUAAUAGUAGCAUAUAAUAGUAAAGAUAAUACCAGUUCAUCAUGAAAAAUGAUGAAAUCAAAUUAUCUUAAGCUGUGGCAUUUUUCAAAAGUAGUAUUUCAUGAAACCCUUUACUAGUUGAAUUAUAUCAACUAAAAUCUACAGUCACUUGGUGACUUAAUUCAUCGAAUAGUGUACAAAUCAUAUAAGUUUUAAUUAACAAAAAUGACAUUCAUACAACGUUAAGCACUGAACAGUGUGUUUUGAGUUAAGUGUAAAUUCUCACAGUGGCUAACACACAGCUCACAACAUGCGCAAAACUCACACAAGUUUCACGCAAAAUCUCACCAGAACUGAAUGCUCUCUCCAUUGGCUCUCUAUCUGUGUGGUGACUACCGGCUCUCUCUUUCCCUCCCUCCCUCCCCCGUUGCUCACACAUCUGACCUUACUCCCUUUUCACCAUUGACUUUCUUUGUCUCUCUCUCUCUCGCUGUUGGUCUCUCAACAGCUCGCUGUCGAUUGCAUCUCUAACGGCACCUCAUUGUCUCUGUUGUCUCAGAAAUUUGACUUGCAGCUUCAACUUCACUCUCUCGGCUACUGUAAUAGAUUUGUGGAGGUAAUUUGAUUCAUUUUAUAUUUGUGCUCAAAAUGCCCUGUUCGGUGCUUAAUAUUGUGCUUAAUGUUGUGUAAAUAUCGGAAUUGUUUAAUUAAUUAAUUUGGUAAAUGUGUAAUCACAUGGCUAUGAAUUAAGAAAAGAAAGAUAGGGAUAGGAAAGAGAAGGAAUAUUUUCUCACUGAUGCGUGAGAAGAUAGAAUUUCACUUCCAAACUCAGCAGCUAGAGAGCAAGGUGAAGGGAAUUGAAUUGUACGUAUUCGGAUUUCGGUAAACCUCGAAAUGUAAUAAUGUUAAAUAAAAAAGAAAAAGAAAACGUGUAAUUACUUUAAAUGUCUUCGAACUAAGAAACGAAGGAAUAUUAAUUGUGUCAGCGCAUGAGAAGAUUGUGUAGAGAGUUGUGAAGGAUUCCAAAGACAAAAGCCAACUCAAAUAAUAAAUUCUCUUUCAGAGCUCAAGCGACCCCUUCAACACAAGUGUGAAUCCAGCACAUAUAAAAAGCAACACAUCAGGGAAAUAGGAAUGCAUAUAUCAUUCGCUCCACAAGACAUUUUCCUUCAUUAAAAAAGAAGAAAGAAAAAAAAGAAAAAAGAAACAGAUACAUCAAUGGAAACUAAGCUUCAGCUCCCAGCUGAUUUCGAACCCUAUUGCAGAUGGCGGAGAGAGGAACAUCAAUUCGUUCUUGAAGUCCAUCUCAAAGGUGGUAUAUAAAUAUUUCUAAAUAAAUAUAAUCAAGAAAAAUUAGAUGCUCUCAUUUUCAUAUUAUUACAUGGUUGUAGGUUUCAAGAAAGAUCAAAUUCGUGUCUUUGUGAACGAUCAGGGUAAGCUGAGGAUUAGCGGAAAGCGUCCUAUAGAUGAAAACAAUGUGGAGAGUUUUAGCAAAAGAAUCGAAGUUCCUAAGGAUUGCAAAAGUGAUCGAAUUAAAGCAAAGCUUUCUAAUGGAAUUCUUCGCUUAACAAUGCCAAAGAAAACACAUUCACAUGUAACACGAAAUCAAGCUGCUGCAACAGCUGGAAGAAACACUCUGAAACUUGGAGUUGGGGCGGUUGCUGUGGUGUUGGUGGCGGCGGCAGCUGCUGUUGAGGUGUAUGUAGCCUUCAAAUAUCGCCAAUGCUUUUUUAAUAUAGGCGAAACUUGGCGGUCGUCCAGGAUUCAAUAUUUUUAGGAAUGCCUCAUCUUUUAUAUUUCUUAAAUAAUACUCAGAAAUAAUGAUUUUUUUAAGUUACCCAUAAUGUAUAACUUCCAUAAAUAAAUAAAUGUUCGAUAAAUUAAUAAUACUGAUUAAAUAAUAAAAUCUUUCGGACUCGACUUAAAAUUUUUAGAAAUAAUCCCGUAUUCACAUAUCAACAAAUUGCGUAGAAAGGAAAUAGUUUUUACGAAAAUGAAAUUCUUGUGUAGGGCAAAGUAUAAAUCCACAAGUUUUAUUAUUCUUAUUUCUUUAUCAAAUAUUCUUAAUCAAACGAAUACAAAUUGAAGGAUCAGCUUAUAGUAAUUAACAUGCAAUAUUACUGCUCACAAAAAUUUGCAUAACUUGACAAGGAAUUUAUUUUUGGCCAAGUUCAAACCAAUGCAAAGUUAAUCGGCGAUCACCUAAAUGUUGCUCACACCAUGAUCAUUGAUCAUCACCAUAAAACGAAUGCGGCUACCGUAACCGGAGACCAGAUGGCGUAGGGCAUGUUUGGCUAUUAAGCUUAAGCUAUUAUGAGAUCAAAGCUAUAGUUAUUAAGGAAAAACUUAUGGGUCUAUGACAGAUAAUAAAUUUUUGUUAAUUUAUACAUUUAACAACUAUGAAAAAAAAGAAAAAGGAUCGGGAAAUUUAUGAAAAUAACCAUAAAAUUUUUGUUAUUUUCAUAAUUAACCCUCUCAACUUUUUUCUAUCAACAUUAGCCAAAUACAGGCUUUUCUCCCCAAAUUACCCUUCUUUACAAACAAAAAACAACUUUCGUCAAACCAAAGGCAGCUUUCCACUCUUGAAUCAUCAACCAACGGCGACGAUAAAAGACAACGAUAAAAGUGAAAUCCGAUUAUAAUCUAUCCGGAUCCAACACUAAUCGGCAUCACAUAGUGGUAUGAGUUAUUUUCUGAACUUUCUGAACUUGCUCGAGAGUUUCAGUGAACUGCGAGUCGGGGUGAAUAUGGCGACAGGCUGCCUGUCGCACGAAACUUGGAGCGACAGGCAGCCUGUCGCACCAAAACUUGGUGCGACAUGCAGCCUGUCGCACCAAAACUUGGUGCGACAUGCAGCCUGUCGCACCAAAACUUGGAGCGACAGGCAGCCUGUCGCACCUAAACUUGGUGCGACAGGCACCUGUCGCACCUAAACUUGGUGCGACAGGCACCUGUCGCACCAAAACUUGGCCAUUUGGUGACCACUGGUGCGACAGGCCAUUUCUUCUUCUUGCUUUCACCUUCUGCACCUGUCGCACCAAGGUCAUUUCUUCUUCUUACUUUCACGUGCAAUAUAUUCUCCCAUUCUAAGCCAAGUCACGGGCCGGCCACCAAAGAGAGAACACCGAGCUCAUCUAAAGCUAAUUAUUCAUUGACUUCUGUAGAAUUCGAAUUAAGCCAGUGAUUACAAAUUACAAUACUCCAAACCUAAAUAACAAAGUAAGAGCAUGCAUGUUUGUUGCGCCUCACUCUACUCUACAAUAACAGUUUUACUUUAUUAAAAUUUGUAGUAAAUUUACAAACAGAAGUACAUGGGACGUUACAUGGUCUUCGAAUCUUGCAAUACGAGGACUUCUUGUAAAUCUGAAUGACUCCUCCUGAAAGACAUCUCUCUAAUCGUGUCCAAAAUAGGCCUCCAAGAUCGUUUUACGGGAGACCUUCUCAACGCCGUCGGCCAUCCGAUUUGGGCUUCUGGUUGGCAAGUUCCAAGCCGGGCUUGAUGAACUACGGCUGUACGGAUUUGGUGACAGAGUUUUUCUUCUGGGUGAAUUAUUAGCCUGAGAUUUGCCAGCGGAUUUGGCUUGCGCUGUGAGCUUUUUCACAAUACCUGCCAAGUCAAUAGGAGAAAAUUCAUUUCCGAAUGUUGAGGCUGGCAGUACAAAAUAAAUACGCCCUGGUUCCAGGAGAGUUUCAGCUGUCAAUGGCUUUAAGCUAGCUGCAGACAGAAGCUGAGCUGCCGUGAAUACAAAAUGCUUUGGUGGCCGGCCCGUGACUUGGCUUAGAAUGGGAGAAUAUAUUGCACGUGAAAGUAAGAAGAAGAAAUGGCCUGUCGCACCAAGUGGUCACCAAAUGGCCUUGGUGCGACAGGUGCAGAAGGUGAAAGCAAGAAGAAGAAAUGGCAUGUCGCACCAAGUGGUCACCAAAUGGCCUUGGUGCGACAGGUGCCUGUCGCACCAACACUUCCAGGCAACGAGCUCCAACAUAUGCUCUUCAAUUCUUCUAAACCAAACUUAUAUCUAGCUGCUGGAGGUUUGGAACAAAAACAAGCCACGUCAAGUCCUUCACUUCGCACCCAUUUAUUACAAAUUCAAAUAUCUCAGAUUCACCAACGCCUUCAUCUCUUCCGGCAGCCCACGUAGGGAAGUCCGAAACAGAACGAGCUUCUCUGAUCUUGAAGAUUACGAGGUCAGUGAAACCGAGUCCAAAAUCUCUGACGACGCCAUUUCCGAAAUGGAGCGUGUUUCUACUGCCGCCAUGGCUGAUUUAAAGGCUUGACAGAAUCGGCGAGUUGUUGCGCCAAGGCAAGCUCACCAACAUUAUGGAGAUGAGAGAGAGGGGUAUUUUGGUCUCAAAGGCUUUUUUAUGGCUAAUGUUGAUAGAAGUUUGUUUGGGGGGUUAAGAUGAAAAAAGCCAAAAUUUUUAUGACUAUUGGUGUAAAUUUCCCAAAAGGAUCAAGUCAGAGGAAACAGAAAAGAUCAACGGGCGUUACCAAACACACAACAGCCCAGCUACUGAGAAGCAGAGCCAAACUGGCCCACAAUCCAGGAAGCACUACUUAUAUUAAUCACUUAAUUUACUUAGUUAAGGUGCGGCAGCAUCACUGUGGCCUGACCCAACCUAACUGAGGCUUCCCUUUGAUUUUUAAUUGAUAAUUUUAAAAUAUGCAGUAAAGAUGAUUCGAGUUUUCUUAUUUUAAAUAUAUAUAUUAACUUUUAAAAUACAAUUGUAUUAUUGUUAGUAUUUUCGAACACGUCAAUGAAAUAUUAGCUAAGCAAUCCCAAAGGGUGUGAAUUAGAUUUUUAAAAAUUAUGGAGAAAUUAAAUCAAAACACAAUGCAAAUAUCAAAUAAAAUUUUGCAAAUAAUAAAUAAAUCACAACAAUCAAAAUGUAAAAAGACGAGGGAAAGAGAGUCAAUUACAAGAUUUUUACGUAGUUCGGCAAAUUCUACCUACAUUCACACCUCCAAACUCACCGGGUUUGAGGAUUCCACUAUCAAAGUCUUACACCCUAAAUCUUCUAAAAUCCACAUAAUUAACUUCUAGGUGUCAAUUAACCUUUACAAUAUUAUGUUAUCCCAAACCUCAAAACCCAAUUGUUUCCCACACUCUCAAACACUCAAUUUGAUGUUAAAAUGAAAAUUACACAUUUUUUUUCACACAAUUUAUGUGUUUUACAAAUGAAAGCCAAAAGUGUGAUUUGAUAAAAGACUAAUAAAGUUCUAAGCAUAAGAGAGAUUGAAUAUACAAUGACAAACUUAAUGAUGAUUGUAGAAUCCAACAUUAUUUGAAUUUGAUUGAGACUUUUUGUAAUUAGAGAAGAAAACUAGUUGUUGUUGACUUUCUGGGUAUAAUUGGAUUGUCGUCCACUGCUGUCGGAUCACUGUUUCGACUUUGUAUAAGUAACUAUUAUGCAGAAUUUUGAAUAAUCAAUUCAAUCGUUUGGAGUUAUCGAUUUGCCAUUUAAUUUUAGAGACCUGCAAGAUAUUUAUCAGUUAGUUGUUUGUGCUAAAUGGUUCACCAGUUGCAAACUAAUUCCUCUCUGAAAUUUGUUGGUUAGCCGUUAUCAGUAAACGAUUUACCGGUUCCAAAGAAUUUGCUCUCUGAAAUUUAUCGGUUAAUUAUUUUCUAAUAAACAGUUCACCAUUAUCUUCCAAAAUCAAAACUAUAAAAUUUCCUUAAGAAAGUUGUUUGCCGACUUAGGAUUAACGAUCAUCAAUUUAUUUUCAGAAUUUUAUUUAUGUUUAAAACAACUUCAUAUGACUUAAAAAAUAAUUAGUUUUAAAGACUCCAACUUAUUUAUUCGGUUUGUUAUUAUUAAAAUCAAUUUUGUAAAUAUAUGUAUGUUAACAGUCAACAACUGUGAUUUUUUUUAAAGUAAUUAAUUCUUCGUAUAACCAACCUUUACAAGUUGAAUUAUAUACAUGAACUAAAAUCUACAGUCACUUAAGUAGUUCAUCAAAUAGAAUAGAAAUUAUAUGAGCAUUAAUUAAUAAGUUAGGUAAAGGUAUAAUUAAUGACAUGGCUACUAGGGAGGAGGAAGGAAUAUUUUCUCACCGAUGCAAAAGGAGACAGAUUGUCAAGAGAAUGAGAUUAUCCAAAGGCACAAACCAACUCAAAUCAAAUCCUUUGCUUUCAAUAAGGAAUUUAUUCCCUUUCAAAGUCCAAAGAAAUCUCAAGAGUUGGCCCAUCAUAUUAAAAGCAACCAAGGGAAAUAGAGAUGCAUCAGCAUCAUUCACUAGAAAAUUACUCUAUAACUCUCAUACAAAAAUUAAGCAUAGCCAGAUUUAUAUACAUCAUUGAUGGAAACCAAGUUCUCAGUUGAUGAGAUCGAACCCUUCUGCAAAUGGCGAAAAGAGGAACAAGAAGAUGUUCUUGAAGUCCAUCUCCAAGGUGGUGUUAUAUCAUAUUCAUUAACAAUACACGCAUUUUGCUAAUAAAAUCAUCGAUCCGUGAUCUCAUUAAAUUGUUGUUAUUGUCGCAGGUUUCCAUAAAUCACAACUGAAGGUCCAAAUCAACAAUCUUGGGGAGCUAACUAUUAGCGGAGAACGUCCUCUAGAUCAAGAAAAUAAACGAGUUCGUUUUCGCAAACAGAUAAAUGUUUCAAAAGACUGCAAAAAGGAGGAAAUUCAUGCAAAGCUUUCAGGAGGGAUUCUUUACAUAAUGAUGCCGAAAAUAAUCCCUGUUUCGCUUCCUGCACAAGCUCGAGAACAAAUUGUUAAUCAAGAAAAGAGUAAUAAUAAGAAUGGAAAUGCAAAGCAAAAUGAUAUUGAUCAUAAGCCUGCCGCCGCGAGCGCAACCACGGCUGGAACAAGCCGUGCCGCUACGUGGAGCAUGAUGAGCAAGCUGCCGUCAACAAAGUGCAUAUCUGAGCUAAAAUGUUCUGUUCCAAGGCUACAACAAAUGGACGGCAAAACAGCUCUGAAACUUGGGGCUUUGGCUGCCGUCAUGGUGGUGGCUGCUGUUGGGGCAUAUGCUGCCUACAAAUAUCACCGAGCUUUUCAUGUUGACGACUAAUUAAUUUACGGACUCCAACAGUGUUUAUGUUGUUUUCUUAAAUUAUUCCUUUGCUUGAUGAGAAAAUAACAAUGCCUUGAAAUGAAACGAUCGGCUUCAUUUUCUUAAAUCCAAAAAAAUUAUUAUUACUUUUUUCAAUUAAUCCAUACAGGUAUAUAUAUAAAGAAGAGUAGAAAAAAGCAGCUUAUUAAUAGGCUAUGUGCUGCUUGUGAAAUUUUGCACCAACUUAAUGUCACACAAAGAAUUUAUUGUUGGCCGACAUAUAAAUGUUGCUCUCACACCAUGAUCAUAGCCAUAAAGACGAGUGCAGCGACGAUAACCGGAGAGCCAGUUGCGAUGAUCCCGGAAGCAGCGUUAUCCUCGGGAGUAGUCGGAGAUGGUGCCGGAGCGUCGGAAAUGACGUUAAUGGCCAGCUUCUGGCCAAGGUCAGCACAGUGCCUCUUGGCCCCAACUUUGCCGCAAAUGUACCAUUUCUUUCCCGGGGUGGCGAGGGGGAUCGUGUCAUUUCCACUGAUGAGUGGCUCACUCAGUUUUGAGGCAACGCAGUCCUUGAAUUCGUUAGCGUUCACUUUAAUCACAUUGUGGUUGGGAGGCGUGUAUCUGAACACUGAAAAACAUUAUAAACCAAUUAAAAAAAAAAAAUUAGUGUUAUCAAAAUAAUUGCUUUUUAAUUAUUACCUUGCCCGCUAAGAAGUUAAUUAUUUAAUAUUUUAUGUACCUAAUGUGUCACCAACACGAAAAACUUUGUCCUUAGCCCAAGCUGCAUAAUCAAAGCCGGUCGUCCACCCGGUUUCAUCACCGACGAUGUGUUCCGUUGCCAUGGCGACUGCCGGAAAAACAAUUGCGACGAUCGCAAGGGUGACAAACCGAUAAGAAGCCAUUAGAAUAAUGUUGAAGCUUAAUCAAAGAGUAUUAACCGGUGAAAUAUGAGUAAAAGGUUUUGUUAUAAGCUUCAAUUGUGAUCUUGUAAUGGGUUAUUUGGGGUCUAUUUAUAGUGAAUAAUUGUCAGUGAAAAUCAGAUCAUCUGCUUUAAUAAUUAACUUGAAAACAAGAAACAAACUGGCAAAGGGCUGGCUGGCAUCGUGGCAUAUUAUUACAUUUCACAAUGUGUUGCUUUGAGAAUUGGAACCUCGGGUUAUACAAAAGAACUGAGGAAGUCAAAAUGAUGUCUUUUGUUUUGAGUAAAGACAUGCGAAUAAGGAUAAAGAAAUUGGUGGUGUCGUGCGUAUAAUUGUUAUUUUAGUGAUUUUUUGGUUUGUGGGGAAAGGCAGUGAUUAAUUCGAGACAGAAGUUUACCGCCGGCUUUAAUUAUACAAUAAUAAUAUAGUUACUGUAAAUAGCACAAAAUUUAGUACAAAAAACAGAAAAAAAAUUCUUAUCUUUUAGUAAAAAAAAUUUUUGUCUUCUAAUAAUGAUGUGCUAUUUUUUUCUUUUUUUACUUUUCGUGCAUAUAUCAUUGUUGUUAAUUAAAUAUGGUAGAAAGAAUAUUUGUGAGAAUAGUCCUCUCAUUUUCUUGGUUUAUUCGUUAGUCAUUACCAUUCACCGGCCAAAUACAGCUAUUUUGAAUCUAUUGAUCGGUUUUUGGUAUAUACACACAUGUAUGCUUGAGUGUGUAAAAUCUUUGCAUAUAACCUAACAUAAAAAUUUCUUUGCAUAUAGCCUAAUUAUUUGACUACUUUAUUAUAGAACUAAUUUAAUAAUUUUACCCUUAUAAUGUAUAAAGACCAAAUUAUAAGUCAAAUUAUUUCAAUCUAUAUAUUAUAAAGGUAAACUAAAAUAUUAGGAUUAAGAUUCAAUACUAAACUUAGUUUUUGAUGAGAAACUAAUCAAUGGUAACAUUUAUUAUUAUUUUUUUAUCUUUCUUAUUUAGCAAUUCAGCAUUGAAUCUUUGUCCAAAAUAUUAUAGUACGAUAAAUCAUGCUUUUGUCGAUAAUUUUAUCCUUUUACAUUACAACGAUAAACUAGUCACUGAUAUUAUGUAAAUCAACCUUAAUAGUUAAAGACGGCGAAGGAUAAUUGAGAAAAUUAAAAUAAGGUGGAUCUAAUUGAUUCAGUUUGCUAUUUGCAAACUAUAUAUAUACACAUAUAUUUUAAGGAGAUUGUAGUGAAGUUUAGCAUUAAACAGGGGUGUGUUUAGGGGAAUAACUAUCAGGCCUACUUAAGAAUUAACGAAGGAAAAAUAAAAAUAGAGAAAAAGCCAUUCCCACAAAUAUUUCUUCUAUCAAGUUAUAUAGCCGACGCUCAACUUCAAUCAAUCACUGCACACUUUUCCCUCAAAGCCAUUAUAAAUAGUAUCAUUAUCAUUAUCGUCAUCAAUCUUCUUCACCUUCUUCAUUACCGUCACUAAUCCUUUGCUAGUUACAAUCGGAGAUUAUAACAAAAUAUGUUUAUUCACUCAAUUUCAUUUGUGUUCCCUUAUAACAAAAUUUUUUAAGUUAUAUAACAAAAAAAUUAUCUAUAUUUUUUCUUGAAUUUUAAGUUAAAUAAUAAAAAUAUUAUUUUAUCAGUGAAAAAUUAGAUCUAAUAGUCAUAGAAGUAAUGAUGUUGGCUUCUAAAAGUUUAAUUAAGUCUCUAAAAGUUUAAUUAAGUCAUUUUGAAAAAAAUUUAUUUGACUAAUCAUCCGAUUUAAAUCUUAGAAGAGGUAGAGGGUUAAAUUUUGAUACAAAAUUUUAUCAACACCUCUACUUUUUGAGAAAAAAAUAAAGUAUCGACAUUAAAAAUUUCAGUAACUUUUUAAAAAUACAAGAGUAAAGUGAAGUGAUAAUUAGACAAAACACACUUACUAAAAAGUGAAUUCAACCAAUAAUUUAUUACAAGUUGUCACAAGGAUGUGCGUUUUCAAUGUCUCGAUUCAAAUUAUUUUUUUUAAAAAAAAUUCAAUGUAAUCUAUAUUGAUUAAUCUGUUAAAUCCUCAAUUCAGUUCAUUUUAAUUAAAUCCUCAAUUCAGUUCAUUUUAAUCUGAUAUCUAUUCACCCAAGCCCCAAGGACCUAGGUUAAGUUGAUAAAGUUUCUAAGGCAACAAAUUAAGUUACAAAAUUUUAGGUAUAAAAUUGGAAAACUAAAAGUACCCGUAACAGGACUCCAUUUGCAUCACCAUCACAAAUUUGUUCCCUCCAGCAAAAAAAGAAAAAAGAAAAAGAAAUUGAGAUCAAUUACGAGAGAAUGCUUCAGAGUUAAGAAAUUGGCAAAUUAAUAAUAUACGUAGGGGGGCUUUGGGAAAGUACCAAUGUGCCAUGCAUGUUUUAUGUAGUACAUAAAUGUACACAUAUACUUCUGUAUGUUAAAUUGUUAAAUGAUGUUCCUAAAAUUUAAUGAGAAAGUACUAUAUUAAUAUUAUAAUUAAGAGUCACUAGGAGCUUAAAUUUAUAAAAUUGAUAGGACGUUGGGAUAUACUGAGUAUAGUUUAGAAUACGAGUUAGUAUAAAAAAAAAGAUACAACCCCUAUUUUAUUAUGAAUAAUGAAUGAGAUCUAAAUAGUCGAGUCCCAAAUUUCUUAUAAUUGAUCAAAUUAAUAUUUUACUAUCCAAUAGAUAAAGUCGUAUUAAUUGAGACCGGACUAUUGAGAUUCCUGACAUUACUCUAUUAAAGAAAAAAAAAUUGAGUAUUGAUUGAUGUACUGAAAUAUGUUAAUGAUGUUUCCAAAUCCAAUUAAUAACAUAAUAUGGUUACAUCAACCAUAAUAAAGCCAGCUGUGGUUUUGUGCACAUUAACUGGCUAGAGUGUUUUCAGAAAGCACAAGUGAGAUACGAGGGAGCUAUAUAUAUUAGCUAACAGUGGCCUUUCCUUUUUCCCUCUGUAAUCAAUAUUUUGUGGAUCAAAUGUUUGGAAACUCAUAUGUCCUGCUUAUGCUACCCUGAAGAGGACAUUAUGUCUUUUUGAGCAUUUUUUUUCUCUCGUAAUUAUUAUUAGCAGAUAGAAUUGCUGGCACUUACGUUUCUGUAUUCAAUAUUGCUUUAUUUUUUUGCAGGACUUUACGGGAAAGAUUAAGGGUUAUUGGGCAGGCAGAGCAGAUUCGGUGCAAGGUUCAUUUCAACUUUUGCGUGCACGCACAACUUUAGUUAUCAAUUAAAGUCCUCCCACGAUUGAUUAAAACAUUGAAAUAAUGCGAGUCAUUCAGAGGGUUCGCCCGCGCAUGCACUUUACUCAUGUUGGUUAUAUUAAUGACAAAGCCGACAUGUCGUUUGGAAACAAUACGAUAAAUGAUGGGUCAUCUAUAUCAUGUGUGGUGAAAAGAUAUUUUUAAUCUAUGAUAAUUGUUGUUGUUAUUAUUGCUGCUGCUGCUACUAAUUAAUUAAGGACAUUUGGUUCUGGUUUUCAAGGAAAACAAAAAACAAAAAAACUAAAUCGAAAUCUAAAAAUCGAACUAAAUCGAUUUUUUCAAAAUGGAUUCAGUUCUAUCCAACCAAAAUGCCAAUCAUAUCAUUUUUUUUUCUUGAUAUUUGAUUCUCAAAAUGAUUUCAUGCCUUUUUUUUUUCGCACAUAAAACUAUCCUCAGUUAAUUGAUUAGCAUAUUUUUUAAUAAUAUUUUAAAAAAGUCACUGACAUAGUUUUCUUUUAAAUCUAGAGCAUUCUUGAAGAAUUUUAUCUACAACAAAUAUUAAAAAAGAAAAAAAAAAGUGAAGUUUGUGGAUUUUAAGUUUACAAUAUCAUGAUGAUUUAAUGGUAUAUUUAUACGUAGAAGUUUAUCAUCUAGUUAUUUUACCAUAAUCAAAAUUAUAGCUUCAAUUGUAAUUAACAGUUGUAGUUGUAAUUGAAAUCAUUAUUAUAAGUACCAUCAAAGAUGGUAAAUAAAUGAUUUUGUAAAUUACAAAAUUUAUCAUCUAAUAAAUGAAUGGCUUACGGUAGUUGGAACUCAAAUAUUAUGAUUAUUCAUAUUUUUGUGAUUUUAUCUUUUUGCAAUUAUAAUUGUAAUGAUUAUUAUUCCAUAUAACUAUCAAAAAGCAACAAUCUAUUGAUAUAAUUAAAAUAAUUUGGAAUUCAUCUAAACAGAUGACGCGUUGUUUGCUAAGAAACAGUAAGAUGUCACGUCGUAUUUUUAUUAAUGAAUACUUUGACAUGUCGUUUAUGGUUAAAAAACUAAAUGACGAGUCAUCUAAACGAUGCGCGGGCACUUACAUUUUUGGCAUGUCGGUUAUAUUAAUGACAAGGCCAACAUGUCGUCUUUUUUCUAUAAAACGAUAUGUUGUUUUAUUACAUAAGAAUAAAUGACGGGUCACCUAUAACCUUUGUGCCGAUUAAAAUAAUAUUAUUAUUACUAAUACUGCUGCUGCUGCUUCUGCUUCUGCUAUCACCACCACCACAACCACCAUUAACAUAGAUAACAAUAAUAAUAUUAAGGACAGUAAUUAACUAAGGAAAUUUUGACAACUUGUAACAAUUCAUUUUGAUUUUUAGACAAAGUAAACACAUCAAUAGGAAUACAAUCUAUUCCAAUCUCGAUUCGUGCAACUAAAAUAAAUAUGUUAUUCUAAUUCUAAUUCCAAUCCAUUCCUAUUACCAAUUAAUAAACAUAUUAUUAAAGUAUUAGAAGUUAUAUUACUGAAAAAUAGAUGACUUAUUGUCUCCGAAGUAAAAUUUUACAAUGACUAUUUUUUUCAAAAUAACAUUGACUACUAAAUGUUAAUUAGGGGCGGUUAACGAGUUGAGUCGAUUCGAUAUUGAAUUCUAAAGAUCUGAUAAGAAUAAAACAUGAAAAAGAAUUGAACCAUAACAAAAAAAAAAAAUUGAUCAAAUCCUUCAAAUAUUUAUAAUAUUUUUUAAUUUCUUGUAAAUUUUAACUUUUUAUAUUUUUAUUUUCAUUUUUAUCCUUUUAAAUCUUGCUUUUGGCACUAUUUUUAAAUAAAAAAUAUUAAUGUUUUUUUAUUCGGUUUCGAUAAAAAAAAAAAUCGAAUCAGAACCUGAAAAUCGAAUUAAACUAAUUUUUUUGAAACAGGUUUGAUUCUGCCCAACCCCGAUGCUUAAUCAUAUAUUUUUUUCUUUUUAUAAUAUUUGGUCCUCAAAAGGAUUUUGUACUUUUUUUUUUGUCAUUUCACGCCUGCAACUAUCCCCGAUUAAUUGAUUAGCAUAUUUUUUAAUAAUAAUUUUCAGAAAGAAUAUGUCACAAGACUUAGUUUUCUCUUAAAUCUAGAGUAUUCUUGACGAAUUUUGUAUACAACAAAUAUGAAGAAAAUGAAGUUUGUGGAUUUCAAGUCUACAACAUUAUAGUACAAUGAUAUAUUUAUAAAGCCGGAAUUUAUUAUCUUGUUUAUUUUUUAUCAUGCAAAUGUUAAAUGGAAUGUUUGUUUGUCAAUAGUUGCACUACACUUACAAAUAUAUUGGAAUAAUCAUAAUAUCCCCUAAUUAAACUCCAUCAUAUAUUUAAUUUUGUAUUUUAUAUCCAAUCUAAUCCAAUGACUGAUUGAAAUCCAAUAUAAUCCAAACUAAUAAAAAAUCAAAUCGAAUCAAACCAGUCAUAAUAAAAAUCUACAAAUAAAAAUCGUUAAUUGCUAUCUAGAGUUCUAAUUACUCUCUCUCUCUCUCUCACACACACACACACACACACACACAUCAAUUCCUUUAAUAUUUUAUCAUUCGUGCUUUUUACUAUCAGGGUCCAUGUAGUUGAAAAAAAAGAACAAUUGAAAUUUGAAUAUUAAAAUCAAAUACUCGUUGCAUCUUGCAGUUUGUUCCCUGUAUUAUUAUUGUACAUUUAUAGUCAAACAAAAUCUUUUUUUUUAAUAAGUUAAAUAUAAAAGUCACACAUAACUUUGUAAAAAAAUUAAUUAAUUUGGAUUGUAUCCAUUUGUUAAUUGGAUUGGAUUGAAUUGUAAAAUCUCCAACUUACAACUUCCAACCUUUUGCGUUAAUAAUGAUCCAUUCUUAUUUCAUUACUAAAGCUUGAGGAGGGUUCAGUUUCUUGUGUGAUUUAUGAGAGUAACUUUUUUUUUAUUCUAUAAAAGAGUAGAAUUUCGAUUGUACUGCAUCAAUACGGAUUUCCACGAACAUCAGAGUAGAUUUUUUAAGUCUCCUCUUUCGUUUCUAUCCACAAGUUUGUAACGUACUGCGUAAUAUACUAAUAUUUAUGAAAAAAAAUUGAAUGCAAGUAUACUUUCUGAACUCUGAAUUGAAGUACAUUUGAAAAUAAUAUUAAUAAAAAAUUGAAACUUUUAUUAAAAAAUAUAUAUUGUUGAUUGACUUGAUUCCUUUCUUUCCAUAGAAGAAACUAAACAAAGGAAAAGGAAUCCUUUCCCCUCUUUAUUUCCUUAAUAACCAAUAAUCUCAACAAUCCCAAAACAUUCACUCAAGACUCACCUGAAUUGCCACUUAUGUUUUAAUCUAGUAGUGAAUCAUUAUUUUCAAAGUUAAAAAAUAUUAUGAGGAUAGUGGUUCAAGUUUUCAUAUGCACAACCUCUCUCAAUUAAAUAAAAAAUUGUAUGAAAUUAAUUUAUAAAUUUUUUUUAUUUACGAAAUACAAGUGGAGUAGAGACAUCUCUCGUCUGUGAGGGUCAUAUGUGGGUAUGUACUUUAUAAAAUUAAUAUAAUAAUGUGAAUUACAAAUUAUAUAUUUAAUUAUAAAUAUUAGUGUAAUAUCUAUUCUAAUAAUAAUUGUAAAUAUUUAUGUAAUAUAAUAAUAUGUAGUGUCAUCCAUAUUAAAAAAAAAAAAAGACUAAGCUGAAUUGAAUUUUUAACAACGUAAUUAUUAAAAAAAAAAACAGAACCUUAAAUCCCCUACGAGUGGCUAAUCUAUUUUAGCUUUAGGACACGUGCGGUGUCGGGAAAGUGAACACGCGUGAUCAUGACGUGGCGUGCGCCUCCUCCCGCACCUUACGUAUAUGUCCUCAACAAAUCAAAAAUCACAUAAAGAACAGAACCGCUUGAGCGCUUCCAUGUUCUAUAUCUGUUCCUUGGCUGGCUGUUAAAUAAAAUAAUUUUAAUUCUUCAUAAAUCUUCCAAUUAAAACAUAAAAUUUGCGAAAUUAAUAAAUUUCAGAGAUUGAAAAAAAAGGAAAAAAAAAGAGAGACAAAAGUGUGUUUGAUUGAUGGACGUGGCAACGCCGGUGGUUGCUUCCAAUUGGUGGCACGACGUUAACGAAUCACCGCUCUGGCAGGAUCGCAUCUUUCACGUACUCGCCGCCCUCUACGGCCUCGUCGCUGCCGUCGCUCUGGUACUUAUCCAACCCCCGGCGUUUUAUAUAAUUAUUAGGUUUUUUUAAGAUUCAAAAUUAGCUGAAACUUUUAUUAAUUAUUAACUUAGGGUUACCUUUUAAUUAGGUUCAAUUGAUUCGAAUACAAUUAAGAGUUCCAGAGUACGGCUGGACCACGCAGAAAGUCUUCCAUUUUCUUAAUUUCAUCGUCAAUGCUGGUUCGUAUUUUAUUUAUUCACUUUCUGUUUUUUUUUUUUAAAUUUAAUUCGUUAUGAUUUUUUUUUAAUUUUUGUUUUAUUGGCAGUUCGAUGUGUAGUUUUUGUGUUUCGGCGGGAUGUGCAGAAGUUACAACCAGAUGUAUGUUUGUGUUUUUAGUUAAUGUGUAUCGUUACUUUAUUUUACCUUAUUAGUCUCUAACUCUUGUUCUGUUGAUUGAUUACCUGCUGUUUUAGAUUGUCCGACAUAUAGUGCUUGAUAUGCCAAGUCUUGCCUUCUUCACGACGUAUGCUCUUCUCGUUUUGUUCUGGGCUGAAAUUUACUAUCAGGUUCGGAUUCUUUUUUUCUUUUUUUUUUUAUGGGGCUUUUUUAUAGAUAUUUUGCUGCACUCUGAAUCAGUUGCUUUAUUUUAAUUUUGAUAUGUUUUUUAAACAGGCUCGAGCAGUAUCUACUGAUGGGCUGAGGCCGAGUUUCUUUACUGUUAAUGCAGUGGUUUAUAUUGUUCAGGUGAAAUUUCUCGUUCUUUGUCUCAGUCCAAGUCCAAGAAAAAAAUGGAAAGACACGAGCUGGAUUCAUUCCUUCUACAUGGCUGCUAGUCUUGUUUUAUGAAAAAAAAAAAGGCUUUUCUUUCCUGUUUCUCUAAUUUGAUAAUUGCCAAAUCAUUGAGGAUGCGUUAUAGAAUAGUGGAUUGGAAGUUUUGACGAAUGAAUUACUAUCCUCGAAAGAGAAAUAAUUUUAAAAUUGUCAUUUAGUGAAUUUGUAAACAGUGUAAUAAUACACUUUUGUUGAAUCUUUUGUAUUAAGCUUAUUUAUAAAUCUUGAGCGUGUGAUUUAUUUCUUUCUGUUCUUUUUAUGGAAAUACAGCUUAUCAAUUGUCAUACCAUUGGUUGAAGACUUAGGAAUUUUCAGUGACAAGUAGAUAUCAAAUUUAGGAUUUUUAGUUAAAUAUUUUGAUUCAAGUGCUAAAGUUGUAGAUGACAUAGGGUUUUAAAUCAUUGAAUUGACUGGAAGUACCUACAAAAUGAAGAUAGGACCUAUUUUGGGCAGGUCAGCUGUUACGUAUGAAGAAGUUGGCAACUUGGAGAUAAUUUAAAAGGAACGAACAUCUAUGUGAUGACAUGCUCUGUGCAUGCUAUCUACGGGAUCCUAUUGUCUUUUUCAACUCUCACUUUUCUCUUAUUUACCUAUUUAUUUUAAGGGCAUCAUGCAAAAAUUGUAGAAUAUGAUAGAUGGUAUUUUUCUUUUUUAAGAAUAGUAGAUAACAAGUUUGUAAAAUUUUAUGUUACAACUUUCUUUGCUGGGAACACCGUACAUGACAUUAAUAUGAUUGUAAACCUAGCGGUUAAUCCUACUCCAACUGGGUUUACAUGACGCAGAGUUUGGGUUUUCCUUUGGGUUGAUGGUAGAAAAAUUGACAGAUGGGUCAUACAUCCUGCUAGGCUAUAGGAUAUGAUGACUAAGGUCUAUUAACAUAUGUUUAUGAAGAGAUAGAUUUGAGGUUUAAGAAUGUUUCUAAAAUUUAGGUUCCCUAGAUCAUUUUCUAUGAUGUUAAUAGGUUUGUUUAUGCUGUUUUUGAAAUAAAUUUUUUCUUAGUAUGAUUGUUUUGAUUUUUUGUUUAAUAUCCUUCUUUCUUUCACUCAAUUGGUUUCAGAUUGCUCUGUGGUUGGUCUUAUGCUGGAAGCCUAUCCCAGUUAUUAUAAUCCUAUCUAAAAUGUUCUUUGCAGGUAAUUUCAUCGCCCUACAUUUACUAAACUGUACAUAUUGUGUAUUAUUUGAUUGUUGCAUUGAUAAACUUCCUCUCAAUGUCUAUAUGCCUGCAGCUGUAUCUUUGUUUGCUGCCCUUGGGUUUCUACUUUAUGGUGGAAGGUAAUUAUGUUUAAUUUUGGUGUUAGCUACGUUUGUUUAAAUGGUUGAAUGACAUGAGUGACAAUAUGGUUGUGGCAUCUAUAUAGGUAUUAGCAUUUUAUAAUUAUCAUAAUGUUGUGAACGAUUUUUAUAAAGUAUCAAAUGUCCUUAAUCUUAUUCCAUAUUUUCAGGACUUCACUCAGUUAAUUACAUCGACACAAUUACUUUUUCUGCAGAAAUACCAACAGCAUAUUCUAGUUUCUUGUCCAUAAAGUCAUGUCAAUUACUCUCUCUCUCAAACACAUGCGCACGCACGCACGCACAGAGUAACACAUGCACAUAUGUGUUUAUAUUAUUUCAUUGAUGGCGCACAUGUGAUCCUAAUUUGAUUAAUAUAGGUAAUAAGUCAUAAAUUGUACGACUUUAUUUGUCCAAGACAAUAAGAACAGAUUGCAUGUAGCAAUCACAUAAGAGUAAAAUGAUCUUCUUUGUGUUCCCAAAAAUGUUUUAAAAAAAAAAAUGAAAUGGUUAUUGAAUAUUAAUCCGUGAGUAACACAUUUUAAGCAAUUCAUGAACUAUUUUGUAAAUUAAUUUAUUAUUACAUAAAUUACAGAACUAUAGACCAAGAAGGGAAGAAUAAUAUUGGCUUCGUUGAGUUUCUGUGUAAUUGAUUAUGGAGCUUUGUCAAAUUAAUAUCUUACUAAGUAUCUAUAUUAUAGUCAACAACUCAACCCUUCUAGUCAGAUAUUCUGAUCCAUAUGUGAUGCACAGAAGAAAUUUUAGUGUUGAUGAAAUAUCUAGCAUUGUGUUUUAAUGAAAUGUCUACUAAAAUAUCUUUAUUGGGUCCAUUAUUAAUCUUCAAUCCUACAUUGUAGAGAAUGAUCCUAUUGAAGCAAUGAUGAAUCCCAACUUUGAAUGGGAUUAAUUUACUCUAUGUCAUCCUUCAUUGUCCCCUGGACACUACUUUGUUUCUGACAUAUGUCACUACUUAUCCUUCUUGUUUGCUUUACUUGCUGGACAAAUGCAGCCUUUAGAAUCCAGACAAGAAGUUGUGUUUUUAGCAAUUUGCAAUGUGGUUCAUAAAUCAUAGGGUUCCUUAUCUAGAGUUGAGCUCCUAAAGUUUUUUAUUCCUGGCUAAUGAACUUUUGUGUUUAAUGAAUCAAUGGUGCUUCCUAACAAAAAAUAAAAAAAUUGGCAGUAGUAUUAUUUUGUUUAUCGUUCAUUAUUGUGUAGUUCUUUUAAUCUCAACUCUAUCCUACGGUAUUGUUAUUUGGUGGUGGUGAUGAGAUGAUGUUCUGUUUAAUGAAUGUGGUAUACAGUAUAGCUCUGGCCUAUUCAUUCUUUUUCCUUUCUUUUGGUGAAGGGAUGAGCAAUCACCUCAUGUUUUGUACUUGCGCUGUCUUCAUGCAGGCUGUUCUUAAUGUUGCAGCGUUUCCCUGUAGAAUCCAAAGGUCGGCGUAAGAAGUUGCAAGAGGUAAUCAUUUCUUUUGGUAUUUAAUCUUAUUGAUAAACGUCCAUCAUUUUAUUUUACAAGUUUUUUACAAAGUUUUACUUCUGUUCAUGGUUUGGCAGGUUGGUUAUGUGACCACCAUAUGUUUCACAUGCUUUCUUGUCAGAUGUAUUAUGGUGAGUUCUGUAUUUCAUCUCUCAUUACACUAUUAUGCUUAACUUGGGAGCUUCAUGUCUUUGAACAACAUAACAAUGAUGGAUAGUUAGGAUCAUUAACAAGUAAAACCAUUCCUAGUUGUCGAUUCAUAUGGAAACAUUGGCACAGGUAUUGCUUUUUGAUAUCUGUUUCCGUGUUCAUCUUACGUUUAGCUCUUUUUCUUGUUUCGUUUGUUGUAGAUGUGCUUCAAUGCAUUUGACAAAGCUGCAGACCUUGAUGUUUUGGAUCAUCCAGUUCUGAACUUCAUAUAUUACCUGGUAUGUUUUGGCUUCUGUAUGCAGUGUAAUUGCAUGGUCAGGUAUCAAGUGACAUUUUUUGGGCAUGCGUAUUAAAUAUUUAGUCUGCAGGGGUUGCUUAGUUUAUUUUUUUUGUUUCCCCUUCUCUCUCUUCAAAGGAUGUAUUCCGUUUGUACAAUGCUCUGUUUUUGCUGGGGUAAUAAGAUGCAACUUUGUGAUGAGAAAUAUUUGUCUUUUGUGUUAAUGAAGGUGAUGUUGCUUAUGAUCUGACAUGCUGAUUUAUAAUGCUACUAUGUAUUGAAAUUUAUGUUUACUUGUGUAGAUGCAUUUUCUGCUUAGAUAUUUUGCAUGUAAGUGUUUUCAUUCUUAAUGUUCAUACCAUGUCACCAACACUUCCUCUCUUUGCAGUUGGUGGAGAUACUACCUUCUAUGUUGGUCCUUUUCAUUUUGAGGAAGUUGCCUCCCAAACGUGGUAUCACUCAAUAUCAUCCUAUACGGUGACGGGUCUGGAGAUACUUGAUAGACACAGACAAAGGCAUACCUAGAGAAAAAGAGCAAACGUUCUUUAACUCACAGAAGAUAAGAUACAAGAGGGGAGUCAAAAAAAGAUGCCUAUUGUGUUUAGAGUUCACAGAUUCACAAAUCAAGGGAGCUCGCUUGUCUGUGGAAACGAAAAUGAUGUUGUAAGGAUUGUGAAAUGUUUUGUUUGUGAUUUUGUCAUUGUAUUUCUUGCAACUGAAGUCGAUGCUUUCUUAAGAGAAAGGGUUAAUACUGUGUCUUGUACGUGUCCCAUUGUUUUUCCUUUCUGCUCUCGUUUCAAUAGGUUUUAUUGUUCGAUUUGCAGAGAAAAAUGUUUUUUGAGUUUGUGGUAGAUCCAUGCGGUCAAACAAAUUCACAGAUAGAGGUUUUGAGUUUAUAUAUUCAAGACCUGAGAAAACACACCUGUUGCAAGAAUUGCAAGCCCUUGGUCGGUAGUUUUACACGGAGGCUGAAAAAUCUUCUUGAAGGCUAUUUCUUUGUUCCUCGUUCAAUAGCGCCACAUGUUGUCUAUGAAUAAAACCAAUAAGGGCAAUAAGCAAUGAACUCACGACAUGAAAAACAAAUUUGAAGAAGUAUUUCAGUUUAUCAUUUACAGAAAACUACCUGUGAUUCUCUUUAAGUAUGAGUUGUGAUGCGAGAGCACGGUUCGAGCAGAAAAUUAUUUGAUGAAAUUUCAUGAUCGGUUUGGUGUCGGUGUGUAUGCUCUCCAGUUUCGAAAGCUGGAUAAAUAUUUCAAUAGCUAUUGUUUUAGUGUUGUUAAAAGGAAGGAGAAAGCAGAAUGAAUCUUAUUAGGAAAACAGGAUUGGUAGGAAAGGUAAGUUUUGACUGGCAGAUGGCUUGCCAUACUUAACGAACUCUGCAAAUUUGAAUGGUAGGUUUUAUUUGGGGUAAUUUUUACCCCGCACCCAAAUGUUUUGACAUACAGCACAGCGCACCCAAUUCUUUUGCCUAUGAGCACCGCGCACCCAUUUCUGUUUAUUUUUUAGUUAAUUGUAACGGAUCAGUCUAUAUUUUGAUUAAAUGACAAAUAUACCCUUGCGUUGAAUUCAAAUGCAUCCAGGUGAGUCAUUGAACUAAGGAAUUUACCACUGGCCAUUAUUUAAAGGUGUAUUUACACACGAAGACCAACUAUAACUGUUAAAUUAUAUUGACUAUAUUGCCCUUAGCAUAUUGGUUUAUUACCAUGCGCAUCAAAAAUCCAACGGCUAUAAAAUCUGAGCAACAGUAAUAACGGCUAUAUGGUUACAAGAACAGUAAAAGAAAUUGAUAAAUUUGAGCUGAUGCAUCACCACAAGCUGUGAUGUUUAACACAUAUAAAUACCCACCCUCUUCACACCUCAGUAAUUUUCAUUGACUCACCUGGAAACUCCACCAUUUUUUUUACUCAGCAACAACUUACAGUAGUACAACAUUUGGUUUUACCCACCGAAACAAUACAACUUCAACAGCAGCUUCAUUCACACACAAAACAAGCACAACAACUUGAAGUUCAGAUACGUUGUGCUGUAUUUCAAAAAGAAUAUAACACACACGACAUUGGAAAUUUGAAGAAAAUGUCCACUUCAAGGAAUGCAUCAAGUUCAUCAACCUAUAAUAGAAGAAGGGAUUUACCUAAAAUCAAUGGGGGCAUCAUCAAGUUCUAUAACACAGUAUGCUACUGUCGAAGAAGGGCAGAAAUCAAAGUGUCAGAAUCAAAAACAAACCCCAACAAACUAUAUUACACAUGCCCUAAUAACCCAUCUUGUGGUUUCUUUAGAUGGUGGAAACCAUCUACAGGUGAGGCUAUAGAAAUUGAAGCAGCGUUACAAAGGUUUGAAGAAGAAGCUGCAGACAGGGCAAGUGAGAUUCAACAAUUUAACAUUGAGGACUUCCACAACAGGUUCAUCAAUAUUGAAGGUUUACUUCAUAAAAAUAAGAAGUAUCAAAUCAUGAUUAUAGUGAUAACUAUACUUGUAUUGCUUGUAUUGUACUGUAAGGAAUGCUAGAACAAUGUGUAAAAUGAAAUCUUAUGAUCAAUAAAAUGCAUUCGUUUCUUGACAUAUACCAUUUAAUCAAAUAUGAUAUCAAUAAUAGCAAUAAGUUAUUUUAUCUAUAAAUGCAUAUUGGCAGCAACUUACAAUGUUAGUCACAUCCAAUCUGGUGUUUACAUACAUGUGACCAAAAAACAAAAAAAAAAGUGUUGGUUUGGUUGAUAUCAGUCCUAUAUGUAUCUUAAUCCCAACAACUUUCAAAAUGCCAUAAACCCUUCCAAUCAUACUUAUAGUAGGUCAUCACAGCUUCCAGCUCUAUAAUGCUUAAGCUUAAUGUCCAACAACUUCCACCAAUUUCAGCUCCAAAAUAAAAAAGAAAAAGAAAACAAUGACAUGCCUGGUCAUUACUUGGCCACUUGAUCCUGAUGAAAUCAGCAUCCAGAUAACCUUAACCUUGUGCCUGGUGGGUUGAUGUGGCAUUGUGGAAGGUGUCAAAAAAUGAUAAUGUUGCCUUCAUUGUUUGUUAAUAAGUUUGCUGCCAAUGUCUCCAUCAUAGCCAAAGAAUCACUACAAAACAAGUUACAAAUUAUAAAUAUCAUUUCCAAAACCAAUAUUAAUUUAUAUCAAUAGAAAACUAUGGUUUUACCCUUUACGAAGGGAAGGCUGGUGCCUUCCCUUUGUCCAAAUGCUUCCUUUCAGUAUAGUUGCCGACUUCAUCCUCUCUGCUGAAGGUUAAUCCAGCGGCUGACAUUACUUUUCUUCCCUGUUCACCUACCCAUGGAGCUACAGAUAUGACCCCCUUCAUGCUCUUGCCAAUGACUUCAUUUGCUUUUGAUGGCCCUGCUUGAUUGCCAAUCUUGCGUUUGUUAGAUGCAGUCUGCUGGUUCUUUGUUAUGUUUUGGCCUGAGACAGUUACUUGGACCAUGUCAUUGUCUUGGCUUUCCAAAGUAGUUGAGGUAAUUCUGUGAACUUGGCCUUAUAAAUUACCAAUAAAGCAAUGUUAAAUAAAUAAGUUAAUUUAAUAUAGUUUGGUGAUACAGCUGUAAUUAUCUAAUACAGCUGUAAAGUAAUAUAGUAAUAUAACUUAGUAAAUUACUCUUAUACCUUCACUUUGCUCCCCAUUUGUCCUUGUCACGUGCUUCUUCAGGUUAUUCUAUAAAAAAGCACAAACAAACAAGGCACAUUAGCUGUCAUCACAUGGGAGGAACAUGGUUCAAAAAAUAAUUGAAUAUUCUCUUACAAGCAUACACACUCACCUUAUAUUGUCUUGUUGUCUUGUGAGCAUUAUGAGGGUUAACAGGACAACCCCUUCUGUUGUGUCCAAAUCCCUUGCAAACAGUGCAUUGCAUCUUGUAUCGUUUAUUAUGUGCUGGUACCUCAUCAGCUUCUCUUCUUCUUGUCAUCUUAGGUCGUCCAGGUGGUCUUCUCACUAAAGGGGGCAGUAUUUCAUCACCACCAGCAUCUACCCAUGAGGUUCUAUCUGGAAUUGGUUUAAUCAAUCCAGAAUAACACCUUAGGUAAGUAUCUUUCUUCAACCAUUGGCUAAUGAACUGAGCUUGAUCUUUUUGACUAUUCACAAUACAAGGCAUUGCAUGUACACAUGGAAUCCCACUAACUUGCCAUUGUCCGCAGUCACACAUAUGGUGUUCAAGAUCAACGAUAUAAGUCUUGGUAUUUUCAUCCACUUCAUAAAGCCAUUCACUAGCUCUACAGAUAGGGUUUGCACUGCCAAUCUGUAAAUUCUUCAUCAUUUGUGUAUAAAUUCUUCUUGGUAUAUCACUGUCCCAAGACUCUGCCUUAUUUCUUCUUCCAAUCAUUCUUUUCAUCAGCUUCUUCCUAAUCCACUCCAGCAUUGAGAUUAUUGGCAACUUUCUUUGAAUCCCAAUCCAUGCAUUAAAAGAUUCAGUUACGUUGUUAGUGCAAUGAUCAGACUUGCAAUUAUUGUCAAAGGCAUGCCUUGACCAGAACUUUGGUGGUAUCCUCCUAAGAGUCUCAUAUACACCCUCAUGUGCUGCUCUUAUGUUUUGCAUAGCAUCAUCAAAUGCCCUUCUGUUUGAUGCUCUUGCUGCUGCCCAGAAAUAUGCUUUAAAGUCAGAUUGAGGAUGUUUUGACUUAAGAUUUGCUAAGAUGUGUCUAGCACAGAAUCUAACAUGUGCAUUAGGAAACUCUAAGGCAAGAGCAUUCUGAAUUCCUUUCUGCCUAUCACACAUAAAGGUCAGCUGUCUUGUAUCUUGUAAAAAUUCCCUAAAGUGGCUUAGAAACCAUGUCCAGCUGGUUGUACUCUCGACACUACAUACACAAAAUGCAAGUGGGAAGAUUCCAUUGUUGGCAUCAAUAGCAACUGCUGAUAAAAGAACACCCUUAUAUGGACCCUUCAAAUGGCAUCCAUCAAUACCAAUGAAGGGUCUACAACCUUGGUUGAAGCCAUCUCUGAGGGCAGGGAAAGAUAUAACAGUGCUGUCAAAGUGAGUUUGAGGUUGUUGACCAUGCAUCCUGAAAACCUUAACCAAUGCCAAGGCCUGUGGCAUCUUCGUAAGUAUGGCCUGAGCAUAAUUUCUGAUCAACAUGUAACUAGACUCAUAAUCAGCUCCUUGUCUCUGUAAAACCUUCUUCUUUGCUCUAUAAAUUUUAUACUUGUGUAUCUUAGCUCCAUACAUCCUUCUAAGUUCACUUUGAAUCCACCCAACUUUUGUAUCUGGAUGCUCAAUUAUAGUUGCAGCAAACUUGGCAGCAAUGAACUCUGCAGUGCAUUCAGGAUUCUUUAAGUCUCUCUGACAUGUAUGUACGUUGUGAAGCCUCCUAACAAUAAAGGUUUGUCCAAAUCUAGUUUUUGCAACAUGUAAAAACCAUGGGCACCUGAAAUAAUUACAUCCAACAGUUACUCUGGAUUUUUCAAACUUGUGCUUAUAAACCUUGAACUUGUUUUCCACAGCAUAAGUCCUUAUUGCCCAUGCCAGCUGCCUGAAGUUCCUAAAACACUGCCCAAUAAAGAAUUGAACAGGUGUAUCACUAGGAAUGUACAUGUUCUCUCUCAUAACAGCAUCCAUUCUGACCAGCACUUGAUCAAUCUCUUCAUCAGAUUCUUCCACAAACUCAUUGUCAUCACUCUCACAAUCAGAUAGCAUACAAUCUCCAUCACUAUCAUCAGAAGGCAUAGAGCCUAAGUCAACAUUAACAGAAGGUUUCCUAGGAGUAUUAUUAAUGUUUGGAGCACCUAAUGGAUGAUCUGGAUCUUCCUCACUAUCAGUUACACUAUAAUGGCUAUCAUCUGAGUUAUAAUCUACUAGUGCUGGUGUAGUGGCUUCUGGUUGCUGGAAGUUUUCUGCUUGUACAACUUGUGACUGAGGGUUUUGAGUUAUUGGUUGAGAUGAGAACUCAGGUUGGUGAAAAGGUAUAGGUUCAUUUUGGGAUGCAUGCUGUCCAUGUUGCUGCAAUAAAGGGGACAACUUAGAAGAGAUGGCAAAGUUUUGUUGAAGCUGCUCAGUAGGAGUCUUAUUUGUACCAAAUGAAGAUGUGUUAUCACUAUCACUAUUUUCGGCAUUAGUUUGGGCAGCUGAUGGUGUUUUCUGUUGUGGUGAUGAUCUGAAAUAGGUAUCCAAAAAGUCUUGAUAUAGGUCAGGGUUGGUAUCUGGUUUGGUAUGUGAUUGGAUGCUAUCAAGUGCAACAUUAUGCAUCAUUAUGCUGCUGGAGUUCUUGACAGGGGGUUCAUGGUUCGAAUGGUCAUUACUGUCAUUUUCAUAAGGAUUUGUGUUGGUGGAUGUAGCAUGUGUAUAAGGUUUGUGCAGGUCAGUAGUGGCUGGAAAGUUUGUUUCAGCAUACCCUUGUAAGCUUUCUUCUGCUGAGUGCUGAAACAAAGCCCUUCUAGGUACAAACUCAUGAGGUACAUGGAUUUCUUCAAUAUACAAUUGCAUGCAGUAGAACAACAUCUUAUUAUGCUCUCUCAGCUGGAAUAUUAAGUCAUGAUCAGACAUAAUCUCUACUUCCUUAUAGACCCAUGGUACCCAAACACUUAGUGUAAACUUCUCAUCAGGCCUCAUCUUUCUUCCAUAGACUCUAACCAAAACCUUGUUAAUUACAGAAACUCUACUAAACUUAUCUGGAUCAAUUACACCAACAUUAUAUGUCUUGCCCUUGAAUGUACAAAGAACAGUUGUAAUAUCAUCAUCAUCCAUUUUCACCUGGAAUAGUCAUUUAUUUUUUUAAUUACUUAUCAUAAACAUGGUGUAAAUUGCAUAAGCAUUGGAUUUGAUUGCAUGAGCAUCAUAUUUAUCUAAGAUAUUUAGCCAAAAACCAAUAACUUUUACAUCAAAUUCAGUAACACUGGAUCUUCAUCACUAUCAUUUACAAUAAAAGCACUAGCGUUUAUAUCCAAAUCACUACUACUACUGAUCUACAGUACAACCAUAACCCAAAAAAACACAGUUGCUAUGACAUAUAUGCGUGACCAAUCAUCCUAAUUAAAAACUUUCAUCCACUAACAUGUAUACUCAAAAUCAUCAAUAGAAAUUGAAAUCAAUAACGCAAACACCACAUUAUUCAGGUAUAAUCCAACAUAACUUAAACUUACAAACCACAUUGAGGCGUAAAUUAUAGCUGAUUUGAUUAACAAUGAUUCAAGUUUUAUAGAUAAGCAAAAUCCAGCUAAAAAUGUGUAAAUAAUUGACAUGCAAACAAAAUGGAAUAAAUUAAAACAAUUUAGCAAGAAAUGAAACUGACCUCCACUUUUUCAAUAGCACACUCAGUGGAUUCACUUCCCUUAAACUCUCAAACCAACUAUUGUCUUAGAAAUUGAGCAGAUCUUCGAAACAGAGCAAUAGCUGAUGCUGCUGUAAUAAAAAAGUAUUUAAAGGCUGAAAUAAUUUCGUUGUACAUCAUAUGUGAAUGAUUUUGGCGCCAAUCCUUCUUCACCCACCUCCUCGAUUUUGGCAUCAAUGGAGGUGUGGCCAUGCUUCUUGGUCUCACACGCAAACGCAGUGAACAUAAACACAGUGAUGUGAAAUUAUUUUGGUGCAAACAUCGAGUUUACCUAUUUUUUUAUUUUUAAAUUUUGAUGCGUUAUUCCAAUUUUACCCUGAUCCGUUACAGUUAACUGAAAAAUAAACGGAAAUGGGUGCGCGGUGCUCAUAGACAAAAGAAUUGGGUGCGCUGUGCUGUAUGUCAAAACAUUUGGGUGCGGGAUAAAAAUUACCCCUUUUAUUUGGUAUAAUUUACGAAGGAAGUUUGAAAUGCAUGUUAUGAGUUUGGCUUUAUAACUUGGGAAGAGUUGGACAAAUUCCUCAAUUGAGCCAAUUCGGAGACUCAGCCUUCUAGCUUCUACCUCUUAAAUUAGUAAGGGAAAUUUGUUAGUAAUUCACUGAGUUUGUUGCUUCGUGUUGGCAUACGCAUAUUUGAAGUUAGAGAAUAAGAUUCUCCCCGCUUUGAACUUUUUAUCUUUGAGAUAAGGGAUUUGAUUAUAAUAAAUUAACAUAAAUCUUUAAAACAAUACAUCUCUGGCCAAUUUUCUUACCGAGAUGUAUUUUUUAUUUCACUAUUUCAUUUUACUACAUUACAAACAUAUGCUUCAACCACACAACACUUCCUAGACAGACCGACAAGUUAAUCAAACUGUAAAAAGGCUAAAACCAACUUAUUAUUUGAGUGGAAAUGACUCCUAAUCCAAACAAAAUGCUGUUUCAAAUUAAGCAACUAAGCUAGCACAUGCAACUCCAUAAAGCAAUCUGAUCAUUAAUUAAUCAUCACGGCCAGUUAGUGCUGAAAAAUGGUCUCUUUGCUUUCUUUGUUGAAUAAGUCAUGGCAUAGAGUGGAGAAGGGGCUGGAGCUUCUACAGCCUGAGGCAGCACAGUAAUGACAAGCUUUUGGCCGUAAUUGCAGUGGUUGCGAACACCGCAGAUGUACCAUUUUCUUCCUGGUGUUGCCAAAACAAUCACAUCGUUUCCGGUGGUUAACGCCUCCCUUAAUGGUGGCUUUUGGCAGUUUUGGAAGGCGGUUCCGUUCACUUUGAACACAUUGUGGGCUCCCACGGGAUACUGGAAAACUGCAUGCAUUAUACACAUACAAAUUCAUAUUAAUCAGACUGCACAUUAACAGUCAUUGUAUGCUUUGGAAAUAUAUAAAUGCUUGUGGAGUCCUAUUUUAGACCACAAUAACUAGCCAUAUACAUAUCUCCGUUCUCGCUCAUAUGGGCGCAUUUUCAAAAUGUGCGGACUUGAGCACCUUGAAACUUUCGUACGAAAGCAUAUCCAAUGGUGUAUUGCUCAAAAUUCGUAUUUCAUAACACUUGAAACAACUAUUUUAUAUAUAAUACUCGAGCAAACUAAUGUGUUGCACUUAAAUAAAACUGAGGUGUUUAGAAAUUAAUGUAAGAUGUAACGUAGAGAAAUUUAAAAUGUAAGAGUCAUGUAGAAAAUUCAUAAAAUGUGAAUUAAUAAACUAAUUUAAUUAGUUGUUUACCGAGUUUGUCUCCAACGUGAAAGACCUUCCCCUUAGCCCAAGCUUGGUAAUCAAACCCUACUGUCCAUCCCGAGUCAUCACCAACAAUGAACUUAGUAGCAGAAGUGGCCGUUGAAGCAAAUGCGGCAAUGGCCAAAAGCAAAACAAAUACGCGACCGAAAGCCAUAGAUAGAGGCAGUACCGUCACAAACAAGCUAUAACUUAAUCUAACGAAUUAUUAUAGCUCUGUGAUUUUGUAAUUUGCAGGGCUUGAUGAAUAUUCAUGGCUACCAAAGUGUGUUAUUUAUAAUGUCUAGGGUGGCACUGGCACAAUAUGUUUGUUUAAUUCUUGAGAACGAGUCGUCGCCGGCCGAGGACGGCACGGCCGUUCCACGAGAAUAUAAAGGACUAACAAGUAGUAACAGAGGCAGAUGAAAUAAUUUGGCUAGAUAACAAUUUUAUUGAAUGCUCGGGGAUGAUUACAAAAUCAAACUUUGGUGUUUUUGAGGCAUGCCUUUAAUUUCUGACAUAAUUUAUAGUCAACUAGAAUAUGUAAUUAAUAAAUGAAAUAAUCGACUGAUGUAUACGUAUAAAUAUUAUAUGUGUGAUGGUUGAAUGGGUCUCGACUCUGGAGUUAAAUAAAAUCUUUUUCAUAUACACAUUGAUAUUGGCUUCUGAUGGCCGACAGUAUUCAAUGAAUAGGGGUCUUAAUUAUCUAAUAAUUUCGAUGUUACAUGUAACAGUAAACUCAUGCUUUUCCAACAAUUUUUUUUUUUUUUGUUAAUUCAAAAUCAUAAAAUGAAAGACGAUCCAAAUAUAAAUUUUAUAUACAAAAUCAUAGAAUGAAACAUGAUUUUUCCCCACAAUUAGCCCCAACUUUUAAUCCCUCGAGUUAAUUAAUUCCUCUUCUUACGAUUACUCUGAACAUUGGCAGUACUAAUUCCGCUAGCUGCUCCCCAGGGUGCAGUGACUAUAAAAACCGAUGUGUUAUACACACAAAAUUACUUACUCUACACAUUAUCUGGAAUCCUCUCCACAGAACAACUGACCUUCCAAACAUCAGAUGAAGGCACAAUUCGUGUUGAAGAUGCCGUUUUCAUAUGUGUUUUCUGGGAUUUUUUGUCUCGGAUUAGUUCAGCUUCAUGUAGAGUAUCUUAUCUGGUGUCACAACUGAACUCCUCGUUCUCCUAUUGCAUUGGAAGCCUGAACUCUUCGUUCUCCUAUUGCAUUGGAAGCUAGUACGAUCCAUUGGUGUCUUUCAAGCUAAAUUUAUCCGAUGCAAGUGUCCCACAUGCUUCUUGAUAAAUGCAUGGUUCGUUAGGACGGAAUAGAGUUUUCUCCUCGUCUGAAAUCUACUAAGUUUUUUAAGAUAUUUUAUUAUGUAUCUUUUAGUGGUAGUAUAAGAGUAAGAUUUAACUUCUUUAUUUAUUUUUAUUAAAUAUCAAUUAGCACUUAAGCUAUUUGCUUAGAACAUAAUCAGAUCAGAAGAAAAUCCUGAUCUCGCCGGAAAAUUUGUAGAGACUCCUAUCACCGCCGUCACUUUUUCGUAGACCGUUGCAUGCAAGUGAAUGCUGGCACAACAACUUCUUGUAGCUCCUUGACUCUGAAGGGUUAAGAAUGUGUGUAGAUAUCAGAUAGAUAAAUUGCAUAUGGCAUUGGUUAACAAGGCAAAUUUUGCUGCCAAAAUAUAUAGCUCGUCGCCCAUAUAAUCAAAAGAUGCAUAAACUAGACGGGGGGCCGGAUCGGGCCCCCUAUAUGUGAAGAAAACCAGUAGUACAUUACUCAAAUGAGGAAGGUUGAUAUUAGGAAGAGGAAAAAUUUGAAGCCAUUUUUGAAGGGAAUGAGUAAGAAGCUGAAUGGAGAAAUCAUGUACAUUCACUAGCUUGAUUUAUAGGUGAAAUUUUCUGUACCCACGAAAGGGCACGAGAAUUGAAUUUACAAAGUUAGCUAGGUUGUUGGUUAGGUCAUGAAAAUGCAGUUGAUUAAAUCAUGGACAGUGUGAAGUAACAGAACCUAUCGGCUCAAAAUUCGUUGGUUAACUAAAUAUAGUUGAUUAAAUCAUGAAUUGGUAUAAAUAUUAACAGUUAACUGUGAUCACCUAUUUAAUUUAAUGGUAAUAUUGUUCUUAAAUAUUUAUUUUAAUGUCAACAUGAAUGUUCUGUCAUGUUUGAUGAACACACCUAUUUAAUAUUUUAAUGGCAAUAUAAAUGUUUGAUGUCAUGUCACUUAUUAUUUUUAAGAGAAAUUAUCAUUUGUAUAUCAUAUAUUUACUCUGUUAUCAAAAAUACUACAACAUUUUGAGGGUGUAUCAAUCGUCCACCCUAAGUUGACAAAAUGUAUCAGCUGACCACCAAACCGUUAGUUGCCGUUUAAGUAUGAUGACGUCAGAAGGGUAAUUUGAUCUUUUCAUAUGAUACACGUGAUAAUUUAAGGGUAUACAAGUGAUAAAAAGAGAAUUUAAGGGUAUACAAGUGAUAAUUUUCAAGGGUAAAAUCGUCAAUUCACUGUAAUUCCGAUAACUUUCAAACGGCAACUAACGGUUUGGUGGUCGGCUGAUACAUUUUGUCAACUAAGGGUGGACGAUUGAUACACCCUCAAAAUGUUGUAGUAUUUUUAAUAACAGAGUAAAUAUAGGGUAUAUGAAUGAUAAUUUCUCUUUUUUUAAUAAUAGGGUACGACUUACGAGUAUGGUUUAAUUUUUUUAUUUUUCUUUUUAUUUGUUAACCACACCAAUCAUCAGUUGAAUAUUUGCUCAGUUUAAAAUUAGAUCGCGAGUGAAUCACGAUCCAUAGCAUUUGUAGGAGGAUUCCAAGUCCACGUCCAAGUACUUACUUGCUUCUUUGGUUAUAAUUCACUAAUUUGCUAUGUUAUUAAUCUCAACCUUUAUAGGCAUUCAAAAAAUAAAAACAAAAAUAUAAAUAUAAAUAUAAAUAUAAAAACAACAAAUAACUAAUGUCAUUUCAUAAGUAAAUGUAAAUUAACAAAUUACUUGAUUAUAAAAUGAAUAAUAGAAAUCUAAACUUGACAAACCAACAAAACUGACGUUGAUUAUCAUGGUUUGAUGUAACGAAUGCUUGGUACAUGCAUGACAGCGGCAAUCACUGAUUUAAACCGAGGACUCGUUGGCCCUCUGCGUGCCUUUUCAAAUUUGCUGAUCCCUUGUAAUUUAUUAAUCUUCUAAGUGGGUACUGAGUACAAAUUUCGGAAAAAUUAUGAGAAAUUUACUUAAAAUCUGUACAUCCGAGGUAGCACACAUACAACCCAUUCAACAACAUACGCAUAGAUAUUACCAUCGCCAAAUAUUAGAUGAAAAUCUCAAGUUCUAUGAUUUCCUCUGAUUAAUAUAAUAAUAUUCGUCUAUAUAAAUGUGUGUAGUUGUCAAAAAUAAAAUGUAUGAAUAACAAAUCCAAAUUGGUAAUCGGACACCUGUUGUCCAUCCAUUUCAUCCCCAACCACGGACUCUUUUGCCAGUGUCAUGGCACGAAUGAUGGAUGGUAGAAAUGAAUGCAAGGAUUAUGAAAGAGCGAUGUAGAGCCAUUAGAUAUUGUCAAUACGUAUGUAAUUAACUAACUUGAUCAAGUUUUAAUGCUGGCUAUGAGACUUAGCGGCCAAGGGCGGCAUAGCCGAAUAAAGAGGAGAAUCACACCAAGUGGAAAUGAUUUUAAUUUACAUUGAUACAGAUAUAGAACCUGGUCAACAAAGAUUGGAGAUAUAUACAUAGUUUACAUUAAGCAGCAAUCACAUAUUUUCUUUUAUUUUUAGUGCCUUACUUAGGAAAUACGGGGAACCUUAACUUGUAGGAAAUUUAUAGAGGUUUGGAUUGUGAGUGCGGGGAUCGAACUAGCUUACAACAAAUGGGUUAAAAAUAUUUUUGGAUUAAUGUCACCUAGCAGUAUUUAUUAAAUAUUUUAGAGUAAGAAUUAAGGACGGAGGUCGUUAAAGACAAAUGGUAAAUGGGAAUCAAAUAUUAUAUUUCUGUUAAAUUUAAAAAAAAAAAUCAUUUCAUUAAUUAACAUGGAUCCAACUAAGCUUCUUUUCCAUGACUCUAGACUCUCUAGUGUAAUAAGCUUUGCCCUUUGCCCUUUGCCCUUUCAAAGAUUAAAUAAUUCUAUUAAAAGUUGUUUAAAUCAACCCCUCUAAUAUUACCAUCCACACAGGCAGCCGCGUUCUGCGCUGUUAGCUGAAAAUGAUGCGGAAGUCAAAUGAAAUGAAGUGCAUGACUUUUUGAAUUCAUUUCUAACCAAAGUAGGUAAAAUUUACAAUUUGGAUUGGUUCUUUCAUUAAAUUGCAGUACGAGAUUUAAGUUUCCGUAAUCAAUCAAUCAACUCGAACAUUUUCACAAGCUCUUUCUGAUCUGAUGGUGCGUCGAGGACAAUACUGCUGAGACUAGCAGAAGGACAAACUUAAACCACAAAGCUUUGCCUUGGGGCAUUAAAUAGCAAGCAACUCAAUGCAAUGAAUACUUGGUACUCACAUAAGAACUCCUUCAGUGUUACUGAGGGCUUUCUUUGCAAUCUUGAAUUUAUUAGCAAUCUUUUUGUUGGUUUUCACAACAUACUGCUUUAAGAAAAACUCGAUGCCACUUACAAGUGUUUCGAGCUCAGGGGAGACAGCUAUACGUGUGAACAUAUUCCAUAUGACAUUGUCAGGAUACUCAAAGACGGCCUCAAAUAGCAUCCUGAAAUGCAUAAUCCUCUUAGGAGUGAGCAGAUUGGGGUCGCUGAAGUCUAUAGUUUUCAAGACUGCAAGGGAGAGAGUAAACGCGGUCACCAUCUCAGCCACAAAUUUUGCUAGGUGCAUUGAUCUUAUAAGCUGCAUAGUCUCGAGCUCCUUAAAGUGGUCCCAGAGGCAAAACUGGAAACAUACCAAACAAAAGAUAAGAAAAAUAUCCAAAGAUAGUGAUGCAGUAACUUGAAGUCAUUUGAGAGAGUUUUACCUGUAAAGUAAACUUAUGGUUCUUGUCAUGCUCACACAACUUGGAAGCUAGUAUAGUGUAAUAUUUGUUAAACACUCUCUCUUGUAAACAACACUCCACAAGGACCCGUAUAAUCUCUCGGUCCUGUAGAAACAGGAGAUAUAAACAUUAUGGGUUAAGUAAAUGAGUUGAUAAGAAUGAAGAGGAAAAAAUAAAUAAAUAUAAGAUUUGCCUACCUGUUUUGCAGGCAAAUCCAGCCUUAGAAGCUUCUCAAAAGCAUCAAUGUAGUCGUCUCCACUCAUAAUUAUACAAAAUAUUGCUCUUCUAGCAUCAGUAUUCAUUCUUUGUGCAGCAGCAAGCUGCAGCAUUUUCUGUGCUUCAAGAACCUCUCUAUCAAUUGUGCUAGCAACCAAUUCCACAUUUUCUGUUUUGACAGCCAUGUCACCAGACAGCCACCACUGACCCUUCUUGUUAGGGUCAAGAAGCUUAUCCCACUUAAGUCCUCUUAUUAAAAUGUCUCCAACUCGUAACUGUAAAUAUCAAGACAAUAGAAUACAGAAUUAUAGAAAACAGACAACCUCAUCCAGAGAAGUUCAAUGAACAUUUAAUAUUUUUGACACAAUUUUCUCUCACUGAUGAUAGAAACCCCACAGCACAUGCACUGGGAUAAAAACUAAUGAGAUGUUCGAUCCCCACUAAGGUGGUCACCUAGCCAUAGCUGCUUCUUCAUCCCAAGGCAAAAGUAAGAGGUUCAAUGCAAGGCCCCCUUCUCCUCCCCAAGGCAAAGGGGGGGAGGGGAGAUUUAAUACUAAACAAAAGAACAGUGGAAAGGGAAAAAGAAUUCCAAAAUAGCAAAUACCUUUUGUAGCCAUUUCUUUAUCCGCACGUGUUGUACGGUGUCCUCUUUUGGCCUUUUCUUGUUAUUUUUUAUGUCCAAUAUGGUUUCAAGCAUGAACUCCAUCUGCAAAAAUUGCCUUGCAAGAUACAAAUCACAAGCAAAAAGUAGUAAACAAAAGUUUUACGAUAUAAACUUUGUAAAUAUCUCACCCUUUUGCCAUUUAUGCUUUCCUGGCUAUCUCCAGAAGAAGCCUUCAACUCGUUCACCCUAUUCUGAACGCCAAGAAUAAAAUCUUUCAUGGCAGCAGGAUCAUCGGCCCUUAUUUUCAUCCCACAGCCUUUUCAAUCAAUGGCAGUUCAUAUUAAACAUGAUAUUUUUGAUUCACUGGUUGUGAUAAAUUUGUACGCACACAAGCCAAUGCAAUGACAUAUGCUCUAUAACUAACAGAAAGCAAAAGCUAAAUCAUGCAGAAUAAAAACAUAGCAGUAACCACAUCAGGAAAAUGUAACACAUUUGAAAAUAUGUAGUCUGUGGAAGUUCAAAAACUUCAAUCCAAUCCUCAAUAAAAUAGCGAAUCUCUCUGGAUUUUGAGGUAAAAGUUAAAUAUGAUACAUAAAAGAAUUAACAGAACUGAAAACUGCGUAUAUAACAGAAAAAACUAUCAACUCUCAAAACAAAGCUUACAUUGCAGAAUUGUCAAGAUUGUAGAAACGUCAAUUUCCUUUAAGCGCUUGCUCAGUGUGACAAGGAAGUCAUAUAUCAACUCACUGAAAAAUAUAACCACAAACAUUGCUGUUAGAAUAUGAGUGCCCAAAACUUGAGGGCCAUAUCAAGGGACAUGCCAAAUGAAGAGAUUUCAAUCAAAAUUCUGAAGCAAAAACCUAUACAUGUCCAGUGUAACGUAGAAACUUUUUCAAAGAAAGCUCAAUCUAGGUACUUAGAAAAGUUAUAACAUAAACAGAAAAGUUAUUGCAGAAAGAGAGAAGUUCUCAAUCACAUUAAGCUUUAAUUCAGGGUUUCUUUGAAGGAAAAGGAAAGGGUUUCAGUUUGGACCUAGUCGUGGGGUGUGGAGUUCAAGUUACAUGUUCAGCAUCUAAAACUGCCAGGAAGUUGCGAGACCUAAGAUUACAGAGCUGCAUCAAUUCAGGAAUCUCCAAAAGAAUAUCCAGUUUUGAAGGUAGACCAGUUUAAGGUAAAGUUUAUACAUAUCCAAGCACUAUCAAAUGUCUUCUUUGGUAGAAAGUACUCACCUUGAGCAAACUCCGAAUAUGCAUAAAUAGGAUAGCAAGAGAGUAAGAUUUCGCAAGGAAAGAUUGUCUCGUUUGGAGUACUCAUUCUGGAACAAAGUGAAAAAACUGAAUUCAGUUACUUUUAAAAUUUUUGCUCUACAAGCUAACAAAACCACUGAGAUUCCCGAAAAGCAGACAACUAUAUUAGGCACCAAAUUGGUUAUUUUAUCUUAACAAGCAAUACAAAUCAGAAGAAAACAUUUUCAAUGGUUAUAAAAAAAUUCUUUUCUAAUUUGCAAGGCAACCUCAAAAGAUUUAGCAAGCGAAGCCAUAAGCUUUGCACUGAAGUCAAUCCCAACCAUACAAGCCAUGCCUGCAACAAAAGCAGCAAAAACAGCGGCAUACCUACAGAAACGUGGAGAAUGUCAUUAUAUAUACAACUGCCUAGAUUUACAUCCAGCAAUGCAUCAAAACAAACGAACAACCCAAAUGUGCAUAAUUUGAUACAGCACUGGCUCAUGGAAUAAAAUAAAACAGAUUACCCUACUGUUUAGUGCGAGUAGCACCAAUAGAAAGAGUUUCGUAUUGAUAGUCAAAAUAACUAGAGUUGAUUCUGCAGAUUUGUUCCUUUGCCAAACAUAAUCCUAUUUAUUAUAAUCCUGCUCUUUGGAAAUUAUUAGCAGCACAAAUAAAAACCUAGAGGAUGAAAUUCAUCUGAUGAACGUCUUCAGUUUAAGAAAACAGCAAUAAGAGAAAACUAAAACAAAAUGGAAAAUAGUCUGCAGGUAGAAAAUUUGCAUUUGAAUCCACCAUUUAUAGCUUCCAAUUAGACAGAAGUGAGACAUUAAAUAAAAGCAAGGGAGAGGAGAUAUAAAAUAGUAAUAAUAAAAAACAAACUCUUAACUGUUCAUUGCCACGAGGGCCACUUGAACAAGAAGCCAACACCUCCUCACUGAUUAUCUGACAACUGCCACUACGGCCAACAGACUGCAAUAUUUAAGAUUUAAGAGUUAAGUAAUAAUUCUAGAUCAACAAUAGCAUACCAAUUGCUCAGUCAAAGCAUGAUGACAAGAACAAACAACAUUUAAUCUACAGUCUUGAUGUACCCAUAAUACAACAAACGAAUUAUUUUACUCCAGUUCAACCAUAACCGGCCAUCAAAUAAUCAUGUUCUACACAGUUCUAAAAGGUCAAAAGCUUUUUCUUUUUACCUUUUUCUGAUAAGAAUUCUAAAAGGUCAAAGUUGGAGGAGAUAAUUAUAACAAUUUCAAAAACUUAAAUUCUUUUAAGCAGUAAUGGCAUGGACAGAGUAAGUAUGACACAAGAAUGGUAAAACAAUCUCCUGUCAAGAUUUCAAGACGACAUCAAAAGAAAAAUUUACAGAAUAAAAAAUGAUUAAUAGAAUACUGACAUACAAGAUAAAUUGAGGAGACUUCUCCGGUAAUUGAUUCUACAUUAGAUUCAGACAGCCGAUUCAAAAGACCUGGAACGUUCCAACCACACAGAGAAUGUCAAGUUUAAAUAUGUAGAAACAAGAUUCCUAAUUUCCACAUAGAAACUCAAUUUCCAUACCUCGAAUCCUUCUACGGAUUUGAGUAUGCUCUUCUGAUUCCUUUGUUGCACAAGGUCUCAAGUGAGGAGCAACAUACUUUACACUGCUUCCUGAACCAGGUGCUCUGGCAGGAGUUUCCAAUGGCACCACGACAUCAUGGGUUUCCUCUGGAUUGGCUACCCCAGGACCUAUCUCCUCGACGACAUUCUCUUCUCGUCCAUGCUCUACUGAUUUUCUCUUUCUCCGCUUCUUACGAGAAGGGGCCUUGGUGGGAGUUUCUUCCAUAGCAACAUCUAAACCAUUGGUUUCCUCUGACUCAGACCCUCCAACUUCUAAAUCACCUUCAAGAUCUUGGUCCAAUACCUUUUGCUUCUUGCGUUUUUUCUUUAGACAAAGUUCUUUAGCAUCGGGUACUUCUUCUUCUUCCUCUAAUGAAUCAAGAACAGAUGGAAUCCCAUUAAUCAACAAAUCGAGACCAUCAUCCUCUCUCCUUAAUUUACCCUUUUUCACUUUGAGUUUCUUUGCAAGUUUUCUCUCCAAUUCCAAAUCUUCCUCUGCACUUAUGACGGCAUUUGGCCUAUCAAUUUCAAGAAAUUCUUCAAACUUUGUUUUUUGAGCUCUCUUAGCCUUCCUUCUUUGGACUGCCUUAUAAGAAGUAAGCUCAUCUUUUUCAAAAGAAUUCAACUUCACUUCAUCUUUCUCCGAUAAAAUUAAUUCCUCUGAGCUUUGAUUCACCCCCGAAUCCAUUUGAGGAGAUGAACCUUUUAAUUUAUUCGCACGUUUUGACUUAACAUCCCCAAAGGUUUUCUUCAAUUUCUGGGAUUUCUGUGAAAUUAGAUUAAAUUAUAUAUUUCGAAACGUCAACUACAUUUAACACACGACAUAAAAGAUAAUAUUGAAGAGACAACAACAAUUUCUUCUACCUUGUGCUCAAUCCAAGCUUGAUGUUUUCUUUGAUUCUUUGCUAAUCGUGCUUCUUUUCUCUUAUCUCGGCGCCCCAAAUUUUUCUCUGCCAUCAACUGAUAAACUGCCAAUCAUUUUUUUUUUUUAAAGUAACUUUCAUGUCAAACAAUCGCAAGAGACUAAAUUACAAGUUCAUAAUUCAAAUAAAAUUUUAAUACAUUGACUUGACAAACAAAAGGCCUAAAUAUCAUACCGUGAAGAGCUGACGGCGAGCUGCAACAACCGGGAGGCGUUACGGUGGCCAAUGGGAGCUGCGAUUGCGAGGCUGCUGUUGUGCUGGCUGAUGCUGAUUCGCUGAGGCUAAGGCUAUCGUGAGGCGUGAGCUGCUGUGGUCGGCUGAGGCUGUCGGCGACUGCCGUUGCUGAUUUGAGAGGAGAGAUGAGGCUGUGCUGUCGUGGACUCGCGAGGCUGUGCUGGCUAUUAGGGUUUGUUUAAUUUGUUUUGUGGUUUUGCGAAAUUGCCAAUUGGGAUCGGGUGUGGACGCUUCACGGUUUCAGUUUGGGCCUUCCCCCUCAAUGUAACUUGUUAUGGCGGCGUCGAACUGUGCAUAAGGUACGACAAGUUUUAAUACAAUUGUCAUCCAGUUUUGUUAAAGUUCUACGACAAUCGUCUAAGGGGUGCAACUAUAAACGACUUGUCGUUUUUUAUCAUUUUUAAAUGUUGAAGUGGACGAUUAGUCGUCUAAUUAUCUGAUAUCGAACUACAGCUAGGCUAUGAAGAUCUUAAAAAAUAAUAAUAAUAAUAAAUAAAUUUAUUAAUUAAUUUGUUGCCUUCUUUUAUUAAAUAAAAUAUUACUCGAGUACAAUUAGUAUCUUUUGAGUUUGAGACUUGUACUAGUUUUGUCUUUCUGUUUAAUUUUCACGAAUUCUGUCCCUUCAAAAAGUUUCGUAUUCAAGAAAUCCAUAACAUGUUAUGAUGUUAAACAUCAGCUUACGUAUAUGAAUGUACCUCAAACGUGUAACCUGUUUGUCUCCGCCUCUAUGAAAUCAGCCAUUCAACUCUCAAACAACCUAAGCUAGUUUCAAAGAUCAAGAAAUUAAAUCCAUAACUUAUUAAUGUUAAGCAAUUUUGCAGAAAUGUAAUCACAAAUGUCAUACUGAGGUUCGGUAAUGAGCUCUUCAAGAAUACCACAGCAAUGAAAUCAGAAAGCUAACAGUAUGAGAAUCAUAUCACUAGUUUGAUUGAGAUCCAUCCGUCCAUGCAACCCAUUGAUUGUCCCUAUGCAGCACUGAGCUUCCUUCAGGAAAUUUCAUGUUUGGCCUAUUAGGGCGAACUCUAAUUAUCUUGCAGGUGCGCCCAUCUGCUCUAACUGACUGAGCAAUAGGAUCCACACGGGGGUUAACAGAGCAUUCCAAAGGCAAAGAAGAUGAAGGCAUGCCAUCUUCAACCCCAGAGGAGGCAGAGAGGUCAGAUGAGGAUGAAAACUCUGGUUGUGGAAAUUGAGAAAGAUCAUAACCAGCAACUUCAGUAUUCACUGUAGUCAUUUCUGAAAGAAAAGGACAUUGUUGUGAGUAAAAACACAAUAUGUCCUACCAAGGAAAAGAGACCACAAAUCAUAUGAUGAUAUUAUCAUUUGUCUAGAACUACAGCAGACAGUUCUCAAGCGAAAAUCAAGGUCUCAUUGAAAAUGAAGCGAAAAUCAUGACGCUUGAAUAAUACUACAAAAUUCAGCCUCAUUCUAAUUUGUUAAAACAUAUUUGCCUCAUUCUGUUAUGUAACUGACAAUGAAAUAUGAAGAUAUUGUAAACACAUGCCAUGUAAAUUAUGCAAUAUCUCAUUCCAUACAAAAAAAGAGUUCAUCACAUGUAAAUUAAGCCAAAGUUAUUAUAGAUAAUACUAUUACCAUAUUACACUACAUCGGUGCACCCUGUAGACCAUGGAUAAAAUAGGAGCUUGUUUUACAAAUGAACAUAAAUUAUUUCCAAUAUCAAAUUGCGAUUGAAAAUGUAGAUUCAUUUUCACUGAUGACACGACAUACUUGAGAAGAUAAAAGGGAAGCAACUAGAGAGAAGGUUAUCAGCUUUCAAAUGUUAUUUGUAUUUGAACUAUAUAUGAAUAAAAAUAAUUAAUGAUCAAGUGUUUUAUACACACAUUGUAACUUUAAUUAUACUAGUUAAGACCUAAAAUUUGACCGAAAUGAUCCUUUGUUCAGCUCAUCUAUCACAAUUAGUAUACUUUAGAGAUUAAAGAAAAGUUCACCUCUGAUUUCUUCAGCUUGCACCUUGGGCAUUGAAUUGGGAUUGAAAACCAUGCGGCCUGCAGUUUGGACAUUGUGGUGCAGAUCUGCAGUGACAUUUGAUUGCAAGCUGGAUGAUGAGUAGUCAGCUUGUGCUUGGAUGGCAGGAGAAACCAAUGCAGGACCCUGACUUGGAUUGGCUGAACCCAAAAAAAAAAAAAUUUUAAUUAAUUAAAAAUAAUAAUAAUACACAUAUAUACAUACAUAUUUUCAUGAUUUCUAAAGUUCAAACUUCUCUUUUCCGUUCUUGGAAUUUGUUAAUAACUAAAGCAUCACUUAUAAACUGUUCUGUAAGGAAGACCUAGAAUAUUUGCACUCAAACAGUAGAUGGAAAGUACUUCAUCCAGGAUUUAGGAUAUGGGCUCCGAUUAAACCAAAUCUUCAAAUGGUACAUCAGAUGCUUCAGUACUUUGGACCGUCUUUCUCUAUUUAAAAAAUUAAUUCUUCAUUAACCUUAAUUAAAGUAGUCAUCUUUUUCCUCACAUAAAUCAUGAAAAUUCUGUUUAAAGUACAAGAUUUUUCCUCACUUAGUAGACAUAAUAUACAUUGACCAGCCAACAGCCCUUAGCAACUUUAACUUACAAUAUGCAGGCCACUUUGUUAUGAGCUCCAAGCUAGAUUCAUAUUCAGUUAAGAUGUGCUUCUUCAAUUAUAUGACGAAACAAGCUGUGCUCCUAGAAUUACAUGAAGAAACAAAUUAAAAUACAAUGCUUCAAUAUUUUGCCUUUAUAAGACUAAUGUCUUCACAUACUCAGGAAAAGGUACGUGACCGCAUUAAAAUUACUGAAAACAAAUUGUAGCAAAAAACAUUCAUCAUGAAAAGUUUAGGGAACUUCAACACGAGUACAAAAAUGAGAAGCCAAAAAAAAAAAAAUUAAAUAAUGCUGUACCUAUGUGAGUAGGUUUUUUAAGUCUAAAGCACGUAGAAACCGUAAGUCCUAAAUAAAUUCAUUGAAAUUGAAAGGCUUACUAUUAUAUAAUUAUCAUAAAUAAAUAAGCCAGAUGGUAUUUCAGAAAAUAUACCAUUACUAGUUCAAUUGUGCACAUUUAAAAAUUGGGUCCAUAAUCACUCACAAAUAUGAGAAUUGAUGACUUUAACAAUUGACCAUCAGGGAACGUAAUCCUAUGUGCUCUCUGUAAAGUAACUAUUUAUCAAAAAUACAUUGAAAAUCCAAAUUAUUCCUGCGAUAAUUAGUAUACUUAAAAAAUGUGCAGCUAAAACCUACUAAGUCAAAAGUAAGGUAGCUCAGUAUGGGGUCAAUGUAGAGCGAAAAACAAAAUUCAUCAAAGAGUGAAUAUGGUGAUAAUAGGACACUACUUUCUUUUACUCAAGGAGUGAAGCAUACGUGAACGAUUUUAUGCAGGUGGCAUAUUUCUUUGUCUUCCAUGAAGGUUAAUUUAUAAUGCAUGUACAUACUUCAAAUAGAAGGAUAAAUUAGAAAAGAAUAAUUUCUAGAGUUGAGAUAAAGCACUUUAGAUGUAAUUGAGGGAAAGAUGAAAAAGGAAUCAUAUAUAGCACAUACGUUCUUUUAGCCUCAUGUAAGCAACUUUUGCUGCACUCAUCUCCGCUUGCUUCUUGGACUUUGCUUCUUGUCCAGAAAAAACUUGUCCUCCUACCUCAACAGUUGACACAAAAGUUGGUGCAUGAGAUUCACCAGAUUGCUUAGUAUUAUAAACUGGCAAAGCAUACGCUUCUUUCUGAGCCAAUUCUUGCAAAAGGUUCUUGUAAAGAACAGAAUCAUCCUGGAAAAAUAUGUUUAUUAACAAAAUAUGCGAAUAUGAAAGAAGAUAGAUCACUACUAAUACGAAAUUCAUAAGUUAUUCAUUAACAGUUAAUUAGAAGACUGGCCUGUUGAAAUUUAUCAAGUGACAAUGACAUUAAUGCAACUUUCGCCGCUUCAUGCUCGGCAUCUUUUAAAGUAGGAAAAAACUGAUGACUCUCAUAAGUUUGUCCAUCAAUUGUGACCUUACACUUGAAACGACUAGCAUGAGGAGGACCUUCCCUCUCACAUGAAUACAUAGGAAGAGGGAGAUUUUUCUUUUGAGUAUAGCUCUGCAGCUGGUUUUUGUAUAGGUGUUGCAUAUCUAUAAUUCAGAAAGAAAUUAUGAGUCACAUGACUUCUCAUCAUAAACAAUAGAAAUUCUUUCAUUUCCUUAUUUAUUGCCUAGAUAAAAACCAGAAGUCACAUGUUCAGAAUGCAAGGAAAUAGGAUGUCAAUUCAAUGAAACAUCAGUAAACAUAGCAGUGAUGGCUGAAUCGCCUUGAGGAUAGAAAUACCCCGACCUUACCCUCCCCCGCUCCUUAAAAGAGUACCCUUCAUCCAUACCCCACUCUCACAUCAGGACUGCCAUCUUUAAUAGUUCUUACCACAGUAGGACUGGAACGCACACCCAUGAUCUGUGUCCCGCCAGUACAAUAUUUUAACUAAGUAGCAGCAGAACGCCAAAAAGCAUCAAUGUAAUUGAAUGGAUAAAAUAAGUACCAUCUAAGCUAAAUUCAUACCUUCAAACAAGAAACCAUCGAUGCGAUCAUCAAGCUAAAUGCCCAAGCAAUGUACUAAAGCAAUCAAAUCUAAGAAAUUGAACGUACAAAAUAAGUUCCAAUUAAGCUAAAUUCAUACCUUCAAGUCAGAUACCUCUUACUUGAAAUAAAUCAAGGUUACAGGAGAUGAGAGCACAAUCAGCUUAAUUGGUAGAGUUUAAAAAAUAUUAGGUCCUCUCUGGGGCAUACACAAUGAUGAAGAUGAAAAAGAUGAAGACUCAAAAAGUGAGAGAGAGAAAGGAGAAAGAUGAGAUUAGCUGCUUAGAGAAGGAGGCAGCAGAGAGGAAACCAAAUGGGAACAAAACCCUAACCUUGGGAAAGGAAAUAAUAUAAACAUAUACUAAGGUAUUUAUACGAGAAAAAAUACCUGGGAAAGGGCUGAAAAGAAAGAAGUUGUAUCUAUACCCCAACUGCACCCUAUUAGUUAUUUGAUUGACACAUUGCUUGACCCAAUUGGCUAGGUGUUUCCUCGUACGGGCACUGAAUAUGAAGCAGUGCAAACACUGAAAUUUCAAGUUUCCUUAUAUAUACUUUUUGAUUUCACUAUUUUACUUCUUUUCACUCACCUGAGGCUCAAUGUAAGAUCGUCAAAUAGACGGAAUACCUGAGGCUCAAUGUAAGAUCUUCAAAUAGAUGGAAUUGGAUUGAAAGAUUGAGUUCUCUCACUUGAUAUCAAAUUCAGAGUUAACUUAGAGAUCUAUUUCAUUAUAUGUUAUUAGUGCGUCUCAAAAAUGACAUGUAAUGGUCCACUCAAAUGUUUUAUUUAAAUAUCCGUCCAUAUAUUAUCCAAUAUUCCCUUUCAACAUUACCGUACCUAGCAUUAAUAAAUUUUAGGCACAUCACAGCAUAUCCAAAUUUACGUAUGUCCAGCAAUUUUCUAAUUGAAAAUGAUUUUGUACAUAAAAAUACAGAUAUGUGGACAAGAACAACAAUCAAGAUCAUCAAAUUUAGUAUGGAAGAAAAGAAUACAAAUGAAAAUAUGUGACAAUCCAACUUCAAUUGAAGUUGUUAAUUAGAACUUCACCAAGGCCAACAGAAGUAUGAGAAACAUGAAUCAUAAUUAUAAAAAAUAAUAAUAACAUAAAUCACUUAGAAGUUCUCUGAUGCGGUAAAUUGAAAUAGAGCUACAUUCAAGAAAUCAUGACUAUAGGCUUUGUCUUUAAUAGCCUCUUUAAUCCUCAAUCUUUUGACAUCACCAUAGCAGAAAAGUACACAAAAUUCAACAAUAUAUGCAUGAUCAAUCAAUAAAACCAAUAAACCAAAUAUCUAAAUCAAGAAAUUACAGAAAGGAAAAGAAAUUAUUACUAAAAUAAUUAUCUGACCUCUUGAUUUGUGAACAUCAUUGACAGUUGAGAUUGUUGCAUUGACCUGAGUAGUUCGAUCUGUUUCUCGAGCAUUUACUUGCACUGCACUUUCACUCGAAGAACCUACAAAAAUUAUUUAUAACCCAGUGUAAAGAAGAAGUAAAGUUUUCCGCACGAACAUGGUAAAGUAAAGUUUUCUGUAGGAACAUGGUAACUUCAAAACCCGUUUCAAACCUAUCAUACGUCCCCCACCCUCAUUUAAGACUAGUGCUUGCAAAAACUAGAAGUAAUUUAUCCAGAACAUAAAAGCAGAGAAAAUCCAGUCAAGUAUAAAUAUAAAAUUAGAUAAUACCUACCAUUUACCAUUUCAUUCAAGAACACCACACAGUUAACGAAACCAACAUAGGUAUGUUUCCAACUGUUGUACUUUCAAGUUAAUUUUGAAAGCGCGGAAGCUAAAGCCUAAACUGUUGUUUGAUAAAAGCCCAUCCACUGACUGAUACUUGGCGGGUAGCAAUUCCAUUCAAUAGCAGUCAUAGAAUAAAAGUACAAAACAAACCCCUGUUUAAAAAAUGCAAUGAAGCAGCCAUGAUUUCAAUUAUUUGCAUGUCUGGGAUUGCAGUUGAUUCCAAAUUGAGAAUAUACUUCGAGAAUAUGUUUGAUAAGCCCUUAUGUGAUGAUCGCUGGUUUAUUGAGUCUUAAAAGAACAACUCAAUCAACUAAUGUUUGAUUUGAAAAAAAAAAAAAUGGCAACUCAAAAAAGUUUUGGAGUAGAUUCUCAAAAGAGUGAUUAUUUGAUAAUCCACCAUAAUCCCACAUAGUUAUCAGAAUGAAAUUAAAAUCCGAGGAAUGUUAUUUAAGGCAAACAGCACUUUUUUUAUUUUAACCAACACUUGCAAAUUGCAAUUCUUAAACUAAAAGCAUGCAAAAUAAAUGCAAAUUAAGAACGCACCUAACAGAAAAUAAUAAUAAUAAUAAUAAUCUGAAUUGGCAAUAUUAAAAUUACCGUUAGAAGAGGAAGCGGCAGGAGUAGAGGAUGGUGGAGGAGGAGACGAGAAAUGUUGGAAAGCGAUUCUAGCGGCGUCGUUUUGGGCCUCUUUGGACGACUUGUAAAGAUCCGGAGUGGUGAAAGAUUGGUCGUUAACGGUAACGGUUGCUUGAAAGCGAGGGUUGUGGUCAAGGCCUUGUUUGGCUGUUGUGUAUACUGGCAAGUUCCACACUCUCUGGUGGCAUAGCUCCUGCAGCUUCGUUUUGUACAUCUUUUUUGCUUACAAUAUUUUCACUGAUUUUAAUUUUUUUUUUUUUUUUUUUUUGGAAUGGGAAACUCAAGAGAAGAGAGAAAUGGAAUUUAGUUGCAAAAUUUGAAGUUUAAUUAUCAAAUAUUACGCCAAGAGAGUACGCUUCAGUUCCACGAACAGGUUCAGAAUAAAUGACGCUUGGGAAUGCUGAAAUGGAAUAAGGCCUUUUUAUAAACAAAUAAUAAUAGUAAACCGACGCCACGGUGUUUUAAAAAUAAGUUUUUUUUUUUUUUAACCUUGAAAUUCCUUAUCACAGUGACGUUUUAAAAUAAUAUUUUUUUAAAAUGCAAAAAAAAUAAUUUCUUUCUACCAUUUAUAAAAAAGAAAACUUAAAUAAUUUACUGUAUUAAACGUUAAAAUAAACUAAUAAAAAAUUAUCGAUAUUCUAAAAACCAAAUAAAUAAUACCUUUCCUUUAUCUUCUUCUCAAGGAAGGUGGCUAAAAACUUUCUUCUCCAAAGAGAUCUUGUUCUAUAAGGAGACAUGACAUGAAAGUUGAAGGAGAGGGUGAUCGAAGGGGGGAAUAAAAAAUCUUUUAUGGUUGGCUCGUGGACAUGGACUUCUUAUGAAAGGUGGUAACGCUGUCUCAACGUCAUAAUUAUACCGAAGCUAAGUCCAUUUCAAUCAAUAUAAAAUAUGAAUGCGGUAACGACUAACGAGAAGUUAAUAGUUUUGGAUCAAACGAAUAUACAACGUCGUUCGUGUGUUUAUCAAAUAAGAAUUCAAUUUAAACAAUGUAAAUGUGUUAACAAGAAAUUGAGAGUUAUUGAUAAGACGAGCAUAAAAUUAAAACGUCAUUCAUAUGUUCAUCAAACAAGAGUCCAUUUAUGUAUAUGUAUUAACAAGGAGUAGGGAGUUUUAGGUAAGACAAGCAUGUUGAGUUGUAAUCGGAAUAGACAGAAAUCAGAAUAGGAAAUGGAGAUCAGAAUAAAUUAUUUAUUUGAACUGUAGGAAUCGAAAUCGGAAUGAAUUGAAUUGUCAUAAAUGUGUUUACUUUGUCUUGGAAUCGGAAUCGAAAUGAAUUAAAUUAUAACAAAUUAUUAAAAAGUACUUAAUAAAUUAUUGUUAUAAUUAUUAUUUUAUAUUUUAAUUAUAGUGAUUAUUUAUUCAAAAAUUAUUAUUAUUAAUUAUUGUCAAUAAUAUAUUGAUAUAUUAAUUAAUUAUAAUUAUUAUUAUAAAUAUAUUAAUUACUAAUAUUAAUAUAUUUAUUUAUAAUAAUAUAUUAAUUAUUGUGAUUAUUUAUUCAAAAACUAUAAUUAUUAUUGUUGUUAAUAAUGUAUUAAUAUAUUCAUUAAUAGUAAUAAUUAUAUUAAUAAUUAUUAUAACAAUAUAUUAAUAAUAAAUAAUAAUAUACGAAUUAAUUAUAAUAAUUAUAUUAAUGAUUAUUAUGAUAGUAUAUUUAUUAAUUAAUUAUAAUAAUAAUAAAAUAUAUUAAUUAUUGUGAUUAUUUAUUCAAAAACUAUAAUUAUUAAUAUAUUAUUGUUAAUAAUGUAUUAAUAUAUUAAUUAAUAGUAAUAAUUAUUUCAAUUAAUUAAUGAUAAUAUAUGAAUUAAUUAUAAUAAUAAUAAUAUAUUAAAUAUUGUGAUUAUUUAUUCAAAAAUUACAAUUAUUAAUAAUUCUUGUUAAUAAUGUAUCGAUAUACUAAUUAAUUAUAAUAAUAUAUUAAUUAAUUAUAUAUUUGACUUUUUAUUUUUUAUAUUUAUAUCUUUUAUUUAAAGAAGGGGCAUUUUAAGAAAUUUUGAAUGUCAACGGAAGCAAAAGAACUCUAGGUAAUGGGAGAUUGAUUCUCACCUCUCCAGGGAAUCAAUCUCUCAUUCCUCAUUCUCAAAUAGUGGUGGGUUCCAUGAUUUCAAUUAUGAUUCUUACUCCAUUUUUUGGAAGUAAAUGCCGUUAAUCAUUUUGAUUCUCCAAUUUGGAAAAUAAAUGUACCAUAAUAUUUAAUCAAUUAUUAUGAUUAUUGGAUUUUUCAGAUACUUUUAUCUAUUUUGGUUGGAGGGACGAAGUUCACUUUCUAUUAAAAGAAACAUUAGAGGAGCUUUCAAAGUCUAGGCUAAGGUUGUUUCCCAUGGCCUUGAAGCAAUACCCAAAAAGAGCUUUCCGGCUGGCAAAAUAGGCUUGUGUUUCUGCGUCGCAAAAUGAUGUGAAUGAGCUUUCGGAGUGUUUCCUCUGAAAUUUUAGAUGCUGCAAAAUCAACAUUGUCCCGCUCGAAGUAACCCGGACAAUUUCAUUUCCUAAUUUCUUCUUAUUUAUUAUGGCAUUGAUUUUCAUUGCAAGCUCAUAGCUCUGCUAAGAAAAAGAAUAAAUGGGGGCCAAAAAAGGAAGAAAGAAAUAGAGGCAAAGGCAACAACAUUAAUGCACAAACCAGUAAAGGUAUUCCAUCGAUUUACGGCCACUGAUAGCAAGCCGGGGCCUUUAAAAACGGAAAAUACAAGCAAAGAAAAAUAGAAGCCAAUUGCUCAAUAGUGCAUAAUAUGCAUACGGAAAAUUUUCAUCACAUCACGACCCACAGUUAUUCGAAUAGGUAAUAAGACAGGAAUUUUCUUUCUUUGUUUAAAGUGAAAAAAAAAAAAUCAAUGGCUCAGGAAGUAUCCCUCCAAUCUCCGGAACCGCUCACUUGGCACUGGCAAGCUGGGUGCGGAGUAGCUUGGCAGCAGCGACCAUGUUUGAGAGGGCUGGCUUCACCUCAGUGUACUUGCGAGUCUUAAGACCACAGUCAGGGUUAACCCACAAAAUGUUGGUUUCUAGCACAGCAAGCAUCUUGUUGAUUCUGUCAGCAAUUUCUUCAGUUGAUGGUAUUCUUGGAGAGUGGAUGUCAUACACACCAGGGCCAAUUCCAGCACCAUACUUGACUCCCUCACGGAAGACAGACAGGAGCUUCUCAUCAGAACGAGAGUUCUCAAUGGUGAUCACAUCAGCAUCCAUGUCGAUAAUUGAGUGGAUAAUGUCGUUGAAGUUGGAGUAGCACAUGUGGGUGUGGAUCUGUCAAUCAAUAUACAAUAAGAUGAGAUACAACAUCAACAGCUAAAUUAGAGAGAUGAGAUUGGAGAUUGAAAGGGCAACUGACCUGGGUAGUGUCCUGGACGCCACAGUUUGUGAUUCUGAAGGAGUGGACUGCCCAGUCCAAGUAGAAAGCAUGCUCAGAUUUCCUAAGAGGCAAUCCUUCCCUCAAGGCAGCCUCAUCAAUUUGAAUAACGUUAAUGCCUGCCUUCUCAAGAUCCUCGACUUCGUCCUUGAUGGCCAAAGCAAUCUGGUAGCAGGUUUCAUGUCUGCAAAAUUGGCAGCGAUUUAUGUUAAACAAUGUUUCCAUUUCAAAAGGUUAACCAAUAGUGAACCAGUUCUCAUUUAUAUACCUGGGCUGGUCAUUUCUAACAAAGGACCAGUUGAGAAUGGUGACAGGGCCAGUAAGCAUUCCUUUCAUUGGGCGAGCAGUCAUGCUCUGAGCCAAGGAGGACCAGAAGACGGUCAUAGCCUUGGGACGGCUCACAUCACCAUAGAUGAUGGGUGGCUUCACACAGCGAGAUCCAUAGGAUUGCACCCACCCAUUGGCAGUGAAGGCGAAACCUGAUAAUUGCUCUCCAAAGUACUCAACCAUGUCGUUCCUCUACAAAAACAAAUGUCCCAAUUCAAUAUGAGAUACAGCAUACUUCGUAUGCAAUUAGAAAUGCAGAAACAAAAAUGUAUAAAAUUUUAUCUAAUUCAAAACCAGGAGACAUUGCUUUGCUUCCAUUGGGCAUUGUGAAACUCACCUCAGGCUCUCCAUGGACAAGGACAUCAAUAUCAAGCUCUUCUUGGAGUUUGACAACCUUGUUGAUUUCCUCCUUGAUGGAAGCAACAUAUUCUUCCUCAGAAAUCCUAAAAAGGACAAAUAGUCACGGCACAGUUAAUACAGUAGUCGAAGUAAUUUCACACAUGGCAUUGAAUGAAGGAAAACCUCAGAUUGACUCACUUCUUAGCCUUGUAUUCACGGCGGACUCUCCUAAGUUCAAUGGUUUGUGGGAAGGAUCCAAUUGUGGUGGUUGGGAGGAUUGGAAGAUUGAGCUUCUUCUGUUGAGCAUCCAAUCUAGCACUAACGUUUGUAACACGUCUGUGGUCUGAUCCCUUCAAAGCAGCAGCCUAAUUUACCAAGAGGAAGGAAUCACCAUUAGCAAAAAAAGGAAAUUCUAAGGGGCAGCCACAUCAUAAAAAUGGAAAACAAAUCAAUCAUGCCACUUACAGCCUUUUGAACUCUCUCAUUGGUCACUCUCGGGGAGGACUUUCUUGAAGCCUGAGCUGCAGCAUUGGCAGAGAAGAAUCCCUGGAAACAAAUGAAAAGGAGAAACAAAGUUAGUCUCAUUCAUAUCAUUUCAAAAAGAAUAUACAUAUGCAAUUAGUGGGCUGAUUGUGAGAGAAAAUGUCCACAAAACUUUAACCAAACACCAAAUGCCCAAGUUGCCAAAUGAUGUUUAAUUCGGAAAAAUAUAUUUAGAAACAUUCAAAUAAAUAAUUUCCCCUUCUAAAUUUUCAUUUUCAACAACAUAUUUUACAAGCCAAGCUCAACUUCAGGCCAAGAUUUUCUGCUCCUAUAAUUAUAUUUUACCAUAAAACUAGGUCCUUGAAAGGCUAAGAUUUUCUGACUCUUGUGACUAGUCAAAGCCUAAGAUUCUUUCAAUUCAUCCGUAGCUAACAUUUUAGACUAAAAGUAUACCUCAUCCUUUUGGCCAGCCAAAGCCUUGGCCAAUGCAUUCACUUCAACAACUUUCUGGGCAGCAAAUGCCAGCCAUGACUUGAUUUCAUCGUCGAGUUUGUUCUCAUUAACAAGAUCAACAGCAGUGUGAAGAAGUGAGCAGGAGGUGGAGACCACAAGCUUGUCUGCAAAGAAAAAUAAUAAAUUAUACAACAAAUCCCAUAAAAGAAUAAGAAAUAUUUAUCACAAAGAAAAAUGCAGGCAAAGGAUGUAUACCUUUGCCAACAACACCCUCAAGCCCCGGAGAACACUAAGAGAAGCAGCAAGAUCAUUGGCCCAAAUGUUCCUUCCAUCAACCACUCCAGCAAAGAGGUACUUGCCAGCAGGGAAUCCACUCUUGAUCAAUUCAAGGGUCUUGGUUCCACGAACCAAAUCAAAUCCAUAAGCGGUGACACCCUUCAAAGAAGUGAGGGUCUGGAAUGCCUCAGCUGGAACAUCAGCAAAGUAGGUCUCAACAAGAACAUUCAAGCCAGACAGAGUUGACUCUAGCUCGGAAUAAGCCUCACUGAAUGCUUGCAAUUUGUGUGAGUCAAGAUCCAUAACAAGCAAUGGCUCAUCAAACUGAAUCCAGGAAGCACCAGCAGCCUUAAGCUCAGAAAUAACUUCCCUGCAGAAGUGUUAAUUGGUACAACACAGAUUAAUGAUGUCACUCGAUAUAUACACACAGAGUUAUUUAGCACAUACACAUUUAUAAAUCAGUAGUAGGUGAUAAUUUCUUACUUGUAGAUUGGAAGGAUUUUGGGAAGAAGAGAAAGAAGAGAAAAGGUCUUCGCAACACCCUUGGCAGGCUUAGACAGCAACAAGUAUGACACAGGGCCAAUAAGCACUGGGACAGUUUCAACUCCAAGCUGCAGCAUUAGACAAGUGAUUGAUAUUAGCAUCUCACAAACUUGAUCUGAUUGAUAGAAAGUUACAAGCAAGUUCAGAAUUCGUUUAAUGAAAUCUCUAUGAAAAAUCUUCAGGGUCCACAAUGUGUUGAAAGUACCCUUUUCAAGUAAUUUAUCUUAAGACUAUUUUGCAAACAGUAUUGCUUUCCUUACAGAUCAAAUAAAUCAAACAACAUAUGAACACAUUUACUGAACCAAGUCUAAGUUCAAAGCUCUAUAAAUAAAUGUCAAUGAAUCUAUAGUAAAUUCUAUUGCAUCCUAAGCUAAAGAUGAGCAUAUCAUAUAAGAAUUUCAAGGUGAACGUAACCCAAUUUCAAUAUAUUGUAGAUUCAGAUAUCAAACGAAAUAAAAUUUGUAAAUAUAGACAGAACUGAGAAUAAACACUCACCCCCUUAGCCUCCUUGUACUCAGUCACAGCCUUGUGGGAAGCGUAGGAGAACUUAACAUCGGGUCCCAAUUCAGGAACAAUGAAAUGACUGCAUCAACACGAAGCCAAACACGCGUCAGCAUUCAGUACAAAACCAUUACACCAUAAAUAACUUGAAAUGCCGCUCUUCCAAGUAGUGAAUACUUACUAGUUGGUGUCGAACCACUUGGUCAUUUCCAUAGCGGGAACAGAGGCGUUUCCUCUGGCCAUGGAGAAGUAAACAUCAAAUCCAAUCUCGCCGCCGUUCCAGUUAUACCUCGGGGGCACGGCACCGAGCAUUGCGGUGGUGUCGAGCACUUGGUCGUAGUAGGAGAAAGUGUUGCUGGGAAUGUAUUUGAUCCCGGCCUGGGACAUCUGUUUCCAGAUGGAGGAUCUGAGAUCAGCGGACACCUUUUGCAAAUCCUCAGCGCUGCUCUUGCCAUCCCAGAAGGAUUCCAACGCGAACUUGAGCUCCCUCUUGGGGCCCAUGCGUGGGUAUCCAACGAUGUGAGAUGCCAUUUUACUGUCAUAAUCACGUCAUCAAUGAAUCGAAAAUCAGUCACUUUCAUUAAAUCAAGAAAAUAUUCAUUCAAAUGGAUGGGUCAUUGCUAUUACUGCUCAAAUCAAAUGAAAUCAAGUACACUUAUCAGAGCAUAAAAUCUUAAAUUAUUUUUUUUAUAAAAAAAUAAAAAACCAGUUGAAACAAGCUGAUAAUAAUCCAAGAGUUUGAGAUGAUUUUUUUCUUUCUGUAAUCACAUGAACAAUUAUGUACUUUCAGUCAUUUUUGAAGGAUUAAAACAAAAAAUUCUAAAAAUAGAUUCUGAAAAGAAGAAUCUAAAAAUAGAUUCAAAAACGGUAACAGAAGUAGAGUUCAAAUUGUUUUUCUGAAAAGAUUAAUUACAGAUCUGAUUGAUUCACGUUCAGAUCUAGCAAAAUCACGGCAGCCAAACACUAGAUCUAACACUAACAGUCACUCACCAGUCCAUUAGAAAAUGAAAUCAAGUUCAAAAUUCUUUUAAAGUUAAUUCUUUUUUAGAAAAUGACCAGAUUUUAGUUGAGUAUUAGUGAGUUUUUUACAAAAUAAUUUAUUUUUGUUUUUUAGAUCCAAAAGUUCGGAAAUCAAAACCAUGUUCAAUGCUUAUUCAUGAUUAACGGCGUAAAAACGCUACUGCAGAGAAGACAUAACGAAAAUGGGAACCGUACCAAACAGAGAAAGAAGAGCAGAGAAAUUGAGAGUCGAGAGGAGAGAGAGAAGAGAGCGGCGAGUUUGGGGGAGUGCCCUCUCCGUUAUUUAUAGCCAAAAAUCAAAUCUGGUUUGGUGGUUGCCUUUGGCGUGCCAACCUGUAGAUCUGAGAUUUUUCAUCUUAAUUUCUUUCUCUUAUUUAUUUAUUUAUUUAUUAUGAUCUUCAGUGCAGUUCAUAAAAUAUAGAGCUGACGCGCGCUUUUCUGAUGUGGCGCGUGAAUUGGAAAUGCGGUAGGUCUUUGUGGGCCCCACGGCGCGGUCAGGACUGAAGGAAAAAUGUGAGAAGUUAUCAUAAUUUCAACAGUGCCAUAAUUAGCAAUUACACCACCAAAUAUUUCUUGAGUUUUUUUUUUUUUGAUUGCUUUAAAUGCAGAGUUGUUAUGAAUUGUGUUAAUUGUAGAGUUGUUAUGAUUAGAUUACAUUAUAAUUCGUCACAAUUAUGAUAGGUAUGUACGUAUAUAAUAAUUUAUGAGUAAUGAUAUAACCACAAACUCUUGUACAAACUUAUUUUGUACAAAUUGAUGUGGCAUGAUAAAGUUGGUUGAAUUAAAUAUUACUUGAUCCACAUGAUUUGUUAUUAUUAUUUUAUAUUUUCAUUCAACCAAUGAAUUAAUGACACGUCAGUUUGUACAAGAUAAGUUUGUACAAGAGUUUAUGGUUGUAUCAUCACUCAUAAUUUAUAUAAGAUCUCGAAUAUUUAAAAAAUUUAUAAAUCAUUAUUUUCAUGUACAUUUACCUGGUAGCAAUGACAAUAACAUAAAAUAAACUCCAAACAAGAAUGGAUUAUAUUAUUUAUGUUAUUUUAUAGCUUUUUAAUUGAUUGUUAAAAGGAUUAAUUGUUAAUCAUUACUCUCCAACCGUAAUCACCAUUAAAUAUUUAUUUAAUUUAAUAGUCGGUAGAUCAUAAAUAAGAUUAGAAUAUUUAAUGGACAAUCUAAUUGCUACUACAAUUGUUAUCAUUUUUUUAAGGUAAGGGAUUAGACAAUACUCAAAUUUAUUUUUUAACCCCUUACUCCCUAAAGAUUCGAAUUUAACUAACUAAUUAAAUAAGACUGCUUAAAAACCACUCAACCACAUCUUUUGGGGACCAAUUAAUAUCGAUGUUUAAACUGAGGUUUAUUAUUAAAUUUUUUAAGUUUCAAGUUUCAACCGCUAACAACAUUAUCAUCGAUUAAUGAUAAAUAUAAUAAUAUUUCAUCAAAAAACCAUUUAACACAUCCAUCCAUAUUAAACAUAAGUAAAAAAUUUAUCAUGCAUUUCAAAUAUAUUUUUCAUCCUAAAAGUUAUGGAGAAAAUCUUGAUAUCAAAACUUACAAUGUAAUUAUGGGAUGUAAUUUUGCAUUUGAGGUCAGCACAACUUAAAAAUUACUAUGAAUGAAAAUUUAUAAUAAGCAGACACCACAAAAAAAAAUUAUUUAUAAGUAUUACAAUCAUGCAGUUUUAUUUAAGUAUUUAACCAAGUCAUUCAAUUUCUAAUUAAGACGGUAUAAAUUAGAUUUGGGCUGCCUAAGACCAAAAGUCAAAAAAAAAAAAAGAAUAUUCCUAAUAAGCAGCCUACCGCGGUCACGCGCCUUAAGAAACGCUUGGACUUAGCACACGAUUUUAAUCCAAAAUGUAUAAAAAAGGAAAAAUUUAUGAGGUGUAUAAUUAUCUUGAGUUGUUAUAUUUUGAAGAAACAAUGAAGAAAGUUGGUGGCCGAAGUUGAUCCGGGGCGAAUGGUGGUGGGCCCACGUUGUUGCAUUAUAAUUGGAGUUAUUGUAAUUUUUCUUAUAAUUAAUAAACUCCAUUUUUCAAAGAAAAUAAAUAAAUAAAUACACUCCCGAUUACGAAAAUAUCAUUUCAUGAGUGUCAAAGUUAGAGCUGGCAAAAUUUGACACGAUCCGAUUACCUGACACGAACACGACAUAAAUAAAUAAGUAUGGGUCGUCAAAUUUAACACGAUUAUUAAAUGGGUCGGGUUUGGGUCAACACAAUUUUUUUCCGUGUCGGGUUUGGGUUAAAAUUCUUGACCCAUUUACCCGAUCAAUGACCCGAUUAUAUUUUCUAUUUUAAAAUAAUUUACAUAUUCUUAUAAUUAAAACUCAAAUAUUAGAGAUAUUUUUUUUAUUCUUUAAAAUGGUGAAUAUAAACACAGUGUUUUAUUUAUAAAAUUUUACAUACAUUUAGAGCUUCAAUAGUGUAAAUGUGUAAAAAUUAAUAGACAUGUAUAUUUUAUAAUAUUGAUAUAUAAUAUUAUAUAUAUAUAAUUAAAACAUCAAUAGUGUAAAUGUGUAAUAUAUUGGUAGAUAUAUAUAUUUUAUAAUAUCGAUAAAUUAUGUAUGUAUGUAUUUAUGUACAUACGUAUGUAUGAUAGUGUGUAAAUAUUUUAUGUAACUUUUGUUCAAUAUAUAGAUAUUAAACGGGUUAUUGGGUAACCCGAUUGUUUUUCCGUGUCGGGUUUGGGUCUCAAUAUUUUGACACAAUUAUUAAAUGGGUCGGAUUUGGGUCGACCUAAAUUUGACACGACACGACACGAACACGACCCGAUGACCCGUUUUGCCAGCUCUAGUCAAAGUGACCGUCACCUACGCAUCGCGUUUGUUGGGCGGGGUGGGUAAGGUGGGGCGAGGAGUUUGUUUGAUCGUCUGAUUACUUUGAUUUUGAUGAAACGUAUGGACGACGGCGAUGGCUUGCCAGCAAGUGGGUUUAUCAUGAUUUUGAUUGUAUUCGGGGAGAUGCUUAUGUAUAUCCUCAAAACUUCUUGGAAAUGAAAACCGCUGGGGUGGCAAAUCUUGACCAAUAAAGUGUGCGUGAUGUUGCGUUUAUAAAUUUCAAUAAUACUAUUGGCCGAUUGAGAUUAUUUUUAAAAAGUUUAAAAAUAAUUUUUAAAGGUUAAGUGUUAAUUUUAAUAUUGAAUAAAUUUUUAAAAAUUAUUUUUGAUAAAAUCAUUUUAUCCUCCAAUAAAUUUUAAAAAAUAGCGAUACAGUAAUUUUUUAAAAUCUAAUUUUAAUAAUCAAAACUAUUUUUUUAUAUAAUUUUAUAGAUAUCCGCAUAUAUAUAUUAUAAAAAUUCGAAAUCAUUAUUAUUAAUUAGGAAAUAAAAUCAUUAACUUUUAAGAAAUUAUUAUUAUUACCAAUUAUACUGACAUAACAAAAUAAAAAAUUAAUUAAUAUUAUAAAUAUUUAUUUCAGUUAUCAACUAUUAUAUAUACACAAUAAAAAAUAUUUUAUAUACAUAUUUAUAAAUGUAUAAAUAAUUUUUAUUCAAUAUUAUAUCGAAUUAAUCAUUUACAUUCUUGCAACAAGUUAACAAUAAAAUUUACCAAACACAUACGAUUGUUUUUAAAACUCAUAUUAUUUUUUUAAAAAAAAUUACUAAACCUUUAACUGAUUCUCUUACAACUGAUUAUUUCUACAGUACAAUUAACAACAAUUAUUUUAAAAACUAUAACAUUUUCAAACUAGCCCCAUGACAAUAUUGUUAUUGUUGUUUUUCUUACUCUUAUCAAUAAAACUACGUUGCACAUAAGUGCAUAAAAAUUCACACAAAAUAAACUAUUUAACUUUAGGGUAUUAAUUGAAAAAAAAAUCAGAUUAAGGUGAAUAAAUAUCAGAAAAUAACAAAUAGAUAAACUCUCACACUCUUUAAAAAAAUUAAUUUUAUAAUUUUAUUUAAAACCAACAGAUAUUACCAAACUUAACGGAUCAAUGUUCCAAUGUUUUCUUUUUAAUUUCAAAACCAACAGAUAUUCUUUGUUCAUUAUAUGACCUCCAAACAAAUAAUUUCAUUAAUAAAAUAAUAAUGAAAAGUAUCGUGGUGAGUACAGAGUAAUUCGGUGGCUAAUAAAAGUCUCUAUUUUUCGUCUCUGUUUUUCAUUUUAACUCUUGGAUUGGUGCCACUUCGGCCUUGGUCGGAGUGGUGGGCUGCUGCCCUCACAAGUAUUGUGAGGACAGUGGUUCAAACCCCCACAAAAAUAUUUGUGGGGGCUAACGUACUUAUUUAUUUAAUAUUUCAAAAAUUUCUUCUCCCUCGUACAAUACGAGUGGAGUAUGGACAUCCCUCCUCUGUAAGGGAUUAUUUGUCUGGGCAUGUACUUCACAGAAUUCAAUGUAAUAAUAUAAGUCUCAAUCAUAUAUUUUUGAUUGUAAAUAUCAGUGUAAUAUAUCUGCUAUAAUAGCAGUUGUAAAUAUCUGUGUAAUGCAAUAAUAUGAUAAUUAAUCAUUAUUAAAAAAAAAACUCUUGGGGUUGGUAGGCUCGUGAAUGGUCCACGUAACCUCUGGACGUAACACUCAAACAAAGACAGCACAAGGCACAUGAAAAAUGCCUAAAAACCGUAAAACCGUGACGUGUUCAACAUAUUAAUAAAUUUAUACUGUGUUUUCUUUUUUUUUUUUAAUACUGUGUUGAUAAAGCACUUACGAUGGAACGACCAAUUCUAUUACUUGCAAAACUAAUUAAUAUUUCACUCUAUCAUCUAACUAAUGGAAGGCCAUCUUAAUUGAGGUUGCAAUAGUUAGAAAGUAGCGGGAAGGGUGGCCAAUGCUCCAUAUUAAUUUGCAUCAAUCCCUUUCUGGUGAAGAAGUACGGGUGAAGUAGAGGUCAAAGUUAGAAGAUGAAGGGUGUGUUUGGGAAUUGAGAGUGAGGUGCUGUAGUUUUUUAGCUGCAGUUGCUGUGAAAUAAAAGUUAUAACUGUGGAAUAGAAGUUGAGAAAAAAAAUUUGUUAAGCUGCCAAAGCCCAGUUACAAAUGUUACCAAACACCUUAGUAGCUAGGCUUUGGCAGCCCAUCUACCCCAUCACACUCCCAAACGGAUUAGAAGGGGACCGGGAUUGCUUUGUCAUAUUUGAAAAUGAUUUUGAAAAAAUAAAAAUUAAGUUCAGAAUUUGGUAAAUUCCUUUAAAAUUUCUUUUAGCAAAAUCACUCUCUCCUUUAGAUUUUGAAAAGUAUGGAAUGAGUAGUUUUUUAAAAUUUAAUUUUGAAAUUCGGAUUCAUAUUUAAUAUAAUACCAUAUAUCAUAACAUGUAUUAUAAAAAUCUAAAAUUAUCCUUAUUCAAUCAAUUAAGAAGUAAAAUCUUACAUUUAAAGAUAUUAUCAUUAUCAAUUAUAUUUAGAUAAUAAAAAAUACAAUUAAUAAAAUAAAAAUAUUUAUUUUAGUUAUCAAUUAUUAUAUAUAUACAUAAAAUGUAAUUAUAUAAACAUAUUUAUAAAUGUAUGUGUAAAUUAAAUUUGUAGAUUUAUGUUUAUAUAGAUCAUUUGCAUUCUUAUCACAUUUUAAAAGUGAGAUUUAUUAAAUAUAUAUAUGAUUAUUUUUAAAAUUUACAGCACUUUUUAAAACAAAAGUAUCAAAAGUUUAAUUGAUUCCUUAUUUUUACUGUACAACUAACAGUAAGAUGUGUUUGGUUCAAGUAUAAAAUGAUGGGAUUGGACAAUUUUAAGAUUAAAUAAUCCUAAUGCAAUGUUUGGUACCAAAAAUAAUUGUGGGAUAAAAAUAGUGGACCCCACCAUUUAAUCCAACACAAUGUCAAAAUUUUAUCACAAAGGGGGGUGUGGGAUAAGCUAAAACUUAAACGUAGGAUAACAAAAAAAAAGCCCAAAAUUUUAUACAACACAGUGAUUUUUUUUUUUUUUUGAGUAUGUCAUCAUCCAAUGAUAGUAUAUAUGCCAGAACACUCUUUUGACGUUAAUGAUAUGUAAUAUUUUCAUAUAUACAGCUAGUGACAUUGUUAUGUAAUUUCUUUUUCAUUUAUAGAUUUAUAUUAUUAUUAUAUUUGUUGAUGAUAUUCUUGUUAUGUUUAUAAUUAUAUUAUUUAGUAAUUUAUAAGUUUAAAAACUAUAACAUGUUAAAUAUAAGAAAAACUUUAAGCGAAGAUUUUGUAUUUUUUAACAAAUUUACCAAUAAUUUUUUAUUUAAGUUAGAUUAUAUUCCAUGUCAUUUUAAAAUAAAUCUAAGAUAAUUUUGAUAAAUUAAUAAAUAAGACAUAUUAUUAGUUACUAACCAAUUUCAUGGCAUACCAAACAUGAGAUAUGAUUAUUUACAGUCUAAUCCAACAUUGCACCAAACGUAAUAGAGUAUUAUAUAUAAUCCAAUGUUAUCAAAUCCAAUCAUAUCUUAUCCAAUCCGAUCCGAUCCAGUCUAAUCCAAUUUGACAUACCAAACAAGCCCUAAUUAUGUUAAAAACUACAUCAUUACCAAACUGACCCUUAAUACAAUCUCAUACAUACAUACAUAUAUAUAUAUAUAUUAAAAAUUAAAAAUUAUCUUUAUUUAGUUAGGAAAUAAAACCAUUAUAUUUAAAUAGAUUAAUAUUAUUACUAAUUAUAUUCAGAUAACAAAAUUAAUAAAAUAAAAAUAUUUGUUUGAUUUAUCAAUUAUUAUACACACAUAUUUAUAAAUGCAUGCGUAAAUAAAAUUUUAUAGAUUUAUGUCUAUUUAAAUCAUUUGCAUUCUUAUAACAUUUUAAAAAAAGAAAAGAAAAGUGAUUUACCAAAUACAUGUAAUUGUUCUUCAAACUUACAACACUUUUAAAAUAGAAUUUAAUAAAUGUUUAAUUAAUUUUUUCACAGCUGAUUAUUUUUAUGGUAUAACUAACAAUAAUCUAUAAACUUAUGGUAAAUAUUUGUGUGAAUGUUGGUCCAUGUAAAGAAGUAAAAACAACGCAUAUAUCAAGCAAUAAGAUAUCAAAACUCUUAGUAAAAUACAUAUACUAAUGAAAGAAUGACAGCAAUGCAAUAAAUAAGAUUAUAAUAUAAAUUAUUAAAAUUGUAUAUUAAAAAUUGAUGUAUGAAAUUCUUUUUAUUUUAGUGAUAGAUAAUGUGAUAUAUUUGAAUAAUUUGAUUAAAUGAAAAGAAAAAUAACAAGUAUGGUUGUGGAGGAAAUAAACCAUUGAACUGUGGAAUGUUAUUAAUUAUUGCUAUUUCAUUAUGUAACGUCCUGAUAAUAAGUACAGUGUUAUAGUAUAUUGAUGGGUGGUGAUAUUGUCACCCCUUAAAUUGUGUAAAGUCAACCUCAUUUACAAAUUUUUUGAUAUAAAUUAAAAAGUACAUUAGUUUUAAUAAAUUAUAUAUUUAUUGAAUAAACUAGAACCGUUAGGGAGCUGUAAUGUUAGCACUGUUUUAACUUAUUAUAAAAAAAAAAGUUAUGAUUUGAUCAUAACUCUAAUUUAGAAAAGAAAAAAGAGUUGAAUUGCUAACAUACUUAAAAAUAAAAUAAAAACAUUAUUAUUAGAUGAAAAAUUGUAAAACUUAAGGGGGCAUUUGCAAGUCCGCCACUACUCAUUAGAGCAUUAUUCAGUACUCGUUAAUAUAUCUCGAACUUUUAGGUUUUUUUAAUAUAUUUUUAAUACAUUUUCUAGAACAUUUAGAUAAAAAGAGUCAGUACUCCAAUUGAGUUGUGAAUAAACAUUUAGAUAAAAAGAGUCAAUACUCCAAUUGAGUUGUGAAUAAACUCAUGUUAAAAAAAAAAAAACUCAUUUUCACACUUGAAACGAUUAGUAAAUGGGUGAUACGAAUUUAACUUGGUCAAUAAUAUAUACCAUCUUAAGUUAACUUCAACUCAUUGAUCUUCUAUAGGGUUGAUCAGCCUGCCACAAGGCCCACAAAUUAUCACCUGUAAUGCUUUUGCAACAGUCGUUAUAAAUGCUGACAAAAUGAAACUUCUAUAUAUUUUGGUUUUUUUUAUUUCUAUGAAAUAUAAGGCCCUUAUGGCAAAUUUUCAUCCAGCGUGAAAUUUGCUAGUUUGGCCUUGGUACUGUGGCACAUGCGUCAUGCAUGCGUGGCUGAGAUGCUUCUAAAACUAAUAAAUUAUGAAGAAUUCCAAAUUCGUACCAAAAAUAAGAGAAUAGGAGCUUGUCAUAGGUGUCCGCGGAUCGGAUUUUAUGGGUUAAACAUUAAUUUAUAUCUGAUUCGUGAUUUUGUAGAUUAUAAAUUUUUAAUUUAAUUCAAUUUAUGGAUUAGUGAAACUCAAUACAAAUUAAAUCCAUAUAUAUGCAAAUUAGAUGCGGAUUUAACCCAAUGCAUAUUCAAUCCACCAUUUGGCGGAUUGAUUUGCAAAUUAAAAGUUUUUAAUUUUGUCCAAUCUAAAAAGUAAUUAAAUUAAAAAAAUCUAAUAUAUAAAUAAUUUAUUAAGUAAAAAAAUCUAAUGUGAAAAUAAUUUUACUACCAAUUAAAUUCAAAAUUAAACAAAAUUUAAAUAAAUUUAGAAUAAUACAUUCAAAAUUUUAAAAUAUAACACACCGAAAAAAAAAAUUCAUUUGUUUAGAUCAAUACAUGAAAAUUAACUAAAAUUAUGAAUUUAAAUGUUGAAACUUGAAAGCUUGGAUGCAACAGGAAGAAAUUAAGAAACUUGAAGAGCUUGAAAAGAAAGUGAGAAAUUAAGUUUAAUUAACUCAAGUGGUGAAGUGAAAUAGUGAUUGGCUUGUGCCUGCGGUGGGAUAGAGAUUUGGUGUUAUAUGUCAAAAUAUUUUGUUUGGCUUAGGGUUUUUGUUUUGCUUUAGAAAUUUUAAUGUUUAGGAAACUAUAUUUGCUUAUUUAAUUAUUUCUUAUUUUAUAUUUUAUCGAAUAAGAUAUAAUAUUUUGUUAAUUUAGCUAUAAUUUUAUGUUGAAUAUAUUUAUUUAAUACGAUUUUAUUAAAUAAAUGUGCAUAUUUAACGAAUGUCUCUGAAAUUUUAACCUGCCCACUAAUGAUGGCCAGUACGGCACGGCCCACCAAACGUCGGCCCACGCGGGCUCGUGGGCCAUGCCGACUUUUUUUGUAAGGGUCCGACACGGCCCACGGCACGGGUCCGUGCCCAAAAAAAGCCCACCAACUUUUUUUUUUUUGGUCCACAUGUUCAGCGUGCCUAAAAAAGCCCACGUGCCUGACAUAUUUUUUUAAGCCCACCAGCCUAAUAGUAACAACAACAACAACAAUAAUAAUAAUAAUAAUUUCAUAGAAAUAAUUAAUGAAAAAUAAAAUUACAAUUCUAGAAUAACAAUUACAUCUAAUUUUAUUUGAACAACUAAUAUUAUAAUUGCACAUAAACUCCAUUGAAUGAAAAUGUAAUUUUUAAUUUAUCAUAAAAAUAUUUUGUUCAUAAUUUUAUUUUUUUGUGCAUAAAUAUGAAAAAUAUUUCAUUCACAAAUGAAACAUAUCUCCAUUAACUAUUAACUAAGUUAUGAUUUCAUAAAUGAAAUAUUAAUGUCGUAAAAUUUUUUAUUUAUCAUUUAUAAAAUUAUGAUAUUUAUUUAUCCAUUUAAUAAAUUAUAAACAUAAAAAAAAUUAGAAUACUUAUUUAAACUAGGACUUAAAUUAAUUUUAAAAAGCCUAUGCUAAAAAAAUAUAUUAAAAAUUUUAAUUUCAAGAUUUUUAUAAAAUCAUGGUAUUUUAUAUUUAUUUUUCAUUAAAAAUUUUUAUUUUGAUAUAUUUUGGCCCACGUGCUAUUGGUAGCCCACGGGCCGUGUGCUUAGCUCACCAAUGAAGCGUGCUUAUUACAUGAUUUUUCGCGUGCCGUGUUUUGCCCCAUCUCUAAUCGUACCGUACUUUUAAGGUCUGUGUGCCUAAAAUUUUAGGCCCGACACGGCCCAUGUGUGUGCCGUGCCGUGCCUCGUGCCUUACCAAAACGUGCUCGUAUCGUGUCGUACCGUACCUCGUGCCGCCUGGCCCAUUGGCCAUCCCUACUGCCUGCCAACCACAUUUUUCCAAGAUCAAUUUGUAGGAAAAAAAUUUGAAAAUCAAUAAUUUAUUUAAUUAAUUGUUAAUGUAGGCAUUUGAAUCCCCACAAAAUCUGGGUGUCAGUUCUAGACUUCUGGUGAUAUAUUUUUCUAAUAAAGGAAUAAAAUAUUUUUGUCAUUUUUUUAAUAUUUUAAUUUACCAGGCAUAUCAACUAAUUAAUUUUUCUACUUAGAGUAUUAAUUCAUUACGUGCGCAAUCUGUAGCCCAGCGCUCCAAUCCCAUGCAUGUUACACACAACUCAAUCUUUAUUUAUUUAUUUUGACCAACAACUCAAUGUUUUUUAAUAUGAAAAGGUAUUGGUUAGCUUUGUCUUUAGUUUUUACAACUUAUAAUAAGUUUGUACUAAAACUCCGUUUGGUACAAAUUUUCAAGUAAAAUUUAUUUAAAUAGAAUUUUUAUAAAAAAAAAAUUUAAUUGUUUGGUUGUCAAUAAGAGUUUUUAUUAAAAAAAUAUGAAAUUACUUUAUUAGUCAAGUUUUUUAAAGUUAUGCUAUGAAAAGAAUAAAAUAAGAUUGUCAAAUAAAUAGAAAAUAUUUUAACAUUUAAAAAAACUUUUUAACCUUUAUUUUCAAAAAUUUAAAAUUUAAGCUUUUACUAGUAAAGGCAAAAUAAUUUAUUUAAACUUCAAAAGCUUUAUUAGAAAAAUAAUCAAACAACAACAAAAAUUAUUAUAAAAACUUAUCGAAUUAAAUAAGUACUUAUAGUUAUUAAAUAAGUUAUAUCAAACAGAUACUAAUGCCGAAAGCCCCUUCUAAUUGUGGGUGUAAAAGUUUGAAUUAUGCAUACGGUUAAGGAGUUAAGGUGUGUUUGGCAACUGCAUUAAGUGGAAAUUUUUAUUUUGUUUGGAAUAAAAAUACAGCAAGCUCGUGUUCGGCUCAAAAUAAUGGAACGUUUAUGUUGUGUUUACUUGCUGGAGUGGGAGUGAGGAGUGUGGAUUCCUCCCACUCCAGCGUUUACUUACUUAAAAUAGGGAGGGAUUGGGAGUCCCACUCCGUGGGCCCCACCCAUUUUUGGAGUGGGGAGUGGGAGUGGGACUCCCAUUGGGGGAGGUGGGAGUGGGAAUCCACUCCCACCUCUCCCAUUUCUACCCUUUUUUUUAUUUUAUGUUUUAUAAUUAAUAAAAUAAAAUAAAUAAUAUUAUAUUUAUUUAAAUAAUAAUAUUAUAUUUAACUAAAUAAUAAUUUACAUUGAUUCUAAGUUAAAAUUAUUUUAAAAUAAUAUUAUUAUAUUAAUAGAGAAUUAAUAAAUAUAAUAUUAUUAUAUUUAUUUUAAAAAUAAUAGUACUAUAUUUAUUUAAUAAUAAUAAUAAAUACUUUAUUCUAAGAAAAUAUUAAUUUUGUACUAAAUAAUAUUAUAUUAUUAUUUUAUAUAAUAAUAAAUUUAAUAUAAUUAUAUUAAAUAAAAUAACAUUUCAUUUUAUAUUAAAAUUACAAUUAAUAAUUUAUUGUUCAUAAUUAAGAAUAUUAAUAAUUAUAAUAAAUUUACAAAUAUAAUAAAAUAAAUAUUAUUCAUUAAAUAUAUUUUUUAUUAGUUUUGUAAUUAAAAAUUAUAAUUCUUUAAAUAAGGAUAAAAUUGUAAUUUGAAACUAUUUACUCCCAAUCCAAGACAAAGUAAACACAUAAAUUGGAUUCUGAUCUCCAUUUCAUGCUUCCAUUCCAGUGUAAGUAAACAACCUACUCCCACUCCCACUCCACACUCCCAAUCCUAGGAUUCUCACUCCCCAAAAUUCCCAAUCCAAUCCAAAAAGUAAACGCUACCUUAAUUUGCAACCGUCGGCGGACGAAGCACACCGUUCACGGCCCUUCGUAUAAAAUUGAAUAUGUAAACGUAAAUAGGUCCGGAUUCAGAUUCGUUGCUGUAGAGAGUGGCACGCACGAUCGGGCUGCUGUCGGUGGUAGGUUGGCAUUGGAAUUCUCAUCACGCGCUUCCCCAGGCGCCUACUUAUGGCAAAUUGACACGUGACGCGUGUGGAUUGAAUGGACAGAGUCCCGGGCAGUGUGUCCAAAGCUGCCAACCGUGCUCUGAUUUUUUGUCAUCCAUAAUGGCUAACGACUAACGAGGGAGAUUUCCGGGCAGAAAGAAAUUGCUGUCGUUUCUGAAGGGGAAAAAAAAGUUAUUUAAUUUGUUUUUUUUUUUUGUACAAUAUUUAAUUUGUUGUUGAAGACAAAAUGAAGAUCUAAAUAAAUAAUGGCUAAUUUUGAGUGUAAACUGUAAAGCAACGGUAAAUGCAUUAUUAAAUUAGAUUUAGGGCUUGAUUGAGAUUAUUUUUAGAUUUAAAAUUAAUUUUGAAAAGUUAAAAUUAAUUUUGAUGUUUAUUAAUUUUUAUUAAAAAUUAUUUUUGUCAAAAUCUCUCAUCCUCCAGCAUAUUAUAAAAAAUAAGGAAGAAAUAAUUUUCAAAAUUUAAUUUUAAGAAUCAGUUUUAUACUUAAUAUAAUCCACAUAUAUCCUCGUAAAUAUUAUAAAAAAUUAAAAUUAUUCUUAUUUAUUUAGGAUAUAAAAUUAUUAAAUUCAAACAUAUUAUUAUUAUUAUUAUUAUUAUUAUACACACACGCACACACAUACUUAUAAAUUUAUAAAUAAACUUUAUUUAAUAUUAUGUUCACUUAAAUCAUUUAUAUUCUUAUAGCAGUUUAACAUUAUGAUUUACCAAACACAGAUAAUUAUUUUUAAAACCCAUAAUAUUUUUAAAAAUAAAUUUUAAUAAAUAUUUAACUUAUUAUUCUGACAACUGAUUUUUUUUGUAAGGUAUAACCAUUAAUAAUAAAUAUUUUAAAAGUUACAGUAUCCCCAAAUUGGCCCUUACUAAUACUCUGCGUUGCCAACUAAAUACUAAUUGUAACAUUUAACAUCUGGAAUAUUUUUCUCUAACGAAACAACACAAUUAAUUUCCCUCUAAAAAGAAAAAGAAAAAGAAAAAAUAAACUACCAACCCCACCCCUUUAGACAGCAGAGUUUUAGCUGAGGCGGCUUGCUUGCAUAAGCAUUAAGGCUGCUCUUCACCAACCAUUGAACAUUCUUUCCAUUUGAUUGUUACACUUUACUUCGCCAUCUCAUGUCCAUGUACAUUGUUUUGAAAUGAAGACUUUGCGUACAACUAAUCUUUUUCAAUUCAUAAUAAAAACUCUUUUAAUUAGUUAAUAGCUAUAGCUUCCAAUUGAGACUAUAUAUAAAAAUCCAUAUUGACUGACCAAACCAAUAAUUUUUAAUUGGCUUGAGCAUUGUCUUACUUACUUCAAAAUCGUCACUCUCUUUGUCAAGAACAUGAGAGAGUUCACCUCCAUCUCAACCCUUAACCCUAUAUCUCAGUCAAAACCAAAGCGCCAUGAGAUAAGAUUUUAUAUCCAAAAUUUACAAACCCUCUUUUAACCUGUAGCGUGCAAGAGAUUAUUCAUGGAAAAUUCAGAAAAAAAAAAUGUUGCAAUAUUUACGAAACUCACGUCACGUGAGGUAAGAUAAAUUAUUCCUUUCUGCUUUAAUUCAUGUACAUAAUCAUGAGAAUAACUUUAAUUAUAGUUUAUUUCUCCGUUUUAAGAUUUUUCCUUUUUUUUUUUAAUUAAUUAAUUAUAGUUCAUUCAUUAAUCCCAUAAGAAAUUAACACCUUUGCCGGUAAAGUCACACAUACAACAAUAUUUUAGAACAAAAGGGAAGAUCAUGCACGAUCAUGAUGUUUUAUUAUAUCUCUAGCAAUAUAAUUAUCUUAUAAGUAAUUAAAAACAAAACAGGUAAUUAAGCCAAAGUGGAUGGCAUGCAUCAAUCAUCAUGCAGAACACCUCCCCUUGUUUUAAAUAUAAAUAAAAGAAAUUUGUGCCCAGAAGACUUAAUUAAUACUUCUCGUUUCUGAAGUGCUCACAUGAUAUAUAGUCGGACGCAUUAUAUUUAAUUUCAUGAAUUAAUCGUACGGUUGUAUUUUGAGAGUGUGUGUGAGUGACUGAGUAAGAUAUGGCUUAAUUUAACCAAAUCUACGUAUAAAAUUUUAAAAUGAAUUUUUGAGUUUUAACUUAGGAAUUGUCUAUGAAUAAAAGUGUUAAUCAAAUAUUUUGUGUAAAAACAGUCAGCUGUAACAUUUUCGGUUGCUUUAACAAAACUGUAUAUUUCUGUAAUUUCCUAUAUGGGCCAAAAGGAACAUUUUUUUCAGAAAUUAAAAACUUAUGGUGAAAAAGAUAAGAAAACCAACAGGUUCAAAGGUGCGAGUAAACUGGGCUCUGGUGCGCCCAACUCCCUCUUUUGAUUUUGAGACUCUAUUGACCAUUGAGUUUGAGGCCCCAACGGCCCAGUUUAAAACUGUUAUGAAAAGAAAAAAAAUAUAACUAUAAAAUUAAAAUUAAUAAUGUUUGAUAAAUAUAAUUUUUAAAUAAUAAUUUGACAAAAAUAAUAUAGGGUCUUGUGUAUAUUUUUAUUUGGCAUUUCAAUUAAUCUGCUUUUAUAUAUAUAUAUAUAUAUAUAUAAGUUAAUCUAUAUUUCUUGCAAGAAGAUAGUAUUUCUUUAAUUAAAGUCAAAACUAAUAUAUAAAUUAUCAACUAACCAUCAAACAUUUAUCUCAUUUUAUCUCCACCACGAUCAUCACCAUUCAUCCUGUCACGAUCUUUAUGUAACUACAAUUAUUUUUUCUUUAAUAAUGUCAACCCACCAACCCCAUAACAAUAUCUCCAAACAUCUCAUCUCAAAAUUCCUAAUAACAUAAGUGUUUAUGUAUGAAAGAAAAUGUGAAAUAUAUAAUCAAAAAGUAGUUUAAUAAUAUAAUGUUUAAAAAUUAUGGUAAAAAUAAGUGAGAGUUUGGCAUGGCAAGUUAAUAAAAAGAUAAAAGCUCGGACACUUGAUGCAUCAAAGUAGCAAUGUCUGUUCAUCAUCAUCAUGCGGGUUUAGGUGCUUCUCAUGAUAGCAUUAGCUGGUAAGACCGUCAUGCAUCGUACUUUCAUUGUUAUACAUUUUGAAGGUAAGAAUGGUUAUGUUACGUCCCUCCGAUUAGGUGUAUUUUUCUUCUUCUUCUUCUUCUUUUUCUUCUUCUUGUACGUAAUAAUUUCUCUUUCUUCCAUGAAGAUUUCUUUCUCUCUUUUUUUUUUUUUUUUUUUAAUUAUAAAUAAAAUGAUAAGAACUAAUUUCCUUACUAAUUGGUAGGGUCGUUUAAUGGUUCAGAUCCAUUAGAUUUUGUCAAAUUCAAGUCCAAUCCAUCAUAUAUUCCAUUUUAUAUUCCGGAUCCGAUCACUAAUAGAAAUCCAUUAUAAUUUAAAACAAUAAAACGUCGAAUCCAAUUUAAUUCGAUAUGAUCAAUCCAAUUAAAAUAAAAAUUUACAAAUAAAAAUCAUUAGUUGCUCUCUCCAGUUAUAAUUCUUAACAAUUAAAAAAAUACAAAAUAUCAACUCCUUUAAUAUUUCAUGAUUCAUGUACUUUAUUAUCGUAUGGUUGGAAAAAAAAGUUGAAAUUUGAAUAUUAAAAGCAAAUGUUGGUUGCGACCUGCUGUUUGUAUUCUAUAUUGUUAUAGUAUAUUUAUAGUUAUUUUUUUAGCAAGUUAAAUAUAAAAGUGACAUAUAGUUUUUUUUUUAAAAAAAAAAUAAAUAAAGAAAAUAAAAAAUUAAUUGAUUGGAUUGGUUUAUAUUGGAUUUGAACAUAUAGAUCCAUAGACCAAUCUAAUAACAUUAUAUUUUUUAUUUUGCAAUCUUAUCCAAUCCAAUCAAAAUGUCAAUAUGACAAAAGUUGGAUUGGUUUUGAUCAGAUCUAUUGGUUUGAUUGGAUUGAAUUGAAUUAGAUCUUGAACAUCCUACCAAUUAGACUUUCCGUGAAUUUUUUUUUUCCAAAUUUAAUAAAGAGACUUCCCAUGAAUGUUAAAUGCAGUUUUAUUGAUGAAUUCUGCAAUUUUAAGAAAUGUUUGAUACACGAAUAAUGCAUCUCAUCAACCAAGUAACUGCUUCCCCUGCAGCAGCCGCGGCUUCAACUGGAAUACUGCAGCCACACCGGUCUUGAGACUCAACAUUCGGCCGAAACUCAAGCAAAAGUUGAACAAUAUCAGGCCUGCUUUGAGCUAUAGCAAUAUGAAGCAAUGUUUGUCCCUGCGCACCAGCAGAAUCAGCUGGGUGGGUUCCAAGCAGGGUCACUCUGUUCAAGAACCUCUCUUAUCUCAUCCAUUUCACCAUCCUUAACUAGCUGAACCACAACAUGGGACCCAACAAACAUGAUCUUGAUUCCUAUUGAUGAACGCUGGCUUCUUCCUUCUUGUGAACCAGUCACCAGGAACCGAAUCAAGCAUCAAUGUUGCAUCUUUAAUUGCAGCUGCAGGAACGACAACGCUAUGCAAGAGGAAGGAAUCAUCACAGUGAGGGAAAGUAUGAAGGAGAACUGAUCCUGGAGGAAGAUGAUACGCAAUCUCUAUGCUUACUGUUCCGAGUGGUUGCAUUGACCUGAAUAGUUCGAUCUAUUUCUCGUGUAUCUACUUGCGCUGCACUUUCACUCGAAGAACCUACAAAAUUAUUCAUAACCCGGCAUAAAAAAGACGUAAAGUUUUCAGCGCGAGCAUGGUAACUUCAAAACCCGUUUCAUACCUAUCAUAUUUCAUUCGUCCCGCACCCUCAUUUAAAAGACUAGAGCUUAUAAAAACUAGAAGUACCUUACCCAGAACAUAAAAGCAGACAAAACCCAGUCGAGUAUAAAUAUAACGUUGAAUAACACCUACCAUUUACCAUUUCAUUCAAGAACACCACACAAUUAAUGAAACCAACAUCGGUAUGUUUUCAGCCGUUGUACUUUCAACUUAAUUUUGAAAGCGCGGCAGCUAAAGCCUAAACUGUUGUUUGAUAAAAGUCCACCCACUGACUGCUACCUGGCGGCUACCGAUUCCAUUCAAUAGCAGUCAUAAAAUAAAAAGUACAAAACAAACCUAUGUACAAAAAAGGCAAUGAAGCAGCCAUGGAUUCAGUUAUUUGCAUGUUUGGGAUUGUGGUUGAUUCCAAAUUGAGAAUAUACUGCGAAAUUAUGUUUGAUAAGCAUUUAUCUGAUGAUUGCUACUUUAUUGAGUCUUAAAAGAAAAACUCAAUCAACUAAUGCUCGAUUUUUUUUUUUAAAUGACAAAUCAAAAAGUAUUUUGGAGUAGAUUCUCAAAAUAGUGAUUAUUUGAUAAUCCACCAUAAUCCCACUUAGUUAUCAGAAAUAAAUUAAAAUCCGACGAAUGUUACUUAAGCCAAACAGCAUUAUUUUAUUUUGACCACAAGGACCACAACCCUCAAGCUGUCAAGCAACCGUUACCGUUAACGACCAAUCUUUCACCUCUCCGAAUCUUUGCAAGUCACUAUCAAGCAACCGUUACUAAUAUUUAAUCAAUUAUUAGGAUUAUUGGAUUUCUCAAAUACCUUAUGUACUUUGGUUCACUUUCUACUAAAAUAAAUAUUACAGGAGCUUUCAAAGUCUAGGCUAAGGUUGUUGUAAACAUAGAGAGAUUCAGAGAUAUAACAGCUUGUAAUUACAUACCACAAAGCAUAACUUUGUUCGAAUGAUAAUGAUCAUAAUCCAGAUUAUAGACGUAGAGAGAGGAGAAGUCGUACUUGAGGGGCAAAACGCGGCGUUUUGGCUCGUGGAUGAGGUGCUGCUCCUGAUCGUCGUAGAUUGAAGGGAGGAGAGGUCGGUCGAGGAAGUUUAGGAGACGGUGGAGGCUGAAUUGGUGAAUUUCGAUGAAGACUGACGAAUCCAAUGGGGCUUGAGGGUUUGAUUUGCAAAGAUGAAAGAUAAGAGCAUUGUUUUGGUUUCUGUGCAAAAAAAAAAAAAAAAAACAUGACAAGCGUUGUUUUGGUUUUGGUUCUAAAAAGAUGAAAAUUUGACUGCAAUGGAUCCAUACGCAGUCGGUGUCAAAUAAGAGGAGAAACAAAUAUGUUAAUCACUCGCUCAAUCACUCAUGCGAAGUGCCUUUUUUUUCGUUGCUUUGGCUUCUGAGAAAUAUAUGCAUCAGAUAUUACAACUCUCGAGGAUAAUGCAUUUUGUUCCGGUUUUGACUGAUAUUUAGUGGCAUUUGAUAAACUGAUACCUCAGAACCUGGUAGAGAGUUUAUUAAAUACAAAGAGAACAAAAAUAUAUGACUAUAUAAGCUUUUACACGGUUGAAGAUCCGGUCAAAUUGGCUUUAGUUAGCAAGAUCAUUUAAAACUUUCAAAAAACGAAUGGUAUCAAAAAGCUCUGAGAAAAAGCGGAAAAAAGGCACCACAAAGAUCUUGCAAUUAUUAUCACAGCUUGAUAAGACAUGGAAAUGUAUCUUACAAAUUGGCCUUCCAAGCAUCAAAGAAUUGGGUGGCGACAACUCCCAUUCCUAGCUGCUACCGUGGCCAGUCCCUUCUAACUAAAAUGGGACAGGACCAAAAGCAAGGUCUCUCCCACUCUCCUUAUGCAUAUAAAAUUCCCUACAUUCGAAUAAAACUACAGAAAAAGAUUUGCACAUCAUCUUCUUUCACCUUAUUUUGCAAUCUUCAAGAGUUUGGAAGAUUUCAAAGCACUUGUUAGAAUGUAGCACUCCAUUAAGCAUUCUCACCUUCCCCACACCCCAAUGGACCUCCUUAAUCCUAUCGGCAGACCUACAAAUUCUGCUGCAACUCCAAUCAAAUAAAGCAACACAAUUGUUGCCUGCCUAAGCCUUCCACUCACAGCCUGCAAUGACAAGUUCAUGAUACAAAAUCAGAAACAUUAAUAAACAAAAAGAUAUUACCAUUACUUGCAGAGGGGGAUUUGUUGCAAUUAGUAAAUGCCAUACUUAUCACUUUCAUUGCAGAUAUCAUCGUCAUCAUAAUACUAGCAAUCCAGCACUAAUAGUCAGAAUAAUAAUAAUAGUAGCAUGAAUAAAGAAUUUCUGCAGAGUAAGCUCUAAAGAUGCCGAAAGUGUCAUCUAUUAUGUUAAUAAUAAAAAAGUCUAUCAAGAAUUCAAGGAAAGAAAACUCAUUAACAAAGAACUAAACUUUUUAAUAAUGUUUAAUAAACUAAGUACUUAUGAUUUUCUAUUAUUAACAUAAAUGACACUACGUACAACUGAUUUUCGCUUUCUAAUGUUUCAAAUCAUACCGAGAAAUAUAACAAUUACCAAGUCAGUAAGUAGCACAAUUACUUAAUAAGACUUUGACUUGUCUAACCCAAAAUUGUACCCAAUUCUAUACUCUACCAUGAAAAGCUUAUGAAGCCGAACUUACUUUGACCAAACAGUACUAUUAGCUCAGUUAAAGGAAACCACAAUUGAACAAAGUUCAGCUGAAAUAACUGAACUAAAAAAACUUGAUAAAAUUAAAAGUAACUUAUAACAGUUUGGUAAAGAAGCAUACAAAACAUGAAGAUAAAUAAACAUAGGUCUAUUUUCUUGACACUACCAGGUCCUUUCCUUUUUUUUUUUUCAGAUAAGAUCUCGAUACUACCAAGUUUUGGAUUCAAAAUCACCAUAUUACAAUAAUAGUUGUGAUUCAUGGGAUACAAUAUGUAGCAGCUUAUAUGUCGGCAAUUAUACUCAAAGAUGGUUGUCAAACAUCAUCACAAAUCAAGAAGCUAAUAAAGACCGUGUCACACUACAUUAACAUAUAUCAGUUCUUUGAUACAAAGAUAUUGAAUGUUAUACAUUUCUAAUCCCAAGUCCUGAAAUACAAAACAAAAGUUCACUUCACACAGUCAUAAAGCUAGACUGCUAGAUAAAUGGACAAUAGGCAUUGGAUAUGGGUCAAUAAACUAUUAAGCUAAUUAAUGCACACGAAGGAAUCCGUUAGAGCUAGUAAAAUAGCCCUUACCAGAGAACUCGCAGAAGCAUUCAAUUUCCUCAAAGGAGAUAACUUACAACAUAAACAUUUUGAUAAGCAGCAAUACACAUAAAAUAGCUUCACUCACUAGCAACAGAGCAACUUCUUCAACACAUUAAUAAAUCCAUUUUCAUUUUUAAACAACAAAAUAAUGCCCAGUCUCUCCAGCACAAAUAGGGUAAGCAGUAAUAGAAAAACAUGAUACAUAGGAAUUACCGGCCUCAAGAAAUCUCCAAGCUUUCUGUCCUCUGCUUCAAUUGCUCAAUCAAGAAUGCCCCAGACGUUGCGCUAGCGUGGUGGUGGAGCGUCGCGAAGCGUGUGGCGGCGGUGUCGGCGAAGGCAGGUCAUGAAGAUAGUUGGUGUCGCGCAGCGAAGGCAGUGCAGCUGGUGUCAUGCGGCGAAGGCAAAUCGCGUGGUGGUGGAGUUGGGGUCGCGCGGCAGUGGCGGUGCGGUGCUGAGGCAUAAUAGUGGCGGUGGCGUUGUGCGACAGUGGCAGUGUGGAAGCAGAUUGCGUGGAGCUGGCGGUGUUGAGGCAGAUUGCGUGGAGCUGGCGGUGUUGAGGCAGAUCGCGUGGAGGCAGAUGCCGCGGUGGUGGAGUUGCUGUCGCGAUCAACGCCUGUGAAAGGGAAUGAAAGUGAAGGAGAUACCUACAAAAGAAAGAACGAGUGAAAUUUUUUUUUUUUGUUCAAGGGUUUCAAACCCACAUAAACCCGACUCUCACACGGGUUCAGUAAGUUUAUGCGGGUUUGACUGCAUUACAAAUUGGUAUGACCACAACAACAGUACAAUGAUUGGUAAUUACCAAACAUGCUAUUUAUGUUGGUAUUAAAUUAAUUUAAUACAAUGAGGACUGUUAAAUAUGGUGUGUUUAAUAUGUUGUAUUGUAUUAUAUUAUUUUAAUACAAAUAUAUUAUAUUAUCUUGUAUUAUAAUAAUAUUAUAUAAUAUUUUGUGCUACAUUGUGUUGUAUUAAUUUAUAAUUAUAAUAUAUUUAAUGCUGCACCACGCUGUACUAAUUUUUUUAGUAAUCAAUUUAAAUUAUAUAUUUUACGAAUAAUAUUUAUUAAAAUACUUAAAAAUGCUAAAUAUGAAAAUAUUGAAUUUUAAAAAUUUAAUAUUAUUUUUUUAAUAUAAAUAUUAAAAAAUAUCAUAAUUCUUCAUAGAAAUCGAAGUUCAUGGCAUUAAAUUUUUAACACCGCAUACAUAAUAAAAAAUUUGAUUCUCUGGUGCCAAUAUAAUAGAAUACAUAAAAACGAGACUGAGAAACUACGAAUAAAGCUCAUCAUCAAGGACUCCACAACAUUAUAAGAAGUACUAUGUAACAUUUGCCAAAUUACAACACCACAUCAAGACAUAUCACAAUGUAAAAUUUUUCCUAGAGAUUUGGUAAUUGAAAAACACAAUUCAAGUUGAAAACUGAUAGUCGACUUGAAAAGUUUUAACAUAUCCCAUAAAAGAAAUGUGCCAUGCCAAAAAUCCUAACCCUUGGCUCUUUGACGAUAAGAAAAUAUUGAAAAUUCCAAAGUACAGUGCAAUGGGAGAAAGAAUGCCUAUAAAGCUAGUAAAGAUAUUCUUAAACUACUACUUCAACCAAAUUUGAAGCCACCAGGUGGAAUGUUGGGAUGUUGGGCUGGUUGGUAGCAAAACCCAAACCCUGCUGCUGAUUUCCGAUACCACCAUCUUGGAUAAGCCGCUCUUCCUCCUCUUCCUAACUCCUAAGCCCAAUAUCUUUCCAAAACCUUCACAACCUACUCAUAAAUCUCAUUGUUGUCGUGGAUAUGCAAAUUCUCAAUCUUUUCUACUCCAUCACACUCAUCAAUCAUUUGGGUAUAAACAUUAACCCAAUUAUCCAUUCCUAUUUCCUUGUUAACCUCACCCACCUUGAAAAUGUUCUCAAGACCCUAUAGACAAACUGUGACGAUCCUUUGGUCCAGACAAACCAGAAGAUCACAGAGCGGUUUGAUGCAACCUUGGCUCACCAGGAAUCUGCAGGACCAUGGUACCAUAAGUGAUUCUAUCACAUGAACAUCAUUAGAUUAAAAAAGAAAAAAAAAAAAGAAACAUCUAUCGUAUGAACAUUGCUGAGUGAAUAAAAGAAACAUACUGAAUAUGUUCAUGAGAUCCUCCAUAUGUGGCAUUUAAGACAGGCCAUGCAGCCUCCUUGAUUUCAAGUUCUGCAUGUUGAAGAAGAGGUGCACAAAAGGAAGGAUAAGGAAGGAUGAUAUUGGCCUCCAUAACAGCCUGUUGAACAAAAAUUCGACAAAUUAUAAUUAUGAGUAUAUUUAAGUAGCAAUUUUGUCAGAAUUAACUAGACUUGACUAUUGAGGAAGUCACAUUCAAAAAUAGAAAAGACGAGCAAGCAAUUGUAUUCAUGCUAUCGGGACCAAAAUACUAUGAUGCAAGCAAGAAAGAAAAACAUACAUACAUAUAAAACACUAUCUUUGAGUUGGGUAUUUUCUUUCAAUUUUGAUAAUGGCAACUUUGGAUUCUUCUGCUGAAUUACCACCACCACCACACCAUUGUAGUUUCACAUACUAAGAAAAGGCAGGUUCAGCUCCCGUGCAUGCCCAUAAGAAUAUGAUGUAUUAAUUAGAAGUAAAAUUAAUCUGUUCAAUUAAGUUCUCUCAUAUAUUUGUGUGCGUGUGUGUGUUAAUUAGUUUGCUUUCAAAUCUUUUCUCCCUUCUUAAUGAUAUAUAUUUUAAGCAUGAUAUCAACCACGAUGAAUUUAUUAGCCGAUUUUUAAUUAUACAUUCAGCAUGAUAUCACAAACCAAGAGCUUAAGUUAGCCUAAUUCUUCAUAAAUCUAAUAAUUGCAAUCAAUAAUAAUGCUGAAAAUACGAGUUUGAAUUAAGCUAGCAACUGGUUCUUAAAUUAUGCAAUAUGUAAUCAUAGGUUUACUUAAAGAUUAAAGCAUUUCUGCAAUCCAUUGUACAAAAAGAUUAAAAAAAAAAAAAUAGUUGCCAAAUUUUAUCUAAAUAAAAAUUCCUUUAGUGGUUAGUACUUGUGAAUUAUAGAAAUUAUUAUUAGUACUUGCUCAGCGCUUUUUAGAUUUGUACAGGUAGAUUACGCCAUUUCAAACCCGACCAUCCAUUUAGACAUACAAAUCCCCCCAAUUCCCUGUCCUCCGCCUUUACGCGACUCUCCACUGUAUGUGCCAACUAAUUAAUUUUUUAAUUACUUGUUUAACUAAUUAAUUCAUUUUCUCAAAAGCAAGAUUAAUCUAUUUGUUCAAAUCUGAAGGAGAUUAAGUUAAUUGAUUUUAUUGUAUGUAAAAAUAUACAAAGAACUCAUGAAGCCAACUAGAAAAAAAAAAAAGACAAAAAAAAAAUCAAACCCAGAAAUAAAAAGACAUGCUUCGACAGAAAAUUAAAGAAAAUUAUACUGAUUGUGGUUCAAUUUGAUCAAACCCAAAUAAUAACCGGUUUGAUUGAUGACUCAGCGGCAAAGUGCAGGCGCAUCAGUGGUUGCACAGAUGAGUGUUCUCGUGCGGCACGACAAAGCAAUUGUCGGCGAUUGUGAUUGGUGAUGACAUCGAGCGAUGGGGGUAAUGGCAUCGGUCGUGACUUUGUGAUGGAGAAACGAAUGUUAGAUUCGUUCGAAGAUUCGUGUUUUGAUUGAAUAACAAAGAGAGAUUUUAUGAGUUUUAAUUAUCUAAUACGAUACCGCAUAAACCCGACUCGUACGUGGGUUUAUUUUAUGCGGGUUUCGGUGUACUAAAGCAGUAAAUUUAUGUGGUGCAAUUCAAACUGAUUUCACCGCCAAAAGAUCGUGUAAAUUUAAUAUUAUACAGGGUUUUAAUACUAUGUAAUCCAAUACACCAAACAUGCCCUUAAAAACGGAUAGCAAUCCGGGGCCUUUAAAAACGGAAAAUACAAGCAGAGAAAAAGAAAAGCCAAUUGUUCAAAAGUGCCUAAUAUGCCCACGGAAAAUUUUCGUCACGACCCACAGUUACUCGAAUAGGUAAUAAGACAGGAAUGCCUUUGUUUGUUCGAAUAUAGAAGCACAAUGGCUCAGAAAGGAUCCCUCCAAUCUCCUUGGCACUGUCAGCUGGGUGCGGAGUAGCUUGGUGGCAGCAACCAUGUUUGAGAGGGCUGGCUUCACCUCAGUGUACUUGCGAGUCUUGAGACCACAGUCAGGGUUAACCCACAAAAUGUUGGUUUCUAGCACAGUACGCAUCUCGUAGAUUCUGUCAACAAUUUCUUCGGUUGAUGGUAUUCUUGGAGAGUGGAUGUCAUAGAUGCCAGGGCCAAUUGCAGCAUCAUACUGGACUCCCUCACGGAAGACUGACAGGAGAUUCUCAUUAGAACGAGAGUUCUCAAUGGUGAUCACAUCAGCAUCCAUGUCGAUAAUUGAGUGGAUAAUAUCGUUGAAGUUGGAGUAGCACAUGUGGGUGUGGAUCUGUCAAUCAAUAAACAAUAGAAUGAGAUACAAAAUCAACAGCUAAAUUAAAGAGAUGAGAUUGGAGAUUAAAAGGGUAACUGACCUGGGUAGUGUCCUGGAUGCCACAGUUGGUGAUUCUGAAGGAGUGGACUGCCCAGUCCAAGUAGAAAGCAUGCUCAGAUUUCCUGAGAGGCAAUCCUUCCCUCAAGGCAGCCUCAUCAAUUUGAAUAACGUUAAUGCCUGCCUUCUCAAGAUCCUCGACUUCAUCCUUGAUGGCCAAAGCAAUCUGGUAGCAGGUUUCAUGUCUGCAAAAUUGGCAGCGAUUGAUGUUAAACAAUGUUUCCAUUCCAAAAGGUUAACCAAUAGUGAACCAGUUCUCAUUUAUAUACCUGGGCUGGUCAUUUCUGACAAAGGACCAGUUGAGAAUGGUGACAGGGCCAGUAAGCAUUCCCUUCAUUGGGCGAGCAGUCAUGCUCUGAGCCCAGGAGGACCAGAAGACGGUCAUAGCCUUGGGACGGCUCACAUCACCAUAGAUGAUGGGUGGCUUCACACAGCGAGAUCCAUAGGAUUGCACCCACCCAUUGGCAGUGAAGGCGAAACCUGAUAACUGCUCUCCAUAGUACUCAACCAUGUCGUUUCUCUACAAAAACAAAUGUCCGAAUUCAAUUUGAGAUCCAGCAUACUUCGUAUGCAAUUAGAAAUGUAGAAACAAAAAUGUAUAAAAUUUUAUGUAAUUCAAAACCAGGAGACAUUGCUUUGCUUCCAUUGGGCAUUGCGAGACUCACCUCAGGCUCUCCAUGGACAAGGACAUCAAUAUCAAGCUCUUCUUGGAGUUUGACAACCUUGUUGAUUUCCUCCUUGAUGGAAGCAACAUAUUCUUCCUCAGAAAUCCUAAAAAGGACAAAUAGUCACGGCACAGUUAAUACAGUAGUUGCAGUAAUUUCACACAUGGCAUUGAAUGAAGAAACACCUCAGAUUGACUCACUUCUUAGCCUUGUAUUCACGGCGGACUCUCCUAAGUUCAAUGGUUUGUGGGAAGGAUCCAAUUGUGGUGGUUGGGAGGAUUGGAAGAUUGAGCUUCUUCUGUUGAGCAUCUAAUCUAGCACUAACGUUUGUAGCACGUCUGUGGUCUGAUCCCCUCAAAGCAGCAGCCUAAUAGACCAAGAGGAAGGAAUCACUGUUAGCAAAAAAGGAAAUUCUAAGGGACAGCCACAUCAUAAAAAUGGAAAACAAAUCAAUCAUGCCACUUACAGCCUUUUGAACUGCCUCAUUGGUCACUCUCGGGGAGGACUUUCUUGAAGCCUGAGCUGCAGCAUUGGCAGAGAAGAAUCCCUGGAAACAAAUGAUAAGGAGAACCAAAGUUAGUCUCAUUCAUAGCAUUUUACAAAGAAGAUACAUAUGCAAUUAGUGGGCUGAUUGUGAGAGAAAAAGUCCCCAAAACUUUAAUCAAACACCAAAUGCCCAAGUUGCCAAAUGAUGUUUAAUUCGGAAAAAUAUAUUUAAAAACAUUCAAAUAUAAUUUCCCCUUCUAAAUUUUCAUUUUCAACAACAUAUUUUACAAGCCAAGCUCAACGUCAGGCCAAGAUUUUGUGCUCCUAUAAUUAUAUUUUACCAUAAAACUAGGUCCUUGAAAGGCUAAGAUUUUCUGACUCUUGUGACUAGUCAAAGCCUAAGAUUCUUUCAAUUCAUCCGUAGUAAAAGUAUACCUCAUCCUUUUGGCCAGCCAAAGCCUUGGCCAAUGCAUUGACUUCAACAACUUUCUGGGCAGCAAAUGCCAGCCAUGACUUGAUUUCGUCAUCGAGUUUGUUCUCAUUAACAAGAUCAACAGCAGUGUGAAGAAGUGAGCAGGAGGUGGAGACCACAAGCUUGUCUGCAAAGAAAAAUAAUAAAUUAUACAACAAAUCCCAUAAUAGAAUAAGAAAUAUUUAUCACAAAGAAAAAUGCAAGCAAAGGAUGUAUACCUUUGCCAACAACACCCUCAAGCCCCCGGAGAACACUAAGAGAAGCAGCAAGAUCAUUGGCCCAAAUGUUCCUUCCAUCAACCACUCCAGCAAAGAGGUACUUGCCAGCAGGGAAUCCACUCUUGAUCAAUUCAAGGGUCUUGGUUCCACGAACCAAAUCAAAUCCAUAAGCGGUGACACCCUUCAAAGAAGUGAGGGUCUGGAAUGCCUCAGCUGGAACAUCAGCAAAGUAGGUCUCAACAAGAACAUUCAAGCCAGACAGAGUUGACUCUAGUUCCGCGUAAGCCUCACUGAAUGCUUGCAAUUUGUGUGAGUCAAGAUCCGUAACAAGCAAUGGCUCAUCAAACUGAAUCCAGGAAGCACCAGCAGCCUUAAGCUCAGAAACAACUUCCCUGCAGAAGUGUUAAUUGGUACGACACGGAUUAAUGAUGCCACACGAUACACACACACACACACACACAAACACACACACACACACACACACACAGAGUUAUUUAGCACAUACACGUUUAUAAAUCUGUAAAUAGGUGAUAAUUCUUACUUGUAGAUCGGAAGGAUUUUGGGAAGAAGAGAGAGAACAGAAAAGGUCUUCUCAACCCCCCAGGCAGGCUUAGACAGCAACAAGUAUGACACAGGGCCAAUAAGCACUGGGACAGUUUCAACUCCAUGCUGCAGCAUUAGACAAGUGAUAGAUAUUAGCAUCUCACAAACUUGAUCUGACUGAUAGAAAGUUACAAGCAAGUUAAGAAUAUGUUUGAUGAAAUUUCAAUGAAAAAUCUUCAGGGUCCACAACAUGUUGACUAUACCCUUUUUAAGUAAUUUAUCUUAAGACUAUUUUGCAAACAGUAUUGCUUCCCUUUACAGAUCAAAUAAAUCAUACAACAUCUGAACGCGUUUCCUGAGCCAAAUAUAAGUUCAAAGCUCUAUAAUAAAUGUCAAUGACUCUAUAGUAAAUUCCAUCACAUUCUGAGCUAUGGAUGAGCAUAUCAUAUGCCAAUUUCAAGUUGAACGUAACCCAAUUUCAACAUAUUGUAGAUUCAAGUAUCAAACGAAAAAAAAAAUAUUGUAAAUAUAGACAGAACUGAGAACAAACACUCACCCCCUUAGCCUCCUUGUACUCAGUCACAGCCUUGUGGGAAGCGUAGGAGAACUUAACAUCGGGUCCCAAUUCAGGAACAAUGAAAUGACUGCAUCAACACGAAGCCAAACACACGCCAGCAUUCAGUACAAAACCAUUACACCAUAACUAACUUGAAAUGCCGCUCUUCCAAGUAGUGAAUACUUACUAGUUGGUGUCGAACCACUUGGUCAUUUCCAUUGCGAGAACAGAGGCGUUUCCUCUGGCCAUGGAGAAGUAAACAUCGAAUCCAAUCUCGCCGCCGUUCCAGUUAAACCUCGGGGGCACGGCACCGAGCAUUGCGGUGGUGUCGAGCACUUGGUCGUAGUAGGAGAAAGUGUUGCUGGGAAUGUAUUUGAUCCCGGCCUCGGACAUCUGUUUCCAGAUGGAGGAUCUGAGAUCAGCGGACACCUUUUGCAAAUCCUCGGCGCUGCUCUUGCCAUCCCAGAAGGAUUCCAACGCGAACUUGAGCUCCCUCUUGGGGCCCAUGCGUGGGUAACCAACGAUGUGAGACGCCAUUUUACUGUCAUAACCACGUCAUCAAUGAAUCGAAAAUCAGUCCCUUCCAUUAAAUCAAGAAAUUAUUAAUUCAAAUGAAUGGAUCACAUUGUAUAUAUAUGGGAUAAAUAUAAUUAUGAACAAAAGCGUCUAAUCAAUCACAAAAAGCAAGCGACUGCAUCAAAUUUAGGGAUCCGACCCGACCCGACCCGAUCUGUAAAUUCCGGUUUCAAUCGGAUUAAGAUGAAACCUCUAACCCGAUAUAGUUGGAUUUUGGCCAACUCGAUCGGAUCAGAUCGGAUCGGAUUAAACUUAGUCCAAUCCGAAAAAUUCAAAAAAUCAAAACUACAAUAAGUAUAAAUCUAAAUUUUCAAUUCAAUUUGAUCUAAUCUGAAUAUAUUCGAAUCGGAUCAAAUACUAUGCUCUACUUAAACUUGGAUUAUAUUUUUUUCAAUUUGAUUAACCUAAAAUUCGAUUGGAUAGAUCCAAAACUGAAUUUAUCUACCCCUCAGUCAUCAAUCAAUUACAAAACCUAAAAUCCCAUUGGAUAGAUCCGAAACUGAAUUUAUCCACCCUUAAGUCAUCAAUCAAUUACAAAGGCGACUGAUGUUUAUACAAUGGACAAUUAUUAAGUUACAGCUCUUGUAAUUUACAACUUAUACAAAAAUAUGUGAAAAAUUGUGAUAGGCAGUACAGUGUCAUGAUUUUAUACAAAAAUAUGUAAACAAUUGUGAUAGACGGUAGAACCUCAUGAUUUUACAAAAAAUACGUAAAAAGUUGGGAUAAGUAAUGGAGCCGCAUAAUUUUUUAUCAGCUGCAAGUUGCAAGUUACAGCAACUGUAACUUAGCGACCCCGACUUCAAUGUAAAAUGAGAAAGUACUCCUCCGCAUAGUACCUGAUGCUCAAAAGUCAAAUCACACGAAAUGCAAAUAGACUUAUCAGAGCAUAAAACCUUAUAUUACAUUUUGAAAAACGAUUUGAAACAAGGGCAAAAUUACAGUGUAACCGUACUUAGUCAUUGAAUUCAGCUCACAAUUAUCAUUAUAGUUGGAUCUAAUAACUAGAUCCAACUGUGUCCACAGUUAUAUUGUAGUUAGAUCUGAUAACUAAAUCCAGAUCCAGCUGUCCCCACAAUUGUCAUUAUAGUUAGAUCUAAUAAUUAGAUUCGGCUGAUUCCGCUGUGAUGUAGUACCCUGUAGUGCCAUAACUGGACAAAGAAACAAACUGAUAUAUUUUCUUUUUUGAAACAAACUGAUACUAAUCCAAGAGUUUCAGAUGAUCGGUUUUUUUUUUUUUUUUUCUAUAGUCACAUCAAUAAUUAAGUACUUUCAGUCAUUUUCGAAGGAUUAAAACGAAAACUCUAAAAAAAUUCUGAGAAUGAAUAAUCCGAAAAUAGAUUCAGAAAUAGUAACACAAGUAGAGGUCAGAUUGUUUUUUGGAAAAGAUUAAUUGCAGAUCUGAUGAACUCAAGUCUAGAUCUAGCAAAAUCACGGCAGCCAAACACUAGAUCUAAGACUAACAGUCACUCACCAGUCGAUCAGAAAGUGAAAUCAAGUUCAAAAUUAUUUUUAAGCUAAUUGUUUUUUUUUUUAAAUGAACAGAUUUUGGUUGAGUAUUAGUGAGUUUUUUACAAAUUUUUUUUUUCAGAUCUAAAAGUUCGGAAAUCAAAACCAUGCUCAAUGUUUUUCGGAAAAGAUUAAUUGCAGAUGUAUUCAAGAUCGGAUCUAGCAAAAUCACGGCAGCCAAACACUAGAUCUAAGACUAACAGUCACUUACCAGUCCAUUAGAAAAUGAAAUCAAGUUCAAAAUUCUUUUUUUUUAAUAGAUCCAAAAGCUAAUAUACAUAUAUAUAUGGCAAAAUAUAUAUACCGUACCCAACAGAGAAGGACGAGCAGAGAAAUUAAGCUUUUUUUUUAUUAUUACAGAGAAAUUGAGAGUUCGAGAGAACGAGAAAGAAGAGAGACGAGACUGUUAGAAAUUGCUGUCAGUUUAAUUUUUAUUUAUAGCCAAAAACCUAACCUUGUUUAGUGGUUACUGGUUACCGUCUUCGGCGGUGUUGAUCUGAGAUUUAUCAUUUUAAUUUCUUUCUCUUACUUAUUUAUUUAAUUUGGGUCCAACUACGGUGAAACUGUAGUACCGUGCUACAGUUAUUUUCAACCGUUUGAUUCACUUGGAUGGUGGGAUCCAAUAAAAUCCAAUGGCUGGGUGCAACCGUAGCACGGUGCCGCAGUUGCACCACAGUUUUUCCCAUUUAUUUAUUAUGCUUUCAGUGCAGUUGGCAAAAACAUGGAGCUUACGCGCGCUUUUCUGAUGUGGCGCGUGAAUUGGAAAUGUGGUAGAUCUUUGUGGAUCCGCCGGUGCAGUGAAGAGUGAAGGAAAAAAGAGAAAAGUUAUCAUGCCAGAUCAUUUGAAGAGAGCCGCAAUUAGUAAUUACACCACAAUAUAUUUCUGAUUAUUUGCUUACUUUGAUGAUGUUUUUACUGAUUAGUAAUUGGAAUAUGUUAGAAUCUAAAUAUAGUAGAAUCAUAAUAGAGUUGAAUCAAAAUAGGCUAUAAUUAGAAUGGAUAAUGGGAAUUAGAAGAAUUAUUUGCUUUAGUUGUGAGAAUCCAAAUUGGAAUGAACUAUAUUGUCUUUGAUAUGUUUACUUUAUCAUAGAAUAUGAAUGAAUUAUUACAAGUUACUAAACUGACCUUAAGUUGAAUAUUGUCAUUAUUUAUUUAUUUAUUAUUAUUAUUAUUAUCAUCAUCAUCAUCAAAAUUAUUAAUCUUAUUAUUAAUGUUAAUUAUAAUAAUUAAUAAUUAUAAUAGUAUUAUAAUAAUAAUAAUAAUAAUAAUAAUAAUAAUAAUAAUAAUAAUAAUAAUAAUAAAAGCAAUCAUAAAAUGAGAAUUUCAAGAUUUAAGUAGAGAUAAUAUAAUUAUUUUAGAAAAUGAGAAUUUCCAUGAGAAUGUGAACUCUAUUAAUCAUUCCCAAUUUGAAGUGGGGCCUGCCAUUUUGAUUCAAUCUCUCAUUUAAGCAAGUAAAUACGACAUUUAUUCUCAUUCCCUCAUUCCCACUCUCAGGUAGCGUUUGUUUUUUAACUUAAUGACUUAAAGUGACUUAACUUAAUUAAUUAAGUUAAUUAGAGGUGUUUAUUUUUAUAACUUAAUGAGACUUUUUAGAUAAUUUUGACUUAAUAAAAUGAGCCAAUUUUUUUUGGCUUUUUACUUAAUGGAGAAAUUUGAAUUUAGUCAAUUACUUACUAAUGUAAAAAAUAUCUAUGUUUUAUAAUUUAUUUUUCAUGUCUAUCCCAAAACUCACCCAUAGACAUUUACCCCACAUAAAAAUAUCCCUAUUUUUUCUUUCUUAUAUUAUAUACGAUAAAAUUUGAAAUUUAUGGUAUUUUAUAUAUUAAAAUUCUAAAAUAAUUAUGUAUUCACUUGAAUAUAGUUUUACUUAUAAAUGUUAAAAUAUUGUGGUAUUUAAUAUAUUAUUUAUUUUACAUUAAAAUUUAAUAAGGGUACAAAUGUAAAAGUACAUAUUUUCAGUUUUUUUCAGUUAAAAAAAAAGUAACUUAAUACUUAUUUUUUGAGAUUCAGACGAAAAAAUAAACAUAUUAUUCAUAUUCAGACAUUUAGAUAUAUUCAGAAUUCAAACUAAUUCAGGUCUAUUAAAAUUUUAGACAAAAAAAACAAACGCCACCUCAAUCAAUAAACACACCAUAAAUGUAGAGUUGUUACUAUUAGAAUACAUUAUAAUUCAUCACAAUUAUGAUAGGUAUAUACGUAUGUAAUAAUUUAUAUAAGAUGCUAAAUUUUGAAAAUAAUAAAAAAUUAUUUAUACAUAUUUAAAAAAAUCAUUAAUACAUUAAAAUGUGCAUCUCAUAUACAUUUACAUAAUAGCAAUGACCAUAGUAUAAAAUAAACUCCUAAAAGAGAACGACUUCCGUUAUUUAUGUUAUUUUAUAUAUUUUUAAUUGAUUAUUAAAAGGAUCAAUUGUUAAUUAUUAUUCUCCAAACAUAAUCACCGUUAAACAUUUAUUCAAUUUAACAAUAGGUAGAUGUUAAAUAAUAUUGGAAUAUUUAAUGAACAAUAUAAUCACUAUUGCAGUUUUUUUUUUUUUUAGUAAUGGAUUUUUUGAAACUCAAAUUCAUUUUUUAGCCCCCUUACCUCUCUUAAAAUUCAAAAUUAAGUGACUAACCAAAUAAAACUGCUUAAAAUCUAUACGACUACAUCUUUGGGGACCAAUUAAUAUGGAUGUUUAAAUCUUGAUUUAUUAUUAAAUCUUUGAGUUUCAACCACUAAUAACAUCAUCAUCGAUUAAUGACAAAUAAAAUAAUACAUCAUCAAAACCAUUAAACACGUCCAUCAAUAUCAAAAACAAGUAAAAAGUUUAGCAUGUAUUUCAAAUAUACUUUUCAUCCCAAAAGUUGUAGAGAAAGUCUCGAUAUCAAUGUCACUAUGAGACGUAAUUUUAUAUUUAAAGUCAGCGCAACUUAAAAAUUACUAUGAAUGAAUAAUACACCAUAAAAAAAUUAUUUAUAAGUAUUUUCAUCAUGUAUUUUUAUUUAACAAUGGUGACAUUUAUUUUUUAACUUAAUGACUUAAAGUGGCUUAACUUAAUUAAUUAAGUUAAUUUUAGGUGUUUGUUUUUAUAACUUAAUAGGACAUUUUAGAUAAUUUUGACUUAAUAAAAUAGGCCAAUUUUUUUUAACUUUUUACUUAAUAGAGAAAUUUGAAUUAAGUCAGUUACUUUCUAAUGUAAAAAAAUAUUCCUACUUUAUAAUUUAUUUUUCAUGCAUAUUAAAAAACUCACCCAUAGAUAUUUACCCCACAUAAUCUCAUCUUUAUUUUCUUCCAGCCGUCAUAGAAUCCCUCCUCACUUUGCUUCUCUCCUCUAGUUCUUGAAUCUCCCUUUAAUUUCUCGCUAGGCAAAGCACUUGAAUUGGGCUUUUUUUUUGCCUUUUCAAUUACGUUUUCCAACAUUCACUUAUAUAAUAAUCAACUAGUUGCUACUCUUUUUAGUGAUAAAAUUUGAAAUAUGGUAUUUUAUAUAUUAAAUUUUCAAAAUCAUUAUGUAUUCACUUGAAUGUAGUUUUACUUAUAAAUAUUAAAAUAUUAUGUUAUUUAAUAUAUUAUUUAUUUGACAUUCAAAUUUAAUAAGGAUAUAAAUGUAAAAGUACAUAUUUUUAAUUUUUUAAGUUGAAAAAAUAACUUAAUAUUUAUUUUCAGAUUUUCAAAUAAAAAAUAUAUUAUUUAAAUUCAAAAAUUUAAAUCUAUUCAAAAUUUAAAGUAAUUCAGGUCUAUGCAUAUUUCAAUCAUAAAAACAAAUGCCACAUGAGUCAUUCAAUUUCUAAUUAAGAGGAUAAAAAAUAGAUUUGGACUAUCCUAAGACAAAAACAAAAAUAAGAUUUCCUAAUAAGUGUACUAACGUGGUCACGCGCCUUGAGAAACGCUUGGACCUAACACACUAUUUUAAUCCGAUAUGCAAAAAAAGAAAAAAAAAAAAAGGAAAAAUUAUGAGAUGUAUAAGUUUCUAGAGACGUGUUAAAUUUUGAUGAAACAAUGAAGAAAGUCGGUGGCCGAAGUUGGUAUGGGGCAAUGCGAAUGGUGGUUGGCCCACGUUGCCCUGUAAUUGGAGUUGUUAUAAUUUUUCUUAUAAUUAAUAGGACUUGACACAGACUGCAGCAUCAGCCGUUGGAUGUGGAGUGAGAAACUAAACAAUAGAAAACCGUAUGGUGGGAUGACGGUAGAUGUUUGUUACAGAAAUUGUACCAUAGACAGGUCCUAAUUAAUAAGCUCUACGUUUUGAAACAAUAAAUAAACUCCAGAUGACCAAAAUAUCAUUUCAUACUGCUACCUAGACAUCUUGGCGAGGGUGGGUAAUGUGGGGCCAGGAGCUUGUUUGAUCGUCAAUUAUUCUCUGGUUUGGUGAAACGAAUGGACGGACGAUGGUGAUGGCUUUUAGGAGAUUAUUAUUAUUAUUAUUAUUAUUAUUAUUAUUAUUAUUAUUAUUAUUAUUAUUAUUAUUAUUACAUUGAGAUCGUAAAACAAAAAAUUCAAUUAAUAAUAUAAAAUAUUUAUUUAAGUUAUUAAUUAUUAUAUAUACACAAUAAAAAAAUUUAUAUACAUAUUUAUAAAUGUGUAAAUAAAUUUCAUUCAAUAUUAUAUCCAAUUAAUCAUUUAUAUUUUUACAGCGGUUUAAUAAUAAUAUUUACUAAAUACAUAUGAUUAUUUUUAAAAUUCACAGUAUUUUUAAAAAUAAAUUUUAUAAAAUUUUUAACUAAUUUUCUUUACAACUAACUAUUGAACGGUUUAACUAAUAGUAAUUAUUUUUAAAAUUAUAGUAUUAUCAAAUUAGUCCUAUGUCAAAUUUGUUAUUGCUGUUUUUUUUUUUAAUUAAAAAAUUACAUAGUGCAUACGUGCAUAAUAUGCCCAACUCAAAAAUUCACACAAAAUAUACUAUUUAACUUUAAGGCUUUAAUUGAAAAAAAAAAUUAAGAUUAAGAUGAAUAAAUACUAGAACAUAACAAAUAGAUAAACUCUCCCAUUCUUUAAAAAGAUUAAUUUUAUUUUAAACUUACACUUCGAAUUCAAAGUAGACAUUGAUUGAUAAAAUUAUACAAACGGAUCAAUAUUCCUACAUUUUCUUUUUAAUUUCAAAACCAACAGAUAUUGUUUGUUCAUUAUAUGACCUCCAAACAAAUAAUUUCAUUAAUAAAAUAAUAAUGAAAAGUGUCGUGAUGGGUGUAGAGUAAUUAGGUGGCUAAGUUUCUACUUUUCAUUCUAACUCUUGCGGUUGGUAGGCGCGUGGGUGGUCCACAAAACCCGUGGACGGUAGCAUUCAAACAAAGACUGGAGGCACCAGAAAAAUGUCCAAAAAGUGUGAAACCGUGACGUGUUCAACAUGUUAAUAAAUUUAGGCAAAUGUUAAAGUUACGGAGCUGGCUACGUUACAGAAACUGUACGUAACAGCCAUGCAUUUUUUAUUCGUUGGAUCUAGAGACUGAAAUUGGAUGGUUGGGAUUAAAGGCCAGAAUAGAAAUUAAUCACGGGCAACCGUUUUUAACAUUUAGAAGGGUUUAUUUUCAUGCACACCCAAAUAUUUUGACAAAUAUCAAUAUGCACCCAGUAACUUUUUAUGUAAAACCACAUAACCGACCUGUUAACUUUUCUACUAUUGAAUUAAAAAACUAUCAUGCCUCAAUUGAAUUAAAUUGAUCAGGUAAAAUAUCUCUUAUAACUUGUCAAUUUUUACAGUGAAAUAUACGAGUAUUUAGUAAAAUCAAAUUUAUUUUUUAUUCAGUAAUCAAAUUUUUUUAUUUAGUGAAAUCAAAAUUAUUUUUCUUUAGUUGUAAGAUUUUUUUAACAAAAAAAUUCUAAAAUCAAAUUUAACUCAUUUACUAUUUUAAAAAAUGAACUUUUUACUAACCAAACUAGAGUUUAUCUUUAGUCAACAUAUUUUUUUCUCUAAAAUAACCUUUGAUAGAAUUACUUAUAUAAACAUGUCAGUAUCAAAAUUACUUCAUAUUUCACCAUCCAUCAAUUUAAACUAGUGUGAAAUUUUUUUAGUUUGAUAUUGAAAAUAUGAUAGUUGAUGAGAGAAAUCUAAUUCAAAUUUACAGAUAAAAUAGUUUCUUAUAAUUGCGUACAUGGUAUAUCAAAAAUAUUUUUUUGUGAGUUUUUAAAAAAAUUGUCACAAGAUGAAAUUAUCUCUUGAUUUUUCAAUUCCUGGAAUUUAUGUAAAACAAUAAACACAAGUAAAUCUUUUGGUUUGUGACUUCUUGAAGGAAUGUUUGGGAAUGCACAAGUUCCUCUCUCCUUCAAAAAGAAUGAUAAGUGCAAAUACCAACCUAGAAAAUUGAUUUAUAAUUCAAAGAAGAUUUGAUUGAAGAUGAUUAAUUGAAAUUUAUCUUUGCAUGACGUCAAACAUUUUUCAAAAUGACUAAGUCAAGUCUCUUUGUUAAUUCAAAUCAAGAAAAAUUAGAAAAAUAUUAAUGCAUAGAAAUUCUACUAAGAGUUAUUUAUGAAAUUCUCAAACGAAUAGAAAUUAAAUUAACAUUUUUAAAUUUUAGUUAUGGGUUUAUUUUAAAAAUGGGUUUAGAAAGAAAUUUGAGGGGUUUAAAGAACCCCGCCCUUUCUUUAAUUAUUCGGUGAAUUUGAAAUAUAUUAAUAAGGUAUAAGAAUAUGUUAUUCUAAUCUUCUUAUGCAAAAUCUAUGCAAUUAAAAAAAAAUUCACCAAACGGUAUUUGUCUUUUUAUUGACAUUUAAUAAUAUUGAUGGCAAAUAUAUACAAUUAUCAAUCAAUUGUUAUCAACUAUUCAAGAUAACUGAAAAACUAAUUGCGUGAAGUUGGAGUAAUGAUUGUUUGAAUUGCCAAGAGUUUUUUUUUAAUAGAAACUAUUGCAAUUCAUAUCAUUAAAAAACUUAAAGACUACAAGUCGAAUAAAAAAUCUUUCCUUAUAAAAGAAUUUGACCAACUCAAAGUACAAUGUUAAAUCCUUGAGAUACAAUGAACCUAAAAAUCCUACUUUGACACACCACAAAUAAUGAAUCUAACUUAACAAUCAAUGGAGAUAAAUCAAUUUUACUAGCAAACUAUAAGCCAAAACACAAGGCAACGUCUUCACCAAAAUCAAUAUCAUUCAAAUAAUUCCCCUUGUGAACGCCUGAAGCUAUCAUAAAAACAACAAAAAAUAAAAAAAUAAAAACAAGUAGACAAGCAAAAAAAUUCCCCAAUAACAAGUUACCCUACAAAACUUUUCCUUGUAGAACAUACACAGAAACCGCAGCUAUAGGGCUAUCGAAACUAGGGAUGGCAAUGGGGAGGGGAGGGGAGGGGACCAAUCUCCCCAUACCCAUCCCCGAUAUUUUGCGUAUGUCCCCGUCCCCGUCAGAAUUGCUUGAGAGAAUCUCCAUCCCCUCCCCGAAUAAUAACAGGGGAUCCCCGAGGGUCCCCGGUCCCCGAAUAACUAAUAGUCUAAUACAUUUUUUUAUUUUUGAUUUUAAAUUAAUCAUAUUAAAAUAAAAAAUUCAGAUAAAAAUAAAGUUCAAAAUAUAUCUUACAUUAAUAUUGAUCCAUUACAAAGUCACAUUCAAAAUAUAAAUUAUUAAAAUAAUUAUCUUUGUCAAUGACUCAAUUUUCAUAAUCCUACAAUAAAAAGAAAACAAAUUAUUUUUAUAUCGGCUAUAAAAUAAAUGAAAUAAAUGUAGAUACUUAAUUAAUAUUUUUAAUAAAACUAUUUACCUCCUGCUCGUCCUGUUCCUCCUGUUCUUCCUCGAGAAAUGUGGCAAAUUGAGAGAUAGCCUCAGAUUUCAAACCUAAAAUAAUGAAAAUGAUAUAAGUAAAGUAACUUAUAAGUGCAAAUAUUAAUAACUGUAUAAUAUAAUUACAAUGUAAAAUAAACUCAUACUGUUAUUGUAAGCUCGUAACCAACUUUGACAGCACAUUAAGGCCUCCAAUGUGCUUGGAUGAAGUUUGUUACGGUGUGGGCUCACAACUCUACCACCGGUGCUAAAAGCUGAUUCAGAAGCAACUGUUGUAAUUGAAAUUGCCAAAAUAUCUCUAGCAAUUCGAGCUAAUGUAGGAUACCUAUUAGCAUUUAAUAAUAUAAAUAUUUUGAUAUUUAUUAUUUUUAACAAUAUUUAUAAUUUUGUUAUUUAUUUAUUAGUAAUUUUAAAAAUAAAAAUAAAAUUAAAAAUUAAAAUGGGGAAAUGGGUAGGGGAUGGGGAUUCCACCUCAUCCCGUCCCCUCUCCGAAUAAAAAAUUGGGUAAAAAAUUUUCCAUGUCCCAUCCCCAAAUAAAAAAUUGGGUAUAAAAUUAUCCGCGUACCCUCCCCGAAUGGGGAAAAUUCCCGAGGGUACCCGUCCCCUUGGGGAUUUUUGCCAUCUCUUUGGGGAUUUUUGCCAUCUCUAUCGAAACCUCUACCCACCACUAUUAGAGUUAAAAAAAUCUCUGAUAUGAGUGUAUUCUUCUAAUUUGAACUCUAACGUGAUUUUUUGAGAGAUUCAUCGGAAAAAAACCUUAAGGAGUUAAAGAAGAAAUUUAAAAAAAAAAUCAUAAAAAGAGGAAUGAAAAGAAAAAGAUGCUUUACCAAGAGUUGAUUGACAGUAAUUGGUAAAUUUGAGCAUGCAAUAAAAUUUACCCAUAUAUUCAUAUGACAUAAAAUAUAAUUUUAUUCAUUAAUUACACUACUAAUUUGUCUAAAUUUUAGUUUUUUAAAAAAUAAAUUUCUAUAUAUUUACAUAAAUCUUAGUUUUUAUAAAAAUAAAUUGAAAAAUAAAUUUAUGUUUUUAUAAAAAUAAAUUUAUGUUUAUUUUUUUACAUUGACCUGAUGUUUAAUUAAGGGCAAUAAUGUCUUUGUGCUAGUGAGAAAUGGCCAGUAAUUGAACUUAACCGCGUAGGACAACAAUUUGACUGUUUGGGGGUGGGGUUGAUGGCUUACAUCAAAGUUAGUGUGUGCUAAGGAUUAACAAUAAUAAUGGGGUAAAUAUGAAAUUAAUCCUUGCCCAAGCAUUAGAAGUUCGUCGGUUUUCUUUUAACCGGAUAAUUACCGGUGAAUAUGUCACGCGUUCCUACACGUGGCAGCAUCUAAUUUAUUCGCUUGUCAUUUCAGUUUCUGUUAGUUACAGUUUCUGUAACGUAGCUAGCUCCGUCAGGUACAGGCAUGUUGUAACUUACGUUUCUCGUAAAAAUCAUAUAAGUUCUAUUUCUACCUCUAGGGUGAGCAUGGGUUGAUUUGGAUUAAAUUUUAAGUUAAUUUAAAUUAAAUUAUAAAAAUUUGGGUGUAAUCUAAAUUAAUUUAAAUAUUUUUAACAUAACUCAUGGGUUGGUUAAAUCAAACUAUAAAAAUUUGGUCCAACUCAAAUUAACUCAAAUAUUUUCAACACAACCCAAAGCAACUCAGUUGGAUUUUAUUAAAAUUAUAAUAAUUAUUAAUUGUUUUUAAACCAACCAUUUUGGGUUUGGUUUGGAUUUUAUUAUCAAAAUAUUUUUUUAUUUUGAGAAAUUUAAUUUUAUCAAAAUUAUAAUAAUUAUUAAUUGUUAUUACUUAUUAAAUUGAUAUUAACAUAUAAAAAUUAUAAUUCAUAAAAAUUAUAAAUAACAAAUUUUACAAUAACUUAAUCCUUAAAUUAAAGAAUACUAGAAAAUUAAAAUAAAGUUUAAUCACAAAAAUCAUUAUUUAUCAAUAAAUAAGAAAAUUCUAAUAACAAACUUCUACAAGCACGAUAUCGACAAGUAAAUUCAAAGAAAGAAAGAAAGAAAAAAAAGACUAGUAGUACUAAGUAUUAACCCUAUUACAACACAAACUCUAACAAUGUCCAUACAAAUAAAAAAAAAUAAGACAUUCUAACUCAAGUGUCAAAGCAAUCCAUCAUAAUCAUUCCCAUCCGUAGUACUUUAAUCGAGAGAUUCCACGAUUAACUGACAAAAUGUAUGACAAUGAUAAUUUACAUUGAUUAUGACAUAAUAGAGAUGGAUUUGUCAAAGCCAAAUCAUUUGCUGGAAAGGAAUUUAGUUGAAGUAGGAACCAAAAUUCAACUUAGAUGGAUCUAUAAAAUUGGUCAUUCAAUACAUAAGUACUUUAUCAACAGAUUCAACACAUUAUAAAUUUAUGGAUUCAACUAAGUUACAACCAGCUGCAACUUAUUCCUCUCACAUAAACAAUAAUACAGCGGUAGGCUAUAUUAUUUACAAAAAGUACUUAUGUAUUGAAUGACCAAUUUUAUUACCUGCAAAAUUAAUUAAUCUUUCACUCUAUCAUCUAACUAAUGGAAGGCAAUCUUAUUUUAGGUUGUAAUGAUUAGAAACUAGCAGGAAGUGGGGGCGAUGCUCCAUAUUAAUUUGGAUAAAUCCCUUUCUAGUGAAGAAGUUAAAAUUAUAAAAUAGAGAUCAAGAUAGAAAUUUAAAGGCCCCGAUUGUUUUUUACAGACUUAAAAAUGAUAUUGAAAAAUUAAAAGCUAAUUUUAGUAUUUAAAAAUUACUUUAAGAAAAAUCACCCUAUCUUCCUGUAAAUUUUGAAAAGCAUGAAAAGAGUAGUUUUUCAAAAAUUGAUUUCGAAAAUUAGUUUCAUACUUAAUACAAUUCCAUAUAUCCUAACAUUUACUAUAAAAAUUCAAAUUAUCCUUAUUAAAUUAGGAAAUAAAGUCAGUACAUUUAAAUAAGAGUGAUGAUAUAGACACAAACUCUUGUACAAACUGACGUAGCAUUAAUUUAUUGGUUAAAUGAAAAUAUAAAAUAAUAUAAAUAAAUCAUGUGGGCCAAUAAAUAUUUAAUUCAACCAAUUUUAUCAUGUCACAUUAAUUUGUACAAAAUAAGUUUGUAUAAGAGUUUGUGGCUAUAUCAUUACUCUUUAAAUAAAUUAUUAUUCUACCAAUUAUAUUGAGAUAACGAAAAAAUACAAUUACUAAAAUAAAAAUAAAUUUAUAUAUAUAUAUAUAUAUAUAUAUAUAUAUAUAUAUAUAUAUAUAUAUAUAUAUAUAUAUAUAUAUUUACAUACAUAAAAUGUGAUUAUAUACACAUAUUUAUAAUUGAAUAUGUACAUAAAUUCUGUAGAUUUAUGUCUAUCUAUACAUUUGCAUUCUUACCACAUUUUAAAAGUGUGAUUUACCAAAUACAUGGGACUUAUUUGAAAUUUAUAGCACUUUUAUAAAUAAAAUUUAUCAAACGUUAAACAGAUUCUCUAUUUUCGCAUAUAUAUCCUCAUGUAAAUUAUAAAAAUUCAAAAUUAUCUUUAUUCAAUUAGGAAAUUAAAUCAUUAUUUUUAAAGAGAUUCUUAUUAUUACUAAUUAGAUUCAAAUAACCAAAAAAAUACAAUCAAUAAAAUAAAAAUAUUUAUUUUAGUUAUCAUUUAUUAUAUACACAUAUUUAUAAAUGCAUGUGUAAAUAAAAUUUUAUAGAUUUAUGUCUAUUUAAGUUAUUUGCAUUCUUACAACAUUUAAAAAAUGAGAUUUACUAAACACAUGUGAUUGUUUUUAAAAAAGUUACAACACUUUUAAAAAUAAAAUUUAACAAAUGUUUAAUUGACUCUCUCCAAAGCUAAUUGUUUUUACAGUAUAGCUAAAGUAAUUUAUAAAUUUAUGAUAAGUAUUUGUGAAUAUUGGUCUAUGUAAAGAAGUAAAAACAACAUAUAUAUUAAGCAGCAUGAUAUUAAAACUCUUAGUAAAAUACAUAUACUAAUAAAAGAAAGACAACAAUGCAAUAAAUAAGCUUAUAAUAUAAAUUAUUAAAAUUGUAUAUUAAAAAAUUAUGCAUGAAAUUCUUUUUCUAUUUUGGUGAUAGAGAAUGCGAUAUAAUUGAAUUAUUUGAUUUAAUAAAAAAAAAUAUGACUGAAGGAAAUUAACAAUUGAAUUGUGGAAUGUUAUUAAUUGUUAUUGUAUCAUUUUGCAACGUUCUAAUAAUAUGGACAAUGUUACAGUAUAUUGAUGGGCGGUAAUAUUUUCACCUCUUAAAUUGUGUAAAGUCAGCUCCAUUUAAAAAAAUUAUAUAUAAAAAAGCCCAUUAGUUUUAAUAGUUUCAAAUUAAGAUUAAAUGCAAAUAAUUAACCAAUUAAAUCCUUAUUAAUAAGAUCAUUGAGCUUUAAUUAAACUAAUAAAAUGCAUUUGAUAAAUGAAAUUUACGAUAUUUAAUUACAUGAAAUUUAUUGACUACAUGAAUAAUAUAAUUGUUCAGCUGUUUAAACUUUUUCCCUAUUUAAAUUUUAAAAAACAAUGUGAAAUUUUGUAAAUAGUUCUUUGAAAUGGGGUGGAUUUACACCAUUUGUGCAGUGCAAAUAUCCUAAUUCUAACAUUUUUUUUUUAAAAAAAAAGACCAAAUCAUAACAUUUUUUGUAUACUAAGUUAAAGUAGUACUAACAUUAUAGCCCCCUAAUGAUUUCAAUUCAUUCAAUGAAUAUAUAAUUUAAGCAUGUUAUAAACUAAGUCUCUAAAUCGAAUUAAAAAAAGAAAAAAGAGCUUAAUUGCUGACAUAGUUGAAAAUAAAAUAAAAAAUUUUAUUAUUAGAUGAAAAAUUAUGAAACUUAAGGGGUAUGAGCGAGUCGGCAGCUGCUCACCAGGGCAUAUGUAAUAUUUGUUAAUACAUUUCAAAAUUUAGGUUUUUUAAUAAUAUUUUCAAUACAUUUUCUAGAAGGUUUAGAAAAAAAAAAAAUGACUCAAUACUUUAAUCGAGCUAUGAAUAAACUCAUGUGUUAAAAAAUUUCAUAUUUACACCCAAUAAGAUUAAUUAAUGGGUGAUACAAAUUUAAGAUAGUUAAUAAUAAUAUAUAUCAUCUUAAGUUAACUUCAACUCAUUAACCUUGUAUAAGGUUUGAUGGGUCGUGCCGCAAAUUAUCACCUCUAAUCCUUUUUGCAACAGGCAUGAUGAAUGCUAACAAAAUGAAACUUCUAUAUAUUUAGUUGUUAUUCUUUUUAAUGAAAUAAUAAGGAGCUUUGCUGCAAAUUUCCAUCCAGCAUGGCAUGGACGCACGUGAAAUUUGCUAGUAUGGCCCUGGACAUGCGUGGCUGAGAUGCUUCUAAAAGCAAAGAAUUCCAAGUUCAUACCAAAUAUAACUUUCUGAUAUUUUUGUGGUAUCAAGUUUGUUUUUCACAAACUAAGGUGUCGGCAUAAAGUUGUUGUCCAUGCAAUGAAGUUUUAUACAUAAAUAUAUUAACCUAAAUUGUUACUAAAGUUCCAUAAUUAGCAGUUCCUGAGAGUUUUUACUAUAUUUUUUUUUUUGUUUUAAUUCAACAUAUGUUUAUUUAAUACGAUUUUAUUAAAUAAAUGUGCAUAUUUACCAUAUUUGUCCACGAUCAAUUAGUUGGAAAAAAAAAAAGAAAAUUAAUAAAUUUAUUUAUUUGAUUGUUAAUGGUGUAGGCAUUGAAUUCCCACAAAGUCAGGGUGUCAGCUCUGGACUUCUGGUGAUGUAUUUUUCUAAUAAAGAAAUAAAAUAUUGUUGUCAUUUUUUUAAUAUUCUAAUUUACCAAGCCUACCAACCAAUUAAUUUUUCUAAUUAGAUCAUUAAUUCAUUACACGUGCAUUCGCUGGCCCAGUGCUCCAAUCCCAUGCAUGCUGCACAACUCAAUGUCUUUUAGGGUCCGCUUAAAAUACAGCUGCUGUAUCUCGUACAGCUGCUUUUUUCUAUUUUUUUAAUUCAGCACGUAACCGGCCACCGGUACCAUCGUUUUAAUUGGUUAAAGAGGCCAAAAUUAAAAGGUAACUAUCACACAGAUCCCUCAUUUUAGGUAAAUAUUAAGAAAAUCAAUUCCAAAUUAUUAAACUAUCAAAGACCCCCUCAACUUUAAAAAAUGAAAAUAUUUCUUUUUUCUUUUAAUUCAUGGAAAAUAUAGUUAAUAUAUUUAACCUAUGUACUAAUGAAAAAAUAUAAUUAAAUAAUUAGAAUACUAUAUUUAAAAAUAUAAUUAUAUUAUUUUUUUAAUAUUAUGUUAUAAAUUAAAUGAUAUUUUAAUUUAAAAAACGUAACUUAUGUACUAAUGAGAAUAAUAUUUAAAUAUAAUAAAUUAAAAUAAAUUAUAUAUUAAUUAAGCUAUUUUUAUUAUUAUGUUAUAAAUGUAAUGAUAUUUUGCUUAAGAAACUAUCAAAACAAUUUUAUCAUCUUUAAUUGCAUUACAAUCUAAAUAUCUAAACAUAUAAUGAAAUCAACUUAUUUCUAAAUAUUUGGAAGAAAUCAAUCUUACUAUCUCAUGAUACACAUAUAGGGAUUUAAAUCUCUACCUACUAAAAUGAGGGUAAUGUUCAUCCAACUAUCGAAUUAUUAUGAUUCCAAACAUGUAAUUACCCCUCAAAUAUUGUUGUUGUUAUUAUUAGAGGCUAACAUUAAUAUGUUUUAUAUAUACCACAAAUAUAAAGUAUCUAAUAUUUGAUAUUUUUAAAUAAAACUCACAAACAAUCUUUUAUGCAAAUUAAUUCAUACAAACUUAUGUAAAAUUAAUUACUUUAUUUAAUCUUUUUUGUUAUAAUAAUUUUUUUUAAACAUUAAUCAAAUUCAUAAUGGUACAUGACAUGGAUAAUUACAAUUUAAAUGAAACUAAUAUUGAAUAAUGUUAUAUUAUAUUGUACUUACAGUUAUAUAAUUUAAGCAUGGCAAUUAUAUUUCUAAAUUAAAUCAAAUUAUUUGAGUAAUACUGCACUCACUAGAUAGUUACAUGAUUUGUAAUUAUCUUUUUUAUUAAUUUGAAAACUUUCAUAUUUUUUUCCAAUUUCUACUAAUAAUAUAAAUACUCACAUUAUGACAUUUCUUUGGAAACCCUAGCCGCUCUCCUUAAACCAUCAAAGACGCUCACUCACGUCAAACCCUCACAAGCCAACAAGCGAGCAGUUGCCGCCGUCUUCAUUCCUACGCCCAUUACGGUCCUAUGUAUCAGCAUUUGAAAUUUUGAAUAUUGUUUAUUGCUUCGCAGAAUUAUUUUCUAAUAUCAUUUGGUUGUCUUUUAUACAUGCAGAGACCCUUAUGAUCUAACAACAUCUGAAAUCUAGCUUUUGAAAAUUGUAAAUUGAUUUAGUUUUGUAUUGGUUUUAUUUGAUGCUAAAAGUUUUUAAAAUUAUUUUCCCGCAAGCUUGUAAAAAGUUCUCAUAUACCUAUUUGGAUGAAUGGAAUUUUUUAUUUGAUUAAUAUUUUUAUGCACUGGAUAAAUUAAUAGGGCAUUGUAAUUUCAUUUACAAACAAAUGCCAACAAACCAUUUAAAAAAUAAUAAAAAUACGCCAAAAUUAUAAUCUUAUGUUAUAACUGCUGGGUUAUAUUUUUUUAAUGCCAUAUUAGUCAUGAUAAAAAUUAAAGAACUCUUUUAGUUGAGUCCUAAAUAAUUGUAUUUCUAGUUAAGUCCUAAAAAUUGAAUAACUUAUUUUGGUAAAUGGAAAAUUAUAGGGAUAUUUAAACGAGAAUGAUACUCAAUUAAAAAAAAUAAUGUUAAAAAUUAUAAGUUUUUGAAUGGACUAAUGCUAUAUAGUUGAGUAAUGAACAAGAAUUGGCUACCAUCUAAUUCGGUUGUAAAUGAACUUAAUUUUUGUUUAAUUCAUCCUCCAAUUGAGCAAUUCUCUUUAACUUCUUUUAAUCUAUAAAUUGAGUUCUUAUUCUACAGGUAUUCUAUGAUUUCUCCAUCUUCAAAGAGCAAGCAAGCAUUGAAAAGUUGAAAUGAGAGAUUUUUGUGUAUUAUUUUUUACUUUUUAGUAUAUCUAAAGGUUCAAUUGUACUCUUGGAAUUUGAGUGAAAUUAUUAAUGUGAAACUCCAUUAUUAAGUGCAGACCAAAAUCGUAUCAGUGAAUGUUGUUUCUUAUACCAUAGUGUUAUGUUGUAACACCAUAUUAGUUGGAAUAUCCAUCCAAAUAUAUUAAGCUUUUAAAAAUAAUUUUAGCUACUAAGAUCAUUUUUGUUUAAGUCGUGAAAAAUGAUUAACUUAUUUUGUUUGUACAAGGGAUAAUAAAACUUAUGAUCAUAUCUCCUGAAGUAAUGAAUAUUGAUAUUGAAUAAAUAAAGAUACUUUCAUUAUUGGUUAUUAAUUUUUAUGACCUAUAAAAAUGUAUUGCAAUUCGGAGUAAUAAAACAAUAGUUUAAAAAUAAAAGUCGACAUUAUUGUUAAAUUGCGGUGUUGAAUUUACCUAUUAGAGAAAAAUAUCCUUUCAAUAUUUAAUUUAGGAAGAAAAAUUAAUGUUUAAUAUAUUUUCUUCUUUCUUGAUUGCAUUGAUUUUUUUAUUUUUUUAUUUUACAAAAUAUUGUUGAAUUUGAAUUGUGUUUACUGUGUUUAAAGCAUUAAUUAAAGAUAAAUAAAUUGUGGCUUAGUAGAAUUGGAUCAAUGUAAUACAAAUUUACAAAAUUUUCAAUUUUAAUAUAAAAGUUAAUUUUCACAGUUCAUGGGAUAAUCAUAAAAUAAAUAAACAAAUUUUGGUAUAGUAAUAAAUAUGAAAUGGUAUGGUAUAAAGUGUUGCUACUAUAGUAAUAAAUGUUCAUAACCAUAUUAGUCAUAAUAAACUCUUAAAAAUUAUUUUAUUUAAGUCUUGAAAAUUUAAGAACUUAUUUUAUAAAUUAAAAAUUAUAUCCAUACUUAAAAAUGAAAAAGAAGGAUACUCAUUAUUAAAAAAAAAUUGUUAACAAAUCUCAUGGGGCAAGAUAGUAAUAAUAAUAAUUUUAGUAAGAGUACAAAAAAAAUAAUAGUGAUAAUAAUACAAGUAUAAUAUAUUAAUAUUUAUAAUUAAUAGCAUAAAUUUUUGGUUGAAGUAAUAAGAAAUUAAGAAAAAUAAUUUGAAAAGAAAACAGUGGUAAAAAUUUAAUUUGAAUUAAAAAAUCUUAAUUCUUGAUUUAUUUUAGUUUAAAGAUAAAUAAAUAUAAUUAAUUGAAUUAUAAAAUGGGCAUAACAUUUAUAAAACUCAAAAGUUAAGUAUAAAUAAUUUCAAGUUCAAGAAAUCUCCUGAAGUCAAUUGAUCCCAAAAAAAGAAAAAAGAAAAUUCAACACAAAUAGAUUAAGAAAGUUUCAAGUUUUGUUAGCUUAAAUAGUUUUUAUAACUUAUGCCAUCAUAAUUUUUAAAAAUAAUUUUUUGGAGAAGCAUAGCAAUUGCAUGCGCUCUUACAUGUUAUUUUUUAUUUACUGUUGAAGUUUUGAAAAAUUAAAGAAAUUAUUUUAAAAAGUAAAGAGAGAGAUGAAAAUAAAUGCAUUAAUUUAUUUUAACAAUAACUAAAAAUAAUCAACUAAAAUGAUAAAAUGAGAAUAAAUAUGUAUAGAGACAAAAAGCUCAAGUAUAUAUACAAUCAAGUUCAAGAGAUAUCAUGAUAUAUAUAAAAGGGAAUUAGGUUAAGGACCCAAAAUAUUGGAAAAGAUUAAGGGUUACAAUAAAUGUUUUUCAGUAUUAUAUGGUAAGUUGAUAUUUUAUAAAAUAGUAAGGGUUCAAACAUAAUUCAACUUAUUAAAAUUAUUGUUUCCGGUAAUACAAGUAAUUUUGAUAUUUAACAUAAAUAACUGAAAUUUCACCAAAUUAAUUGGAAUAUUGAACGCAAAAUUAGUGAAAUAAUAGUUGAAACAUAUAAAAGUAAAUAUGAGAAAAUAUAACCCAAAUUAGGAACCUACUUAACCAAAAAUAAAAUUACGAAAAAUAAAUUCGGUACUUAACCCAAAUAAUUGGAAUCUAUUCAAGUUAAUGGGAAUAUUCAACACAAAACUAGAGGAAUAAUUAGAUGAAAUAUUUGAACCAAUAAGCUAGAAAAUCUAACGAAAAUUAGGAACUCAUCCAACAGGAAAUGAAAAUUACUUGGAAUCUAACCCAAAAUAUUGGUAUUGAACGAACUUAGUAGGAAUACCUAACACAAAACUAGUGGACUAAUAAUUUGAAACAUGUGAACCUAAAUAUUAAAAAGCUUAACCAAAAUUGGGAACUAAUUUAACAAAAAAAAUUAUUUCGGUAUUUAACCCAAAUAAAUGAAAUCUUAUCAAAUUAAUUGGAAUAUUGAACACAAAACUAGUGGAAUAAUAAUUGAAACGUAUAAACCCACAAGGAAGAAAGUGUAACCAAAAUUAGGAACAUACUUAACCAAAAAUAAAAUUACGAAAAAUAAAUUCGGUACUUAACCCAAAUAAUUGGAAUCUAUCUAAGUUAAUGGGAAUAUUCAACACAAAACUAGAGGAAUAAUUAGAUGAAACAUUUGAACCAAUAAGCGAGAAAAUCUAACGAAAAUUAGGAACUCAUCCAACGGGAAAUGAAAAUUACUUAGAAUCUAACCCAAAAUAUUGGUAUUGAACGAACUUAGUAGGAAUACCUAACACAAAACUAGUGGACUAAUAAUUUGAAACAUGUGAACCUAAAUAUGAAAAAGCUUAACCAAAAUUGAGAACUAGUUUAACAAAAAAAAAUUAUUUCGGUAUUUAACCCAAAUAAAUGAAAUCUUACCAAGCGAAUUGAAAUAUUGAACAUAAAAUUUGUGAAAUAAUAGUUGAAACAUAUAAACCAAAAAGGGAGAAAGUGUAACUAAAUUUAGGAACUUAUUUAACGAGAAAUGAAUUUACUUGGAAUCUAACCUAAAAAAUUUGUAUUUAACGAAUUUAGUAGGAAUAUUAUACAUAAAACUAGCGGAUUGAGAAGUGGAAACAAAUAAACCAAUUAUUGAGAAAGUUUAACGAAAAUUAGGGACAUGUGAAAUUAAUUUGAAACGUCUACCUAAUAUAUUGAUAUUUAACCAAAAAAAUUGGAACAUGAUUAUUUUACUCUUUUUUUAACUUUUUUUUAAAUUAAAAAUAUUUUUCUCACUCAAAUCUUUUUAAUAUUAAUUGUUUAUAAAUUUCCUUAUUUUUUUCACAUUAAAAAUAAAUUUUUUAAAAAUUAUUAGAUGAACAACCGGUAAAAUACCGGUUGUUCAAGUUUUUUUUCACUGUUGAAGCAGCUGUAUUACAUACAGCGCGGUACUAUAUGAUGACUCUGUGUUUUAAUAAGAAAAGGUUUGGUUAGCCUGUGCUGAUGCCAGAAGCCCCUUAAGGAGUUCAGGUAAACGUAAAUAUGUCCAGAUUUAGAUUUGAAUAUGUAAACGUAAAUAGGUCCAGAUUCAGAUUCGUUGCGCUAGAGAGGGGCACGCACGAUCGGGCUGCUGUCAGGUGGUACGUUGGCGUGGCAAUUCUCAACACGCGCUUCUCCUGGUGCCUACUUACGGCAAGUUGACACGUGACCCGUGUGGAUUGAGUGGACAGAGUCACGGGCACUGAUUUUUGUCAUCCAUAACGACUAACGUCGGAGACUUCGAGAAGAAAGAAAUUGUUGUCGUUUCUAAGGGGAAAAAAAUAUUUAAUUUGUUGAAUUAACGUCGGAGAUUUUUUUUUUUUUUUUUAAUUUUGCAAUCUAAACCAGUCUAAUCAAAAUGUCAAUUUGACAAAAGUUGGACUGAUUUAGAUUAGUUCUAUUAGUUUGAUUGGAUUAAAUUGAAUUAGAUCUUGAACAUCCUAACACUUUUCAUGAAUGUUUUCCUUUUUUAAAAAAAAAAAUUAAUAAGGAGAAUUCCCAUGAAUGUUAAUUUUAUUGAUAAACUUGGCAAUUUUAAGAAAUGUUUUGACGCACGAAUAAUGCAAUUCAUCAACCCACAUAGAUAUGGAUAUAGGAAGCAGAGACCAGAUCGAUCUUGACAUAACGAAAACUUGUAUGUGUAUAUGUAUGUUACAGACCAGAUCGAUCUGUAGCAUAGACUUCUCCUAUAUGUAGGUUAUAUUCAAAUUACAAAAUGAACACAUGUUAAGGAUCUACAACUUCUUCUUUAAUCUAAUAAGCUCCCUCAACUUUAUUCCAAAACAAAAAAGAAUCAAAUUUUUGUUGGAAAUAUUUAUGAAUGAAGAAGCAAAAAGCGCUUGUAUCAAGGAUCUAAUUAAAGAACUGCCAGAGGCAUAGAUCUAUCAAAGCUCCCUCGCAUGACUCUUGGUCUCGGUGGCUUCUUCUUCUUCAUUCCGAAUUUUCCCUCAAUCUGAUCUCUUCCAACCUUUCCAUUUCCAAAUUGAAUUGAAACUUGCCUCAUAUUCGUUUGUUGAAUCCCAUCUUUUGUUGCACCACCAUGCAUCAAAAUCCUUGAAAUCCCAGCAUAAUGCAAGGACUCAGCUAUUUGCAAUGGGGUCACGUUCUUACUUGUCCUUGCCUCAACAUCAGCUCCCUUCUUCACAAGCAAUUCAGUCACAUCUGUGUGGCCAGAUUCCACCGCACAAUGCAAAGCUGUGUACCCAUCUUCAUCUUUAGCAUCAACAUCAAUCCCUUUAUCAAUCAGAAUCCUCACAACCUCAAUCUUUCCCUUAAACGAAGCCCUAUGCAAAGCAGUCCAUCCAUGUAGGUCUUUCCCAUUGAUCGCGGCGCCUGCUUCGAUCAACCUCUGCAUUGUCCUCACUUCCCCUUUCCUAGCGGCAAUACACAGGCUGUCACCAAGCUUCAACGCGUCAAAGAGACGGGAAUGACCGCACUCAGCAGCAACAUCAUAAGCAGUCUUUCCGCUCUUGUUUCUAAUAUAUUUAUUAGCACCCUUCUGCAAUAACAGCUUCACCAUUUGCUCAUAUCCCAAGCUUGCGGCGAUAUGCAAAGGCGUGUCACCGUCUCUAUCGUUGCGUAUAUCAGGCCUUGCUCCGUUUGCUAACAGAAGUCUCGCGCAAUCUCUUCUUCUGUCUUCAACCGCGAGAUGCAGAGCUGUGUUACCAUCUUUUGUUAAAGCAUUAACAUUAGCACCUUUGAUUAAGAGAAGCUUUAGUACUUCCAAAUGGCCGCCUCGUAAGGCCAAGUGUAUUGGCCCCCAUGUUGAUGUUCCUGAUCUUUCUGUGCUGGCUUUCCUUGCCAACAAGAGCUCAACAAUAAGUGCUUCCCCUGCAGCAGCCGCGGCUUCAAGUGGAGUACUGCAGCCACACCUGCCUUGAGACUCAACAUCCGGCCCAAACUCAAGCAAAAGUUGAACAAUAUCAGGCCUCCUUUGAGCUAUAGCAAUAUGAAGCAACGUUUGUCCCUGCGCAUCGGCAGAAUCAGCCGGGUUCCAAGCCGGGUCACUCCGCUCAAGAACCUCUCUUAAUUCAUCCAUUUCACCAUCCUUAACAAGCAGAACCAAAACAGGAGACCCAACGAACAUGAUCUUGAUUCCGCUGUCGAUGAACACUUGCUUCUUCCUCGUUGUGAACCAGUCACUGGGGACGGAAUCAAGCGUCGACGUUGCAUCUUUAAUUCCAGCUCCAGGAACAACAACGCUGUGCAAGAGGAAGGAAUCAUCACAGUGAGGGAAAGAAUCAGGAAGAACCGAUCCUGGAGGGAGAUGAUACGCAAUCUCUACGCUUAGUGUUGCGAGUGGUGAUAUGAUUCCUGAUUGCGGCUUCACAGUAUAACGAGCCUUGUUUGUAGGCUGAAUCCUGAAAGCAACAGGCAUCGUGUGCAUGACAUUGCGGAGAGUCAGCUCCCCGGAACAUUUCUGCCCUGGUUCAAUUCUGAUAGCUACAAGGUUCGACGGCUCCAAGCUUACAAGCCUAUCCAUUGAUUAAUUUUCUCUCCGUUUCCCAAGAACUACUGAAAGGGGUUCUUUGAACUUUUUGAUUCAGGCUUAUUUUCUUCACUUUUGGUGGCAUGGGGAGGAAUUAGAGGAGUAACUGUAAGAGCUGCAAGUGUUGGUGUAAUCAACUGUAAUAUAAGGAGAAGAGAGGCCGGCUCUAAUGGGAGACUGCCACGUGGUGGUGUUAAAAACAAUGAGACUUGUUCUGUUCGGCGUCCGGAGUGUAUAUACAGUUGUGUUAGUGGUGAAAGUUAAAGAAAUCCUGAAGUUCUUUUCGGAGUGGCUUCUGCAAAGUCACUUUCAGGAUUGUAUUGUAUCAUUAAAAAACAAAGCCAGUUUUUGUUGUUCUAGUAAAAGGCGAAUCAUUGGACAAACUCGUAAGAAUAUGUUGCCAAAUGUAUAAAAUAUGAAAUUCAAACAAUGAUUACAAUGUGAAAUUGGACAAUGGACAUGGCCUGUGUGAAUUGUUUUGUGGGCUUACUAAUUAAAUUAAUUCACUAAAAAUAAUGUCACUUUUGUGUCUGUGAAGAAGCCGAAAUGGCACAGUCAUUUACGUGGCCAACUACGGUGACUACUUCGUCAGUAGCUGCUCGAGCACUUGGUCAGCACAAGUUGCUUUCUUUCUUGGCGGGAUUAGUUUUUCUUCAUUGCUUUAAGUGGUGCAUUUCUGCAGUUUCAUUUUGCUUUGCUUAUGCUAUUGGAUUUGUGCCCCAUAAAUAAAUAUAUAAUUAAGCGGAAAAGUAUCAAAUUUUGAAAAAGCUUAGGUUUUUUGUGUGUGUGUGUGUGUGUGUGUGUUUUAAGCCGAAUUACUCGGCUAAAAAUUAAUCCGAUUAUUAUUGUUUUGGUGCUUAAGAUGUGACUCUAACCUAAAGCUCAUUUGAACUCUCUUGAUGCUCAUAUGGUAUUUUUUGUGUUGUGUCGUGCUGGCCCUUACACAUCUCGGCUCAUAUUUUUCAUGUUACUAAGUUCUAAUAUGUACAAAAGAAAUAGAGUAAUGUCCGGUGGUAGAUCCAAACACUCAAUUUGGGGUGCUUAUUUUUCAGUCUCAAAUUCGAUUAUUUUCUUUUAAAAUUUUAAAAUAAUAGUAAUAAAAUACUUAUUUUAAAUACUGAGCUCAUUACAACCACAUAUGUAAAAGUAUCAUUUAUAUUUUUUUUCUAAAUAAUCUUCACAAAAUAUUUUAAAAAAUAAAAUUAUGUGACUAUGGGGAUUUGAACCAAGUCUCUCAAACUACUAAAUAACACUUUUACCACUAAAUUACAAAUUUUUUAACAUAUUAAAAGUGCAUCCAAAUUAUUAUUAUUACUUAAUUAUUUCAUAAGAGAUUUGGGGCACAUUUAAAAGAAAAAAAAUUAAUGGUGCAUAAAGGACUAAAGCCUCUCUUGAGUCCUUGACCUUAACUAGGUCCACCCAUCGUAAUGUCAGUGAUACAUAACUUGAAAAAUAUACAAGAAACUUGGAAAUUUAAAUUAAUGAAUAAAUAAAUAAAUAAAAGGAAACUUAGUGAUUGUAGCUGUUGUAUUGAAUUGUGGAUCAAAGAAUUACAAGUUCUUGGUUUCUCGGUAUUGGCUAAUUUUGAAGUUAAAUGAAGUUCGAAAAUAUUUACAACCAAUAAAAUUAUCAACUGAAUGAGACAAGGAAAGAGUAUAAAGACCUUAGCAAAUUAGCAAUCCUUCUUUAAUUUAGUAACAGUGACGCUUAUAAAGUUAGAAGACGUAUCAAAUCUAAUUUAGAUUUUGCCCCAUAAAACUAAUUUAACUUAUAGCGCGUCUUUGUUUAAUUAGUAAAUAUUCCACAAAAUCUGAUCAGCACUUUAUAGGAAAUUCCAAACAAGUUUAUAUUCACAAGGAAUAUGUCAAGGAGAAAUGAGAAUAAAAAAAUGUAGAAACUAAUAAAGCUUCAUUAAUUAGAAUUUAUAACCAUAUGUGCUCUUAUACUACUUUUAUUAUUAAGAAUUUGUCAUGAAAAUUUGAAACACUGAAGUAGAAGGUAGUUGAUUAUCAUGAAAUUACAAAAUUGUAAACGGAUUUGUUCUUUUGGAAAAAGAAAAAAAAAAAAAAAAGGAAGGAUAGUUGAUUACUUGAUUAGUGAGAAAUCAUACGUAUAAAGGACAAAUUGAAAAAUGGGACCUGAAUUGCAACAAAGCUUCAUUGGAAUUAACUGCCGAUAAAAUUAAAUUAGUAUCACCCUACCCUUUCAUCUUAAUAUAUUCGAAAUUUCACCGAUCAAUGUUUCUAGCUUCGAUUUUUACGAUCUCUCAUCCUAAUAACACCAAAAGCAUAUUCAUUCGUUUGUAAGAUUAUGUAACAAAAUAUAGUAAAUAGCCUAUAAUUUUUUUGUUUUACUACUAACCUGUUAUUAUUCUUUUCUAAUAAUACAUGUUAAAAUAUUCACAGAAAAAAUUUAUCCCUAUUACACCCAACCACCUUUUUUUGUGUUUUUUUUGUUCAAAUUUUAGCAUUAAAGGGACAAUAAUGUCCUAUGAAAUAUGCAGAAAGACAGUUAAUAAUAUUCAAAAAUGUAAGUGGAGGUAUCCUAGGACACACACAAAUUACACGAGUCUCAUUAAUGUGUUAUUGUUGUUACGUGUGGCGUAAGUUAUAGUUGAAUGUCAUAUUCAAAAAAGUAAGUGGAGGUAUCAAUCUCCCUAAAUAAAUAAUUUAUGGAAGGUUGUUAGCUGUUGUACUUUUAGUUAAUUUUAAAAUCACAAUAAUAUGGCUAAUGUUAAGUUACAUGCAUGUAACUUAGGAGGAUCUCAAUAAUAUACCAUAUUUUAUUAAUAUGUACAGUAUUUAUAAUAUUUAAAAAUUAAGGAAUUAAUGUACGCAUGUAAAAGCUGCAUUGGAGCCAGUUGGAAAUCUUACUGUCUUGAUAUAUGCAACGAUUGUAGCAGCUAAAAAAGCAUGAUAUUUACUUAAUAUUAUUUCAAACAAUAAUUAUUUAUUUAAAGCAAAUAAUAAUAAUGAGGGCAGAAGGACUAUUCUAGGAUCAAUAUGGUGACAGUAUAAAUAAAUAAUAUUAAUUAUUAAUGCAUUGAUGAGUAUUGUUAAAAUGACAUAAUAGGUUUGUUUCAUUGAAUUGAACCUUUUCUCUUAAAAUAGCUAUAAUUUGUUCUCUCUCUCUCUCUCUGUGUUUUUGUUUUUGUUUUUCACUUUAGUUUUACUUCUCUUAAAAAACAAAAAAAAAAACAAAAUUAAUGGAAACUGAUGAUGGGAAGACGGACAAUUUUCUAUAUUGUUAAAUAGAAAUGGGCACAAAUGUGAGUUUUUUGGGGCAAAAAAAUAUAGUCAAUGUACGUAGCGUUUGUCUAUUUGAAAACCCGUCAAUAUAAAAACAGGACGUAAAGCUUUCAGACAAAGUACUCUUAUGGCCGUACUUUCCAUAAACCAAAUCAAAAGAAGGAAAAUAUUUGUGUCUGGCUUCGAUGCGACUGUUAACAUUCACAAAUAAACACCUUUGCAUGGUCAGAAAAAUUAACAAGAAAUUAGAAGGCGAUGUUGCGUUCUACUCAGUUCUCUAGGAUUUGUGUAAUUUGUUUAUGCUACGGUUCGUUCCCAUUUGCAUUGCGUGGAAUAAUUGGCCGAAUAUUAUUAAUCUCAAUCUUAAUCUCAACUCUUGUCCCUUUAAUUUUUGUUUGUAUCUUUUUCUUUUUUUUUUUAAAUAUCACAUACAAUGCUUUUAAUAAAUAACUUCAUAGAAAUAUUUAAUAAAAUCCAACAUAUAUAAGUUCAAGAAACUCAAAAAAUAAAAGAAAAUAAACUCACGUUGUCACUGGAGAGACUCAAACAUGCUACCUUAAAAUUAAGUAGAGGGUGCAACUACUUGCACUUAAAAAAAAAAAAAGAAGAAAAAAGGGGCUUUGAACGCUCGUGAUAAUUUGCAAGUUAUGGAGGAUAAUCAUUGUACAAUGGGGAGAACUCUUAUGGAACAAUAUUCAAACUGAUAUUGAAAGCAUAUAAGAAUUUGGCUUGGGUGUUUUGGUGCCAUGAAUGAGUGCAGAAACAAAGAGGAAGCUUUGUCCCUUUAAUUUGAUCUGCUGUAUUAUAAUUAUUGAGAUUAAUCAAAUAAAUAACCGAAACAUGGUUACAGUUUUAUAGUGUAUUGCAAGUCUUUGGAGAUACUAUGUACCUCAAAAAAAAUAUCGUAUAAAAGAGUGUUUUGUUUUACAGGGGUUCAAUAAGAUUUGAGACGCGUGUAAUGUAAGUGAUGUAAAUUUUUUGGACUCUAAUGAGGUGUUUUUAGAUGGAGGGGGAUUUGCAAGUAUUUCAUAGGGGUGAUAAGUGACUGUAUACCCACCAAAAAGGCCCAUUGUUCGAGUUCAUGAGCAUUACAGUUUUUUUUUUUUUUUUUUUUUUU